rnacentral:lncRNA from 1 species
GAACCAAUUAACCUGUUUUGGAAAAGGUAAAUGGAGUCCAAAUGUGGGAUAGAAAACAAGGAAUCGGGAAUAUUACCAGUCAAUGAAUUAGCGUAGAGGCUUAUGUAGGUCAACUUGUGUAAAUUUCCAAUCUUUGAAGGGAUUUAUCCAGUAAAGGUGUUGUAGGACAGGUCCAAGUAAUCAAGAAGAGUGCAAUUUACGAGUUGAGAAGGAAUAGAGCCAAAGAAAGCAUUAUAGCUCAGAUCAAUGGUACGCAAGUGCUCCAAAUAAGCAAUUUCAGGACCCAAUUGGCCAGAGAUUCCAUAGCCAGAGAGGUUCAAAGAAGUGACAAGGUGAGUGGUAUCACAUUCAACACCAACCCAAGAACAAGGAGUGGAAUCUGAAGCAUUCCAAGAAGACUUAACGGAGGAGGGCAUAGCAGUCCAGUGCUUGAAAAGGGAAAGUAGAGCUGUGCCAUGGGAAUUGAGAGCACAAACCGACACAGAGAAGCAGCAAAGGUAGAAAAAGAUGACAUUUUUUACAUCAAUCUUCAUAAUUUGAACAAGAAUAAGAGUGCUAUUAAGCAAGCUGGAUAUAAACAAGAAAUGUUUGUGGGAAGCAGGAAGAAAUUUGAAGUGUAAUUUAAGGAGGGGAAAAGGAAUUGGGAAUUUUCUUGAACAGAGUGAUGGUUGUUUAAGUGUGAAAGGAAAUGGGAACAUGUUGAGAAAACACCGCAGCGUCAAAGGGAUAAAUAUGAUAUAUCAAAUAUAAUACAGCGAAUUUAAUCGGAUGACCACAGACUCUCGUUACCCUUUUUUUUUAUUUUACACAAAUUCGCCCCUAUGUGAACUGGGUCUGGGUAUGUUGUAGCGUGUGAAAAUGCCACAUAUUCAUUGCUUUUAUGUAAACACCAGGAGCGAAUCAUGUGCUGUGCUUACUAGUCACUCGAACAUAACAAGACACUGAUAACUUGCAUAAAUUUUAUGAUAAUUAUGCAGUAAUAAUAAUAGGAAGUAACGUUACAUAAAGAUCACGUAUUUCAAAGAUAUUUUUGUAAAACUAUUGUACCCAAAAAAAAUAAAUAAAAAAAUACAAAUAUCACCUAAUGCCACCAACCAAACACUGCAUUAGUAAAGAUAUAAAUUAUUUCACAUAGCCAACGAUACGCUGCAUAAUCAUUCGGAGAUCGUCUUUUCAAUCCCUCCAACCAAACAGUCCAAUGAUAAAACCUACGGCUGAGAGACUCAGUGCAGGCAAUGCACCAUUCCGAAGUUUUAACCAAUGAAAUCAAGUAACAUGGUUAUCACCUUUAAAUUAAAUAAAAGAACAAAUACUGGCUGAUUUAGAAUGUUACGGAUUUUCUGAUCCUACAAAAUCCUUUAACUAUUGCUCUUCAAAGUCGCUCACUCUAAAUUGUUACAGAUCAUAUAUCCAACCAAAGCCAACCAUGAAACUCAAGGAGUCCAACGUUUGAUUGCAGUUGGACUAUUGGAGUUAGCUGAGCAAAAAGGAAACAAGCAAGAACGCUCAAACCUAGCACACCAGCCUGAAACAAACAAGAACCAUCUUCUCAUAGGACGCCACAUCAACAUCCACAUGAUCGUGCACACUCUUUUUGGUCAUUCCCAAGUAAGAGGAAGUCCCCUCUUUUUGCACAUAUCCUGCAUAAUACAAGCACACUGGACUUUCCAGGACAAUCCAGUCUUCCAGGUUAUGAAAAUCUGGAUGUUACAGUGUUAUCAUCAGUUUUAAGUUAAGGGAUUAAUGGACUGACUGACAACCCUAACCAGUGAGAGUUGAGAUGGAUGACAACCGCAUUAUGAUCUCAAUUUAUGAUGCAGAUUCUAUUUCACUCCAUACAUAAUAUGUUGAUAGAGGUGCUAGGAAUUCAGAGGUUUAAAACAUAUGUUAGUACCAAAUAGAGAAAUUCUCAAAUGUAGAAUACAAUGUGGCACCACAGACCAACAAGAUUUAAGACGAGAAAUUAAAUGCACCCUAUGAUGUAUCACAAAUGUGAACGCUGAAUAAGCCGACAAUGUUGAGAUGACAGUGCUUCAAAUGCAUGUCUUGGAUAAACUAUGAUAUGGUCCAAAAAGAUGUUCAUGUCAAGAAGAUAAUGCCCAUGACUUGAUGAUAGCAAGGAUGCAUGCAACAGCUGCAUGAUGCAUUUGUAUUUGGCAGAGCAUAGAGAACAGAAUACAUCCCUGAAGCUACUGGUAGGUCAGACGUGGAGGACCUCCAUUUGCGUUGGAGGCAACAGUUGGGUGGCCAAAGUCCUUCCGUUUCCCAAAUGGAUUCUUUGAAUAUGUAGCUGAAUAUUAAGGAGAAUACAUGGUCAUCCAAAGAACGUUACAACAGAUUAGAAAUUAUUUUUUUUAUCAGGGACAGAUUAGAAAUUUAUAAAACUCAAAACUCCUAAAGGAGUACUUUCAUGAGCCCUAUCACGCCUUUGUAGCAUAAAUUAUCAUCUCUACUUCUCACAUAAAUCGUGGUUUUAUGUAUUAGGAAAAAGGCUACAGGUAAAGUGUAAGCUUUUAAAGAAGCAUAGACCUUUCUCAAAUGUCACAUGGAGACACAAAGCACUAUCAUCAUUUUCUCUUUCCAUUUUGGAUGUUAGGAAAGAAAAAGAACAAUGGAAAAAAGUUUAAGAGGUUGGCCGCAACAUUUGCAAAGGAAUAACAGGCCAACAUCAUGAAUAAAAUGCUAGUCAAGUGUCUCUCGGUUAGCAGCAAUCAUAAUGAUAUUUCAAAAACUGAGUUCUCCACUUCCUAAAAGCUCCAUGAAUCACAAUUCCAAAGGGAGCUUCAGCAUGUAAUUAUUGCCCCUUCAGCGUCCCCGAAGAUAACUUUGUUCAACUAGGUUGUAUCUGUGUAAGCACAAAGCCCAUAAAAUAUUUGUCCAACAUCAAAGUUCACACUUCCAAGUCAAGAGUCAAACUCAGAUCGCUAAAACAACAAAGCGGCAGAAACAAAGAGAAAAGGAUGAUUAUGGAAUAUCAAGAUCCAGAAGAUGAGACAGCUAAACAAGAAGAAAGGAUAUUGAAUUCGCAUGCCAACUGAACUAGAGCUCGGUAUGACAGCACCCUGCAAAUUCUGGUGCACAUUGGUGGCGCUAUUCACUUGCUGCAUAUACAAAGGGCAGAAGUUGAUACUCGAAAAGGAGCACAGAAUGUGCACACAAACUAAAGAUGAAUCGAGAAGAAUCUUGCACGGGAUAAUACGGAACUUACUUCAAAUUCGAUGAAACACACUGUAUGUCUUUCCUGUCUCAAAACCUUCAUCUCCUUGAAACCAGGUUGUCUGGUAGUUCAUUAAGCAAAUGAAUAGAUUAGACAUAAGAGGGAGACAUAAAAAUAAGAAAUAAUACUUCCGCAUAAACAGAAUAGCAAAAGCCAUACCCGCUGAUAAGUCCCCACAGCUCUUCCUCAUUUAUAUUCUCUCCAAGAUUGCCAAUGAACAGGGUAUUGCAAGCAGGGUUGUCUUUAGUAUUCUACAAGAAAGGAAAAAAUAGAUCAGCGGAUAAAGCAAAACACAAACUAUACCAUAAAAGGUGCAGAAAUCUUCAGAACAAGCAUAUACUGCACAAAUGCUACAUCCACCAGCUAUAUAGAGCAGAACUUUGUCUCAACAAUAUCAGCAGUAACAGUCUCCAAAUGAUCAGCAAAACACAACACUAUUAAACUGAAGGAAGUCAGAUAAGACAAACUUAACAAUAAAGUUAAUACUCUAGCCGUAAACGAAUAUGCCAUAGUAAACCCAGAUCAAAAACAGAAAUAAGACAACCUAAAAAGAAACACUAAGAGAAGGCACGCUGGAAAAUAUGUCAACCCUUAGUUCUCUGUUCUAACACAAAUCACAUUGCAGAGACAUGCAUGCAUCACCUGGACUGGCGCAUAACUGCUUGGUGCUGACACAGGAGCAGGCGCCGACACUGGCAUGUGAGCAACAGGGUAGCCUCCAUAAGGAUUGUAUGGUGGAGGACCUUGAGUGAUACACCUGAGACACAAACUACCUUACUUUUUUUUUUCAUUUGGGGGUAGAUUGAGGAUUUGAAAUAAAGGAGAUAAAAUCACUAACUACUAAUAAAAUAAAUCAUAAAACCCCUUUCAACUUUCUUUUCUUGUUUCUCCUAGAAACCUGAUUAUAUAUAGUUCAGAAAUUAGCUCUAAACUGCUAGAACUAUCAAUUCCUAUCAAUAUCACAUUUUUCGUCAUAAUGUUGUUUUAAGAUGCAAAAGAAAAUUUUGCAUUUAGAAGAACUCUUACCCAUGUGGUGCCCAGACAGGUGCCGGGGGAGGGUGGAAAGGAGAGGGACUUGAAUAACCAGUGUGUGUUUAAUCACCUCCAGUACGCAUACGUUUACUAGGGUCAUGUGCAUUUGAAUCAGCUACAAUUCCUGCAGGCAUAUCAAAUAAGAAGAGCCUACUGUAACGUUGUUUGUCAUACAAAUAGUUGAAUCCUGCAUAAACACAGUCGUGACAACCUAAACAAGCAAAUAAAUAAAAGAGGAGUCUCGGCAAUGGAGAUCAACAAAGAUGGGAAGAAAGGUGAAAUUGAAUAAGUAAAAUGUGAAGAAAAUUAUUAGGCCACUAGGAUUUCUUUAUGUAUCUUGAUGUAUUAUCUAAAGAUAAAAACUACACCUAUUAAAUGGAGGUUAGGUUAGUGGUGAACCAAGAAGGCUGAUACACUUGCUAAAUAACGGUGGGUGAAACCACUAGAGCAGAUUAUCUCCAAGGAUCUAAAAGAUUAACCACAAAUUAUGAAAUUUAAGAAAACUCGCAACCAUUGAAAUAAAAAACAAUACAAAUCAGAAAAAGACAGAGCUGCAAAGUUGAAUUUGACACCUCAAACCAAUACAAAUCAGAAAAAGACACAAAGCUUGUGCUUAUAACUCGAACAGACAUUGGCAUUUCUCUGUUAAAACUUUGCCUAUCUCACUUUCGAUUAGAGUGCUUUGACUUUGGUGCUGCGAAUCACUAUCUCAUGCUACUGCCUACUAACUUGGUUUAAAAUCAAACAGGCUUACCCUAAAGGAUCUCCUUUAGUUGCUGAUGUGUCACGUGCAGUCAACGAACUAACAGAGAAUGGGAAGAUCCUGGAAAUGGAGCGAAAUUGGUUGAGAAAUGAACCAAUCCGUGCAGGACCAGACAACAGCAUAAACUCAAUCACGAUCUCAUUGCAAAGUUUCAAAGGCCUUUUUGUCAUUACAGGCGGAGUUACAGCAGUAUGCCUCCUCAUUUUCAUAGCCAGCUACCUCUACAAGUACAGAGAUUUCCACCAGAGAAUCUCAAAUUCACAAACCACGAUUUGGUCAAAAGUCGUAGCAAUUAGCAGACACUUUGAUGGUCUCUAUCAUCCGGUCAACCACAAGAUAAACUUCCAGAAUCUGGAAUUACUCAUAAUAAUUCUUCAGAAAAUUCUAUCCAACCAACAGAUUUGCCAAUACAUCAUCAUCCCAACUCCAAUGAUAUUGUAUCCUCUGCACCAGAAGACGUACAGGAUGCUAGUGGAACAAUUCAUUAUUCGAAUUUGGAAGACAUGUCUGCUGCACAACACUCAGGAGUAGUCCAUCCAUCUGCAUAACUGAACUAAAGAUAGUUGUAGUUUUCAUUGUGCAAUUUUCGGUUUCUUUUUUGCCUUUUCUGGGCCAGUAAAGUUGCUCUGUACGUAUUACCAACUAAUUGUGCAGUUCUAUCUUCUUCUUCUUCCUUCAACUAAUAGUUCCAACUAAUGAAACUCAGAAAGUCACUCAACUAAUAGUUAUUAUCAGAAAGUGAGUUUCUUUGUUGAAGAAAAUUCAAAACAGGAUAGAUAAUUGUGUAACCUCCUGGAAGAUAUUACUGCCAGCAAACAAAAUAACGAACAAAUAUUGUAAAACAGAGGAUAAAACCAGAAACCAACAGAAUUUUCACAACUUACAUCACUUACCCAUUUAUGAUCCAAUGGAAUGGAUUUUUAGAGGAGAAGUCAAGUUAUUAAACAGUGAAACACAAGUGAAAAUCGAGAGAAGUGAUGCUGUAGCCCGGAAGAAAACAACACUACCACAGAAUCUUUCAGAACUACGAGGCACCCCAAAGGUAUCUGAAGAGAAUUGCCCAAUAUGCCAAAAUCUGCAUGUAACCCGAGAAUUUCUGUGUGCAGUUUUUGAAUAUGCAUUCUAAUUGCCAACUCCACCCUAGCAUCGUUAUAUCGUCUGUCACUACCAACAGCAGCAAAAAGAAGAAAUAAUCAUUCAAUUUCUCUUGCCCCAUGCAUGCUUAAUUUUAAUCUUUACAAGAAGAUGUAGGAGCAGAACAAACAAAAAGUUCCCAUUGUCAAAGAGUACAUAACUCAUUCCUAUUAAGUACAUCCAACCAGACAGGAUCAGAUUUCUUCCAAAUACAUGAAAAGAUGAGACUAGAGACAACCACACCAAAUAACCAAAAAGAAGCUUAAACCCGAAUUAACAAUUAUUGAAAUGAGAUAAUGGAAGAACAUCUGCUUCUGUGCUUUACUAUGUGUUUGUGUGAUAUCUUGUGCCUGAGCCGGGGGUCUUUCGGAAACGGCCUUUCUACUUCAUCAGAGGUAGAGGUAUGGACUGCGUACAUCUUACCCCCCCAGACCCCACUAAGUGGGAAUACACUGGGUUUGUUGUUGUUGUUGAGAUAAUGGACUCGAAGCACUGUUGGAAACGUCAGAUAUCUGCUGUCAUGAACUUCACAGAACAAAUACGAAAUAGUGACAUCGGAUGAUAUUCUGAUAAUUGUGGAAUCCAGUACAAGAUUAAGAUAGCAAUACAAGGUAAUAAAAUACUUGCUGAAGAAAGAGAAAAUAAAGGGAAGAUAAAGCCACAGACAGAGAGAAAUAUCUUAACCAACUUUUCCGACCGCUACUCUACCUACUCGCAUUAUUCUAUUUAAACCAGUGCUACCUCGCCCACGCCUGUUGGCAACACCGCAGAUAUAAUUAGCCAGUUUCUGAUUUGGUAAUCGCACCCUUUUGCUUCUUCUUGGCAGAUUGCCAAGUCCACUUGAUGGCUCAUUUUCACAGCUUGCCCCAACAACCUCAUCAGUUAUUAGGCCCAGAUUUGUGAAAAAAUAGUUACUCAACUCCUGUUGCUCCAUACAUGUAAAAUUUUGCAUUUCGACUUGCUUUAACUUAUGCCUCCAACAUUUCCGAGUUAAAGAUGUGCAACAAGGCUUCUCAUCUUCAUCUGAUGCAUCUUCAAAAAUAAACUGUAAAGCCAAGAAAAUCAGCAUGUAAGGACUAUGUACAACAAGAGCAAAGUUAAAAAGAACUGUCUUCAUGCUUUAAAUGUAUCGGGUUUAGUUUUUGACCGCUUUGACCGCUCGAAAACAAUACUCUCUUUCUUUAAUCGGAGCAACAUUUUCUUGAAGGGUUAAGACUCUUGGUUUUAUUCAAUGGGCAACACUUUGCCCUAAUGUUGACAGACUUAUAAGCGCGAACCAACAACAAUUAACCAGAAAAGAGCUAUGUUGCUUGGAUUCUCCAAAUAUAUUGUUGUACCCGUGUUGGAUCCUCCAACAAUACACUACUUUUGGAGGAUCCGACAUGCACAUGUCGACAUUUUUGAAGAGUCCGAGCAACAUAGGUAAAGAGGCCAUAUCACAUUAUGUGGUAAAAAGAUUCAUAUAAACAAAUUUUAAGGGCUAAGAAGAAUUUCACAAAUUCAAUUAUCUCUCUACAGGCUUAAAUUGACCAGUUAGCAGGUAAUUGCAAUGUUAGGUCAAGAAACCAAUUCCAAUGGUGCUAUGCUAGACACUGAAUCAAGAGGCUUGUAAAAACAAGGAAGAAUUUACCUUCAGGGUCUUUAAGUCAGCCUGGUGAAAAGAUAAGGUGUCCAGUUGAGGAGAAAUCCAAAGCAAACUGUCAACAAUAUCCGCAGCUGAAUACUUCAAUUUAUUUUGAAAUUUUACAUGCGAACGGUCAGUACCAUAAAGCGGAGGCACUAAGCUUUCCCUCAUGUCGGAGAAAAAGAAACAACUUAUUAGAAAUCCCAGCAGCUAGCUUCUUCAAGCUGUGUAUCUAAAGACUUUGAAAGACAUAAUACCUCAUCAUUUUUGCUUGAUAAUUCAACAGCCCUGUAGGGAUUGAUAAUAAACACCUUUAGAUGACUACAUCUCAAGGUCCACAAGGUUAGGUGCUCUAAUAUCAACCUCGUCGAAUUCAGGAGGGCAAGCACUAAAUCCCAAUUCUACCUUUUUUAGCUUGGAUACUGGUAGGUCCUUCAAAGCAAUGCAAAGACAAGAGCUGUAAAUUGGAGCAGUUUGUGGAUAGAUAGGUGAUCCAAAAGUACAAAUUGGAGGUAAAGGGUGUGCAAAGAUGAAAACUUGAUAGGAGGAUUAGAAGGGGGUAAUUCAAUCUCACAGCCUCUCAAAAGUAGAAGAUUGAGUAAAGAUGUUGUGAGGCAGAGUGGGGUAGUGGUAAUCCAGAGUCUUAGCUGUGUCCAUCAUUGUAAAAUCCAAAGCGACGAGGGCUUCAAACAUAUUGUCGAUUCCAAAAAAGCAAAUAGGGAAAGCGUAGGUGAUUUUGGCGAAUUGUUAGAAGGUGAGUAACAAAGUUGAUGCGCCUUGUCCACAUAAGUCAUAGGAAUUCCCAAAGUUUAAUGAGAGUGAUUUCCAGGCACGGUUACCGGACCCAUUACUGCACCAUCUUUAACUUCAAGGAAUGACAGGAUGUGAUGCAAAAUUUCCUCCGGCAACUCCGAAAUUCUGUCCGGCCCGCACCGCCGCCGCCUCGUCAUACUCAAAUUGUAGGUAAUCACUAAUUGAAACUAAAUAGUUAAAAAAUAAAAAAAAAAAAGGGAACGGUCGUUUUAUAUUAAAAAGAAAGUAACCAAAUAAAUUGAAAUUGAGUGUCCUCGGCUACGGCCAUAUAUAUAGAGAGAUCCAAACAAACUACAGUAUUUCCCAAAUAUCGUAGGACAUGGCUUAGUAGGCCUUCGUUUACCAAACCUACAAGUACACUGAUUUCCCAUAUAUAAAACGAAUUCAACACACAACUAAAACAAAACUCAUCCAAUCUGUUCUCAAGUCCUAUACUAAAAUCUUGUUUGGCUUACGUUUAUUUUUUCUCAAAAUUACUUGUUUCCUUUAUUUUAUUUUACUUGUUAAUUUGCUAUAUCCUUUAAAAAAAUUAAUUAGAAAUAUAUUUUACUAAAUUUAAAGAUGUUUUAAAAUUCUAAAUAGCGCAAGUAAAAUGGAAAGGAGGAGAUGUUUUUAAAAAAUAGAUGUUUGACCAAUCUUUUGAAAGAAAAUAAGUGCUUUUAGCGAGUAGUGAAACAAAAACAAACUAUUUCUUAUCAAAAGCAUUUUUGUUUUAAAACAUUACCUUUCAGAAUAAGCUAAUUUUAAAAGUUUGAUCAAACAGACUAGAAGCCUAAACCAAAUCGAAAAUUUUUGUGUGCAUUACAUUAAUUAUAAUUACCGUAAAUAUUUUUUGUAUUUUAUUAAUAACAUAAUACAUUUCUUAUAAAUUAUUAUUACAUAAUGUUUGAGCAUGUUAUUACAGAGAGUUAACUUUACAAAGACUGUAUCGUUAUAAUAAACAUUAUUGCUAUUAUAGGUAGAAUGUCGCUAUAGAAAAGUAAAAUAUAAUAUGAAAAAUCUGUUUCGGAGAAAAUCAAACUGUUAUAGUAAAAUGUCGUUAUAAUGAGAUGAUGUUAUAAAGAGUUUUCAUUGUAAAUGAAUUGUUGAAUUGUGCCACACCCUUCAACAAGAUCUUUAAAAACAUUAAUCAAAAUGAAAUUUGUCAAUAUUACCAUUUUGAUUCAUUCGAAUGUUAAAUGUCAUUAACGAAUUUGCGCUAUCUGUCACGGCGUUUUAUGUGUUAAUUAACACUUUUUUACCACUUUAAUUUUCUCAGCCAAUUAUCAAGACUUGAUUACUCAACGUAAUGAACUCCAGGGUGAAGUCAAAUUCAUGUAAAAAAGUUGCAAUCCAUGCACCCUACACGCUAAGUUGCACGGUGAGCCUAAUAUUACGUGGAAAUCAUCAGAGGUUAAAUCAUUGAUUGCACAAGAAAACCUUCACUAUGCCAUUGUAGGAAAAUUUUGUAUGGCAAAUCGGAUAUUAGCACUCUGAGAAAAAACAUCCCUAGUCAAUGUUGUGUUAAGCAAGAAUGUACGAUUGGAGUUCUGGAUACUAGGCAUAUAUUAAUCAGAUUAACAAGUUUGGAGGAUUACAUUCAAAUGUUAUCAACAGCAGCCUUCUAUAUCAAGUCACGAGAAAGAUAUUGGUAGAUGAGAACUCUUAAAUGGGACCCAUGGUUUGAACCAGAUAUUGAAACUACAAUAGGAGUUGCAUGGAUUUCUUUUCCAGAUCUACCACCUAAUUUUUUUUGCAAAGGAGGCAAUAUAUUCAAUUGCUUCUACAGUUAGAAAACCAUUAAAGGUAGACAUGGCUACUAGGAAUCAAACAAGGCCUAGUUGUGCCAAAGUAAAGAUAGAAGUGGAUCUGAUAGCAAAACUACCCCAAAGAGUCAGAAUCAAUGAGGAAAACGAUGACACUAGUGAAAUUAAAUUCAAGUGGAUUAAGAUUCAACACGACUAUAUGCCUAAGUAUUGUAAAGAAUGUUACAUGCAAGGACAUGAUAAGGCGACUUGUUGGACAAUUCACUCGAAAUUAUUUGAAGCAAAAAAAGAAGAGGAUAAUAAAGAGACUCUAAAUGAAGAAGGAAAGGGAGCAGCGGGGAAAAACAAUCACAGUAAUCGAAGACAAUAUGAAAGGGGAAUGAGUCAUUUGUAAAAACAAGAAUGGAUGACAAGGAAAAAUAAGUAUAAGAAGGAUAGGUAUGGCCAUAUAGAAGGAAAAAUAGAGUAUAAGGAUGAAAAUCCUUUUGAAGCCUUGAGGGAAGAAGGAGAAAAAAAUAGGAUAAAUCAGAUGAUGCUCAAAAUAAGAUGUAAACAAAGGAAUGGGUUAAUUAAGUUUUUAGUAAAGGUAAUGUAGCAGACAAAGCAAAGGAGAAUCAGAAUACAAAGGGAACUAAGAAUGAUGCAAGUACAGUUGGCGCUGAGGUGAAUAUACAAUAUCACAAAAAGGAUGAUACAGAAGAUCAACAACCGUCUGAGGAUAUAGAGAAUAAGGGGGAAAGUAAAAAGAAAGAAGAGACUAAACUCCCUGGCAACGAACAAGAAGAUGUAAUACAUGAUGCUAAUGAUAAAGCUAUAGUCAUGUUUGAAGAGCAUAUGAAUGAUGAUUUAACUUUAGCUAUUAGUAUGGAUGAUAAUAUUGACAGGGAAGAUCUGAGGGGCACUAUAGAAGAUGCUAAAGUAUCGGCAGAUCUAUCACCAAAGCAGAAGGAUAAAUUGAAGGAGCAGCUUUCUAAACAUAAGAAGAAAGGGUCUGGAGAUACAAUAACGGCACAAGCUAAUUUUACACAGUCAAGGAGAAUAAUACAAAGUCCAUCAAAUAUCAAAUGAAUGCACUGAUAUGGAUUAUUAGGUCAGUGAACACUCAAAAAGCGUUCACUAGACUAAUAAAUUUGUAGUAAAGACAUCACUUUUACUUUAUUGGGCCCAUGAAACUAUUUCAAGAUAAGCAACAGUUAGAUAGGUAUAGAAGAAAGUUGGGAUUGAAGCAUACUAUCGUGAAUACCAAUGGAAAAUUUUGGUUCUUUGCGGAUGAAUAUAUAGAUAUGGAAGUGAUAAAUGAUGAUGAUCAACAGAUUAGGUGCCAGCUAAUGAACUAAGAAAGUGUUACGGAAAUGGUAGUUACUUUUGUUUAUGCUAAAUGUACGCAAAGUGAGAGACUUCAAUUAUGGAAUUCUUUAUUUCACAUAUCUCAUAAUCUUCAAAUUCCCUAGCUAGUAGGAAGGGAUUUUAAUGUUAUUAUUAAUGAGGAGGAAAAAUGGGAGGUCUUCCAGUUACAGAAGAGGAGACAAUAGAUUUUAACCACUAUAUCAAUAUAUGUAUAUUGGAAGAUAAUGGGUAUAAAGAAAACAAAUUUACCUGGUGGAAUGGUAGAACGGAUGAUGAUUGCAUCUUUAAAAGACUUGAUAGGUUAUUAUGUAAUGAGAAGAUCCAAGAAUUGUUCCCGAAAAUAAAAGUGGAGCAUUUGAUUAGAAGUGGUUCUGAUCAUGCACCAAUGUUGAUUUCAUGUAGCACUGAGGUUGAGCAAAUAACUAAAAGUUUUAGAUUCCUAAACUUUUGGUUAAAGGAAGAUUCAUUCAUGAAUGUGGUCAGGAAGAAUCGUAAAUGCUGACUUUUCAGCAAAUCCUUUCAAUAUUUUUAUUAUAAACUAAAAAAGUUCAAAACAACGAUGGCACAAUGGAGUAGGGAAACCUUUGGUAAUAUUUUUCAGGAAGUUAAAACUAUGGAGGAGGUCAUUAAGAUGAUGGAGGUUCAAUUUGAAGCAGAUCCCUCAGGAAGAAAUAGAGAAAAGCUGCAAGAGGCACAAGCUAAUCUUAAUAAAUAUUUACAUAGAGAGGAGGAGUUUUGGAAACAAAAAGCAAGAAUGGAGUAGUUUAAAGAUGGGGAGAGAAAUACUAAAUUUUUCCAUUCAGUUGUGAAAGGGAGAAGGAGUAGGCUUAAAGUGAGUAGAAUCCAGAUGAGGAGGGGAAAGACGAAGAAUCAGAAAGACAUAGCAGAAGCUGCGGUGAAAUUUUAUAAUAAUCAGUUCAUGGGGCAAGAUCAUGACAUAGAUUGGGACAUUCUAAAUGAUCUUCCCAAGUUAAUUAAUGAAAAUGCUAGUGUGUUGAUGCAUAGUAUAACAUCAAAAGAAGAAAUACAUCAGGCAGUUAUGGGACUCAAUAGAACCAGUGCAAAAGGACCUGAUGGAAUGACAGGAGCUUAUUAUCAAGAUACCUGGGAUAUUAUUGACGAUGAUGUUUAUGAAUUGGUUAAGGAUUUCUUCAGUGGAGCAGAUUUGCCAAGGUAUGUAACACAGACGAAUUUGGUUUUAAUACCAAAGAAGCCUGUGGUUACUACCUUUUUGGAUUUUCGCUCAAUAUCAUUGAGCAAUUUUGUGAAUAAGAUAUUUUCACGGAUUGUUCAUGGAAGAAUCAAAUCAGUUUUAUCAAUUAUAAUAUCCAAGGAGCAAGCUGGUUUUAUGCAAGGAAGAAGUAUCACUGAAAAUGUAUUGUUGGUGCAAAAGAUUAUUUCAGAAAUCAGAAAGAGGGGCAAGUAUCCAAACUUGGUCAUAAAAUUGAAUAUGAUGAAAGCAUAUGAUAGGGUUGAAUGGAUGUUUUUAAUGAAAGUUCUUCACAAAAUUAAUUUCAGUGAGAAAUUGAUUGAUUUAGUAUAUAGAUUGGAGGAGAAUAAUUGGUACUUAGUUCUACUGAAUGGACAACCUAAAAGCUUUUUCAAAUCUGCUAGAGGCUUAAAGCAAAGGGAUCCCCUAUCCCCUACUUUAUUCAUCAUAGCUGCUGAAGUAUCAUCUAGAUCCUUAAAUUCCUUAAUGAAAAGUAAGGAGUUUAAAGGAUUUAAAGUUCCAAGAGAAAGCCUAAGGGUAAAUCAUCUUGCAUUUGCAGGUGAUAUGAUUAUCCUUUGUAAGGCUGAUGUGAGAACUAUGUAGAUGGUUGCCAAUGUUUUAGAAAAAUAUGAGCAGCUUUGAGGCAGAAAGUUAACAAAGAAAAGAGUGUCAUUUAUUUACAUCAUAAAACAUCAGGUGGGGAUGUGGUGACUGCUGAAAUAGCAACAGGUAUUUUAAGGAAAGAUUUUCCUUUUACAUACCUAGGAUGUCCGAUUUUUUACAAAAAAAAAAGCAGAAGAAUUAUUAUCAAUAAUUAAUUCAGAGGGUUAGUUCAAAAUUACAGGAUUGGAAGGGUAAGUUGCUUUCUUACGGGGAAAGAGCCAUUUUAAAAAAACAUGUUUUGCAGAGUGUUACAAUUCAUUGUUUGUCAAUGAUGAAUCAUUCGUUAAAUGUUUUUAAUUAGAUUUAUAAAAUUAUGGCUCAAUUUUUUUCGAGUAGUUGUAUAGGGGUAGAGGGAGACAUUAGACAAGAUGAUCUAAUAUAUGUCUACCUGUACAAGAAGGAAGAAUAGCAUUCUGAUACAAGAUCAACAAGGAAGACACUAACACACACUAAAACAGUCCAUGAUUUGAAGAACCGAGGACCCAUUUUGGUGACCUCUCUCGGAUUCACUACACAAUAACAAUACAAGCACGAUAACAACAAGAUUCUAAGGUGUUCAACACCUAUAAUCAGUGAGCCACAAACUAAGAUUACAACACAAUAACAAGAACAAAAAUGACACAACAAGGUCUCGGGUUUGGACACCCAAAACCGAGAAUGAACACAACAACAAUAAUAAGAUAGAAUGAUAGACAACUUGACACACAAUGCACAAACACUAUGAACCAAAGUGUAUAUUGAACACUAAGACCUAAGAAUUCAUACAAAUAACAUCAAGUUCUUACGGUGACCUCAAAGGAAUGGAAUCCCCAAGCAACCAACGUUUCAAAACAAGCAACCAACACAAGUGAUUCUACACUUGUCACAAGUGAUAUCCACACUUGUAUGAACACUCUCAAAGAGCUCUCAAAAUAUCAUCUAAGUUAUAAAAAAAUGACCUAAUAUUUUCUAUUUAUAGUCUAGGUUAUAACUUAUUAUAAAAUGACUAUAAUGCCCUUAAUGAACCAAUACAAAGGGGCGGCCUUGAAGUGUGCAUAUUGGACGGCUUUGGAGUGUUGGGACUAGUUCUCUACACUUCAAAGCUUGUUCCAUUGGUUGAGAAACCACCUGAGCUCGAGUCUUUACAUAUGGUCCACAAUCACGAUUGUACUUGUAUCAUCCUCCUUUUCUUGAAAAGGAUUCGACCUCAAAUCCGAAAUUUGCAAAACAAUUGAGGAGACAAAAAAACACAUAUUCCUCAUGACAUGAGGGUUAACAUUAGCACAAUCAACAAAAAGAUUAUUAAACCACAAGUUUACAUUCUACACACGUCGUGGGACCAUAGGGAAUAGGAUACCCUUCUAAGCACCAAAAGAAAUACUUGUCUAUCCACCUAAGUGUGACAAGAAACAAGACAAAAAAAGUGUAAUUAAUUAUAGCAUCUUGCCAAGGUGGUUCAAACUUCACAUACACCCAAACAUCCCUCUUACCCGAAUACCCUCCCAAGAAAUAGUCAGCUAGUCUAUCCACAUAAGUGUGACAAGGAACAAGAGUUGCUCAUCAAGUGGAAAACAUAGACUCUUCUUGGAACAACAAAUAGGCUUGAUAGCCGAGAUAGGAAGGCCAUACAUUUCAUGCGCCUUCAAGUCAUUCAAAAAGACAUCAUCACCAUAUUUCAAAUGAUCACCAGGAUCAAAUGGGUGGAGUGUCCAUGGACACGAGUUUAGGACACACGUCUUUUCCCCAAUACUACCACUAAUACGAUCAUAUGUUCCAUCUAUACUAGCAUGGUCAACAACAAAAAUAAUUAGAGGGCCAUCUUUAGUCCUUCGACAAACAUUUUCAACAUCACCAUUUUUACACACAAGUUGGUUUUCAUGACUUCCACAAGACAAUGUACUAUCACUUAUCGCAAUAGUUUUAAUACUAGGCGGACGUAAGUCGAUCUUGCUAGAAGAAUCAACUUUGUCAUCAUGAGGAUCAAUUAGUGUAUCCACAACCUCAAGUUGUACAUUGCCAUCACAAAUUGAAGGAACAUUUGGCUCACCUAAAGACAAACUAUCGUUCACACUUAGUUGUCUACUAGCCUCAGUCACUAGAGUGCAAUAGUUAGUUUGAUUACUUUGUAGCUCAUGUGGAGCAUGUCCACUCACGAAAACUUGAUUAGGAAGGUUUGGAUGCUCUAUCAAGUUAUCCAACUUUUUGCAAAGAGAGCUCUCUGUCCCUUCCAUUCUUCUUUCAAGAGAUUCUGUCACGACCCAACUUUUCAGGUCAUUAUAGCGCCUACCAUAACCCACCAGUAGGUAAGACAACCUGUAGUCCGGAAUGGCUAGUAACAGACUACUUAAUAAUAUAAGAAAAAGAAUACAUAUGAGAUAAAGAUCAAUACAUAGAUGAAUCCCAAAACCUGGUGGUAUCAGUACAAGAGUUUCUAAACAUAAUAAGAGUACAAAAGUGAUAUAUCAAGGAGAAAUACACUGAUUCAACUUACCUCUGAAUACAACUUAGAGGCUAGUCUAAUACAUAGGAGAGAGAUAAGUAAUACUCCGAACGUUAAGAGCUCACUCUAAGUCUCCGAAUCAGGGCUACUCCACACGAUGCACACAUCAACGGCGAUAACUCGUACUAUGAUCUGCAGGCUGUAAAGGUGUAGUAUGAGUACCAAAUGAAUAGUACUCAGUAGGCAACUGCCAAUGAGCUCCAAAGAUAAAGUAGAUAUAUACAACAUAUAAACAGAAUGAAAACUACAACCAAGAGUCCACAAAUCAUGUAAUAAGUCAAUGAGAAUAACAUGGGACAACUAUCCUGUUCAUGUCCAAGAGUCUAACAUAAUAAGACUAAGGAAGUAUCAAGGUGAACUAUCUUAUUCUAGCUACAUUCAAUAUAUGCCAAAGAUAUACCGUAUAUCCCAGGUCAAUAUACAGAUAAAGAGUGAAAGAAAGAUAUAUUGUAAUAUACAAGGUGAAGGAACGACUAUACAAUAUGAACAACGAAAAAAGGGAUAUCCGAUAGUACCAUGACUUCAUAUAGCUAUAUAUAUUUAUAUAUAUAUAAAUAGGAGGUUAUCUCAGCAUAACCUACAUUGUUAUGUUCUCAUUUUAAGAUCUCAUUGUAAUACUAUCAGGAUUCAACGAAGGAUUUCUAAUCCAUAUGGCUAGACAUAGAAUAAUCAUGCAUAGUAAUAUAAUCAUAAGAUAGCAAAGUUCGAAGACAUACCUCAAUCCCAAUACUGGAUCCAUGACCAAUCUAUCAUAAGUUAGCCAUAAUAAUGAUCAUAACCAUGAUAAUAACAAUAUCAAUAACAUCGUAAAUAAUUGGCUACUUCGGAUAACCAAAUACCUAGUCGAGCCUAUGCGUACCCCCACCACCCCAGACUUAGAAGGUUCAAUCAACAAACAAUAACACAACAUAUAUUACUUACCCAUAUCUAUGCAACCGUCCCAUACCAACUGAUAGACAUAGGUUCAUACUAGUGAUAGGCGAUGCGCAUGUAGGAAUGAAUACAAAAUAUACCAUCAAUAUCACAAUGCAUCAUAACUGUCCUCAUCAGGACCAUCAUCAUCGUCAUCAACCUCCGGCCUCACCGGGUAUCAAUAUCAUCUCAAUAGUAUCCUUCAGACUCGAAUCGGGUAUCAAUAUUAUCACAAUAUCCUCCGGCCUUGCCGGAUAUCAAUAUCAUCUCAAUAGUACCUCCGAACUCGAACCGGAUAUCAAUAUCAUCAUAAUAUCCUCCGGUCUUGUCGGGUAUCAAUAUCAUCUCAAUAGUAUCCUCCAGACUCGAACCGUGUAUCAACAUCAUCAUAAUAUCCUCCGACCUUGCCGGGUAUCAAUGUGUCAUCAUAACUCUCGACACAUAAAUAUAGACAUAUAAUAGGUGCACAGACCCAACCCAAUAUACUCAUAACCUUAAAAAUAUCUAUCUUAUCAAUACAUUCCAAUUACUCGUUAUUAGCUAACCAACAUUUAUUAUAUUAAACUGCUAGUUCGCUAGUCAUUACAUAACCUCUAGUUAUUAGCCUAAACAUUAUCCUUCAUAUAAUCCUUAUUCACGGGAUAACAACUAACCAAAAUUCAUUUAAUAGUCAACAUCUAACAUCUAGUCUAGGUUCAUCAUUAGACCAAAACCGUCAUUUAUCCACCAUUCAUUAUUAUCAACUAUUCAUCAUAUUUUUGUUACUUGUCGCCUAACGAUCUUUUAUUAAAUGACAUCAUUCAUUAACUGACCAUCAUUAGCUAUCAUGUUCCAACUAAGCAAGAUUCAUUAACUAAUACAUUAGCUUCCUAGCCAUCAAGUGCAAUAGUUAGAUAAUAGACAACUAGUUACCACAUAGCUUAACCGUCUAACAAGAAGAAAAACCAGAAGAUCAUAUUUUGGCUAUAAUCAAAUCAUUUAUAAUGGUAAAUAAUCAUGACGUACCAAACCUAUGCAUGCCAUCACCAGUAUUCAAUCAAUGGAAUAAUAAACAUCAUUCUGCAUCUUCCUCCGUCCCAUUCCGGAGAGAUGUGUAUACAAACAUAUACAUAUUCAUAUUCAUAAAUCAUAAUCACAUCAUUCACAAUGAUAAACACUUCUUGGAUAUUUAAUCAGUACCAUAACACGGCCCUUGGCCCAUUAAUUUAUCCGAAAUAAUCACAACAUCAUAAUCAUGGCCUUAGGACCAUAUACAUAUCCGGGACUCAUAUAAAUAAUCAUAUUUAUAAAUCAUAGCAUAUCUAUAAUCAUCUCACAUAUAGGAGGCAUCUCACAUCUAGGAGGCAUAAUAUCAAGCAUAUCACCUCUAUUAAACAUCUCAUAUCUAUAGGUUUUGCAUCAUGACCAAGAGAAAAAUCGUCUCUAUAAGCUCAAUAAUCAUAACUAAGAGGAAAAUCAUUUCUAUGGGUCAAAUAUCGUAACUAGGAGGAAAAUGCAUCUCUAUAGGCAAAAUAUCAUAAUUAAGAGAAAAAUGCAUCUCUAUGGGACAAAUAUCAUAAUAAAGAGGAAAAUGCAUUACUGCAUCUCUAUGGGCAAAAUAUCAUAAUUAAGAGAAAAAUGCAUCUCUAUGGACCAAAUACCAUAAUAAAGAGGAAAAUGCAUCUUUAGGGGCCAAAUAUCACAAUAAGGAGAAAAAUGCAUCUCUAUGGGCCACUAAUCAUAAUCCAACGGAAAUCAUCAUAAGUUAUCAAUUUACCAUGUAAUUCUCAUAAAUAAGGCUCAUUAGUCUCAACUAGGUCUACUAUCCGCAACUAAGCCCACAAGGGCUAACACAAAUCUUGGCCUGAGUGGGUCGGAUGAUCCCACUUCUAAUCUAUAUUUUUCAUAUUUAGGCAUACUAUGCUCCAAACUAGGCUAAGGUAUCUAGUUCAUCCUUUAAAUUUCAAGCAAGUCAUAUUAACGCCUAAGAUAGUAACUUCAACUAGAAACAAGGGUACUCAAGUCAACUCUACCAAACUUACGGUUCCAAAACUAUCACACUAGCCUAAUAAGGCUAAAUAUACAAAUCAUGCUUCAAAUGCUAAAACCAUAUUCCAAGCAUAUCAUUAUAUCAUAUCCAUGCUACAAAUUUACCCAAACUAGGGAGAAGGCAAUAGGAUUCUUUAAGGGUAUUAAGUAAUUCAACCUACGGGUCCAAAACCCUAUCUAAUCUCCAAACGUAUAUGUAUAUUCAAUACUAAGUCAUUCUAUCCAAUAUCAAUCUUAACAUUCACGUUAACACGCAAUAUAUAUCAUAAAUCAUCCAUGAAGAAAAGUAGACAGAAGCCUACCUCAAGGCUAAACCGCAAAAUCACACUUCAAGCACCACAUGCUCGUCUUCAUUUCACAAUCCCCAAAAUGUCAUCAUACUAUCAAAAAUAUAAUCUACUCAUAAAUACGAGUCUAACGAUACCCAUAUUGCACUAUUGUGCUUCGGGUCCAAAAAUGACACCAAAAACUCCAAAUGGGUCCCACAUACGAAAAUCGCAUUUUCGAGGUCAACCAGUGCUCAUCUAUCACCAAAGAAGCAUAACCCUCAAUUGAUGGGUGCAAACAAAUGAAAUUUGGGGCUAAAUCAAGCCCUAAUCUAAAUUGGGGUUUUGGGUCAAGAAUAAUGAAAUUCACUAAUAAAGUAAUGAAAUCUUACCUUAAUCCGGAUGAUAAUCAUGAUAAAAGAUGUUUACCAAGCUUCCUAGACACUCACAAGACUCAAUUUCAAGUUAUCAUACCUAUUUAGGGUUUUAGAUUCUCAAAUGUGAAAGAAAAAUCUCCAAAAUCGCGACCUUGGGUCUAUUUAUAGACUUCUUUGGCGAACAGACGCGGUACCCUACGACAGCGAAGUCAAAAACUUGUUUUUGACCCUUGGAACUCAUCCGGGACCCAAAAUAUAUGAACCAAUAGUGAAAUUUGAGUGUAAACCACAAUUCAAAUCCAUUGGAAUCAUCAAAACUUCCAUAAAAGGUCGUUUAGGCAAAAAGUGGGGCUCACAUAUAUAGUUUUGAUUUUAUGAGUUUCCGACUAAUAGGUCGAAAUGAGCUCGAGUGCAUUGGGACCCGAACCAAAGGUUUACCUAGACUAAAAUCGAUAUUUUGAAUGUGAUGGCGCAGUCGAAAUUUUCAUUCGAGAUCAUUUCGCUGAAUUUUUUGAUCGGUGGCUAUUUGGAACCAACGAAGACUUCUAAACAGGGAGUUGACUCUAAAAAUCAAACGAAAUGCCCGAUAAUCGAACCCUCAGUCCCAGCAAGUCAUAAAUGACUUAAAGAAGCUAUGGAGAAGCUCAAAUGAUGAAGAUAAGCAUAAAUAUGGAAAAUGACCUGAAGGGUCAUUACAGAUUCACAUCGGCUAAUAACAUCGUGUUCACACUCAUUAUAGCCGCCAUCAAAUCUUUCAUGGUUACCUUUUUAUAUGACAUAGUACCUAACAAAAGAAAUUCUAAAACAAAAACAUAAACAACAAGUUAAGGUUAGCAAAAAUCAUCCUCACAAACUCUCAAGCUCACACUAUGUCAAGUAUCACUCAAUGGUCUCAUAAGUGUUGGUAUGUCGUUUUUACUCCAAUGAAGUUACUUGGUCCCUGUUGUGGCUCAAGGUCGGAAUAGAUUUUUUUUUUACAACGACUCAAAACAAAUAGGUACGUACUUGAAUAAAAAAAAACUACAACGAGUUUCGAAAAGAUAAAAGCACACAAAGAAACGUAGACACGAAUAAGCAGACCCAAAACUAAUUUACAACCUAGUAGACAAUUACUAGUUUGUUAAUUAGCAAUAGAAUCAACAAAAUGCAACUAGGAAACAAAUAUUAGAAACUAAGAAAUCAAAAAAAUCGAGCUCACUUAUGUUGCAUGAACAGUAAAACGUGAUGAUGUGGCAGCCACGUAAUUGGUCGCAGUCCUACACAAUUUUUUUUAAUCACCAAUUUGAAGCUUUUGUCUUGAUACAAUUUGGAAUGGAUGAGUUUGUCUUUUGGUGGAAGAAUUCAAGUCUUAGAAACUUUUUAAAAUUUCAACUCAAAAAGUGAGACUUGACUUUACUAUUCCCACAAAACAAGGUCCUUGAAAUAUGAAAAGGUGGUUGACAAGUCUUUGAAGUGAUGUGUUCAAGUCUCUUCACCAACAACCUUUCAACUUUAUCUUACACAUUUUUGGAUCUAUGUUAUACUUUAUAUUGAUCAAGACAUUUCAAGAACAAAAAGAUCACAACAACAAUUUCUCAAGAACAAUAACAACUCCACCAAUAUUCAUCUCCGAGUCCACAAUAAUUGUACCACUCGGUAAAGAACAACAAUAUCAACCCACGACCAACUUCAAGUUUACAACAACAAGUUCAACAACAUAAGCUCAAACCUUUAGAUCUAGACAUUUUUAGUGUUGGUGAGAAAGAAACCAACACUAGAAACAAUCUAAAUAAACAAAAUACUACAAGAUCUAGUCACAAAAAAUAUGGCUCGGCCAAGACAACAAUAAGACCCAACUUUCGGCCAAGAACAAUCUCAAGAAUAUUUCACUUUUUUUUAUAUUUUUCAACUCUCAAGCCCAAGAUUGAUCUUGUUAAAACAAAAUCAAAGAUGACUUUGAUACCAAAUGAUACAAGAUUGACAAAGAAUACACUAACACACACCAAAACAGUCCAUGAUUUGAAGAACCGAGGACCCCUUUGGUGACCCCUCUCGGAUUCACUACACAAUAACAAUACAAGCACGAUAACAACAAGAUUCUAAGGCAUUCAACACAUAUAACCAGCAAGUCACAAACUAAGAUUACAACACAAUAACAAGAACAAAAAUAACACAAUAAGGUCUCGGGUUUGGAUACCCAAAACUGAGAAUGAACACAACAACAAUAAUAAGAUAGAAUGAUAGAUAACUUGACACACAAUGCACAAACACUAUGAACCAAAGUGUAUAUUGAACACUAAGACCUAAGAAUUCAUACAAAUAACAUCAAGUUCUUACGGUGAUCUCAAGAGAACGGAAUCCCCAAGCAACCAACGUUUCAAAACAAGCAACCAACACAAGUGAUUCCAUACUCGUCACAGGUGAUAUCCACACUUGUAUGAACACUCUCAAAGAGCUCUCAAAAUAUCAUCUAAGUUAUGAACAAAAAGACCUAAUAUGUCCUAUUUAUAGUCUAGGUUAUAACUUAUUACAAAAUGACUAUAAUGCCCUUAAUGAAAUAAGACAAAGGGGCGUCCUUGGAGUGUGCAUAUUGGACGGCUUUGGAGUGUUGGGACUUGUUCUCUACACUUCAAAGCUUGUUUCAUUGGUUGAGCAGACACUCGAGCUCGAGUCUUUACGUAAUGGUCCACAAUCACAAUUGUACUUGUAUCAGAUUCCGAAUACUUUAUUUUGUAAGUUAUGGUGGAAUUUUAAAACUAAAAAGAUCAUUUGGAGUGAUUUCAUGAAAAAUAACCAUUGCAGAAAAAUUAAUUGUAAUAAAGUUAUGUGGAAUAUAGGAGGUGGUUCACAAGUGUCGAAGAAGAUGCUUCAGGCCAGAGAUUUAAUAGAGCAUUAAAUUGGGUGGAAUAUUAAAGUGGGAGAGCAUCUUUCCGGCAUGAUAACUCGACUGAAUUGGGGGAUCUUUGAUACGGAAAUGAUCAUGACCUUAGAUAUUUUUUGAUCAACUUGAAGACCACCUAAAGAAUGCACAAGCCCAAGUGUGGAUGAGGCCCAAAUCAGUUUUUGAAUGCACUUCAUGGGGUGGCCUUGAGGCCUUUUUGAUGGAAAGGCCCUUUUGUCAUUUAACUAUUAUUUUGUAAUGUAAUAUAAAUAUAACAUGGUAGGGUUUAUUGUAUUAGUUUUGAUGCUUGAUAUUAUAAGAACACUCCUCUUAGAGAGAAAGACUCCAACCAAAACUAGGGCCUAACACAAAGGUGGAAUUGUUUGUGUGUGGUGUUUUGCUUGAUACGUUGGUGCUUGAGAGGUGAACGCCCCUCUUGUGUCUUUGUAAGAGUUAGGUGCGUGUUGAAUGUGGUAUUAAGGGUCCAAGAGUGGAAUAUGCUCUUAGGUUCUUAAGAUUACAACUUCAUUGUGUCUAACUAUCUAUCCUUGUUUCUUAUUUUAGGUUCGGCUUUCCAUGUUUUAUUGUUGAAUCUGUAGGUUCUUGUUGAUGUACCCGUGUUUUUCUUCAUUAUAUUGUAUUAAUAAAGUUUGUUGAUGGGCUUAUUUCAUGUGUAAACACUUAUUAUUCUCUCCAUUCUUGUUGUAAGUAGCGAAUCCAAGAGUGGUCACCUAGAUAGUCCACGGUUUCUCUUCUUGUGGACUGUUUUGGGUGUUUGAUUUGUUGUGUUCUUCGUCAUUCUUGUAUCAAUCUUGUUGGUUUAAAACUGUUAAAGGGAAUCAACAUAGGAAUUCAAUUUAAAAGCUAGCCGCAGAAAUAGAGAUGGAGUUUGAAGAAGAGAAUAUGCAGAGAGUAAUUAUUUUCUUGUUGAAAGACCACCUCAAAUUGAUCAUCAACUUAGAAACUUAAAUAGUUGCUAUUAUAACUAAAAAUAGGAUAAGGAACCAACCUAUUUCUACCAAAAUUAGAAUAACUAAUUAGUUUCCUGCCAAAGAUAGUACUCCUAAUUUAACUAGGAUUGUACGUAAAAAAAAACUGGAGAAAAAAUAAAAAAAACAGUUGCAUUCUUAAAGCAACUUUCAACACUCCUCAUUGCUUUAUGAAAUGUAAACACCAAUUCUUUGCCUUAGAAGCUCGAACUUGCUGAUUUGAAGUGUCUUAGUGAACAGGUCUUCUAGUUGUGGCAAAUUUGAAGGCUGCAGAGGAAGAGAAGUCAUUUGUUGAGGUAGUGACUGCUGCUGCUGAACUUGCUGCAUGUUUUGUUGAUAUGCUUGUUGCCGAUUUCUUGCAAGAAGAGAUGGAUGUGGACCAUGAGGAAGAGGAGGAGCUCCUAAAGGCAUUGAAACUGGCAUUGAAGUCUUAUGUUCUCCUUGAGGUGAUGAAUCAAGUGAUGGGAUAGAUAGAGGCACUGCAGUUCCAACUCCAGGUAUUGUACCCUCAGUUUGUAAUAUACUGGAGGCAAAUGCUCCAGGGGUUGAGGGGGCCUCAAGACCUGGAAAAUUACCAAGCAUGCGACCAAGAACAUUGUUUUGAUCACCCAAACCUUGCUGUCCUAAAUUGAAUUUAUCACGAGCGGAGUCGCCAGGCCUUUUUCUGCACCAGAACUUUGUUGUCUGAUCAUUGCUUCCACUGGAAAGGAGAUAACCAAUUGGGUGCCAUGAAAGAUCCCAAACACCAGUUUAAUGUGCAUUUGUAAUUUCUACUUGAGGAGCUUUAUGCCCCACAAGCCAAUGAAAUAUUGAACCAUCAUAGCUUCCGCUGACGAAAUAUUCUUCAUGAAACGGAUGCCAGGCUAAUAAUGUCACGUCGUUCUGAUGCCCACCAAAAGACUCAAGAUCUUUCAUAGCCCUUAUGUCAUAAAGCUUGAUAAUUUGAUCCUUGGAAGCAGAAAGGAUCCAGUUACCAUUCUGAUUUCACUUCACGCAGAGAACGGUAUUCUUAUGCCCGUGAAAUGAUGAAAGCUCCUUCCUUGACUUGACAUCCCAAAGUUUAACAAGAUUACAUUUUCUAUCAGAUAAUGAGCGCUCUUCUUGGCAGUUUGUGAAGUCCCAUACUUUAAUGGUAAAUUCAUUAGAACUGGUUUCAACUUCGGAAUCAUUUUUUUUACAUCUGGAUUUUCAGGGUUGAAGUCAUCAUCCUUCGAUUCAUCAGAUGGAAGUUCAAAAAUAUCAUUUAGCUUCUCUCCAGACGCAGCAGCAACAACUUCCUUAGGAUAUACUUUCUCCCAGCUGUAAGUGAAGGAAAGGUCGGUUCCUUGACUAUCAUUAAGCAAGUCAAUGCAGUCAACUUUGAAAUCACAACUAGGACAAAGCCAGCCUUCAUCAUCAGGUGGAAUGUCUUCUUUUAGCAGAGGUGGCUCCACACACAACUCAAAUCCAUAUUCUUCUUCCAAUAGAUUUAAUGAGAAACUUCUACCGCUCAUUUUGACUUUAAAUAGGUCUUGUCCAGAUGCCUCCUUGAUCAAGCAAUGUUUAUCUUCAAAAUACAAUUUGAAACCUUUUUCUAAUAACUGACCAACACUUAACAAGUUCUGGUCCAAAUCGGGUACGUAAAGAACAUCAGAAAUUGGUUUAGUGCUUGAUUGUGUUUCAAUUGUGAUGGUUCCCAUUCUUUUUGCUAGAAUAUAACCACUAUGGCCGAUCCUAACUUUUGUAACUUUAGUAGGGCUUAAAUCUUUAAAAAGAUCUUUAUCGUAAGUCAUAUGAUUUGUGCAUCCGCUAUCGAUCAACCACGACUCACUUGAGACACUGCUUGCUAAACAUGAUGCAACAAAGAGUUGAUCCUCUUCCUGUUCAUCAACAACUCAAGCCUCUGCAUCUUGUUGCUGAGUUUUAUUUUUACAGAUGAUCGCUUCAUGCCCAAGAUGAUUGCACUUAGUGCACUUAGCAUCAGGCCUCUUCCAACACUUGAAAGGUGCAUGCCCGAGCUUGCCGCGAUGCUUACAAGGAGGGUAGUUUCUUAUGAAACCACCUGUUUUAUUUUUGUUGCUUUGCGCUGCACCUUCUCCAUCAGUUAGUUAGUACUUCUUAUUAUUAUUCUUCUUAGAACGUCCAUCAUCAUGAUGCUUGGCUGGUAAGGCACCUUCGAAAGCUCUUCCUUGUCUCAUAACACGUCGUUGCUCUUGCACUUGAAAAGCACUUAAGAGCUCUGCAAGUGUUAUCUUAGACAAGUCCUUAGUAUUUUCUAAGGUUGUUAUGGUAGGCUCAAAUCUUUCAGGUGCCGUUACUAGGAUUUUCUCAAUGAUCCUUGAAUCAUUGAAAGAAGAACCCAACAAUCUGAUGCGAUUUGCUAAAUUAAGGAGCCUGUCGGAGUACUCCUUUAUGGUUUCACUUUCUUUCAUCCUUUGCAGCUCAAACUCACGUACCAGAUUCAACACUUGCAUCCCUCGAAUCCUUUCAUCUCCUUCAUACUCAAUUUUGAGAUAAUCCCAUACCUCUUUCGCUGAUUCAAGAGACAUGAUACGAGUGAAGAUAUUAGAUAAAACUGCAGUAAAUAAGCAUGUCAUUGCCUUUGAUUUUCUAGUAUUCUUCUCCUUGUGAGUUUUAAUCUGCGCCACCAUGGGAUUGUCCGGCAAGGGAGCUAUCUCAUAUUCAGCCUCAACAGCUUCCCAGAGAUCCAAAGCUUGCAGAUAUAUUCGCAUUCUAACUGCCCAGAUUUGAUAACUUUCUCCAUCGAAAGUUGGUGGUGCCAUUGAAGAAAAAAUUGCUUCUCCGUUCAUGAUAUCCACUGGAUCAGAUUGAUGCACACACUCACAGGUCCCUUAAGAUUAAAGUUUUGAUACCAAUUGUUGGUUUAAACCGUUUAAGGGAAACAACGCAGGAAUUCAAUUUAAAAGCUAGCCGCAGAAACAGAGAUGGAGUUUGAAAAAGAGAAUAUGCAGAGAGUAAUUAUUUUCUUGUUGAAAGACCACCUCAAAUUGAUCAUCAACUUAGCAACUUAAAUAGUUGCUAUUACAACUAAAAAUAGGAUAAAAGAAACAACCUAUUUCUACCAAAAUUAGAAUAACUAAUUAGUUUUCUACCAAAGAUAGUACUCCUAAUUUAACUAGGAUUGUACGUAAAAAAAAUUGGAGAAAAAAAGAAAAAAAAAGCUGCAUUCUUAAAGCAACUUUCAACAGAUCUAUAUGCUAUUACAGGUGAAAAUGAAGAAUGAGAUGAGCAUUAUAGCAGUGUCAGGCAAGCAACUAUAAAUGGAGAAUGGGGUGUAGUUGCACUACAGAAUUUAAUUCCCAAUGAUUUGGUGACUUAUAUUGUUCAAAAUAUUAAACCACCCAGAUCUGAAGAAAUUAAUGAUAAGCCUAUUUGGAUGUUGGAUCCUAAAGACAGAUUUACUGUUAAAAGUUCAUGACAGUAUAUAAGUGUAACACCCCGUACUUAAUUACGUGCAUUAGCCAUGGUUAUAUGUGUUGGAGUAUAUGUAUUGAUCAUAAGUUAGGUAUAUAUGAGUUUAAGUAUGAGUAUUGAUUAUUUUGAGAUGGUUUCAAGUGUAUAGUUUGAUUAUAUGUGUAUAGGAAUCGACUUUAUUUACACCGGAAUUUGCUCGUCAAAGUUACUAUGCGAAGUUUAUUGAGUUAGCUUUCCAACGAUAUAAAGAUUUCUGAAAACAGAUAAGUAUCGGAUAUAAGCGAGCAUGUUCAAAUCUUGAAAACGGUGGACGCAAUGAACAGUAAAUGUGCAGAAAUUUUCUGCACACAAAAGUACUGCAGCCAAACAGAUUUUUGGGUCGACUUUAAACGAUCAUAACUCCUUGUACAAAAUGAACUGUGUGAGCUGCUAUAUAUCGAUGAGAAGCCCCGAGAGUCUUCUUUCUAAUGCAAUUGGUUUUAUCCAAAUCCGACAUCUGAGUAAUGAGUUAUACUCGUUUUACUUCAGCCUCUCAAAACAGAUUUNNNNNNNNNNNNNNNNNNNNNNNNNNNNNNNNNNNNNNNNNNNNNNNNNNNNNNNNNNNNNNNNNNNNNNNNNNNNNNNNNNNNNNNNNNNNNNNNNNNNNNNNNNNNNNNNNNNNNNNNNNNNNNNNNNNNNNNNNNNNNNNNNNNNNNNNNNNNNNNNNNNNNNNNNNNNNNNNNNNNNNNNNNNNNNNNNNNNNNNNNNNNNNNNNNNNNNNNNNNNNNNNNNNNNNNNNNNNNNNNNNNNNNNNNNNNNNNNNNNNNNNNNNNNNNNNNNNNNNNNNNNNNNNNNNNNNNNNNNNNNNNNNNNNNNNNNNNNNNNNNNNNNNNNNNNNNNNNNNNNNNNNNNNNNNNNNNNNNNNNNNNNNNNNNNNNNNNNNNNNNNNNNNNNNNNNNNNNNNNNNNNNNNNNNNNNNNNNNNNNNNNNNNNNNNNNNNNNNNNNNNNNNNNNNNNNNNNNNNNNNNNNNNNNNNNNNNNNNNNNNNNNNNNNNNNNNNNNNNNNNNNNNNNNNNNNNNNNNNNNNNNNNNNNNNNNNNNNNNNNNNNNNNNNNNNNNNNNNNNNNNNNNNNNNNNNNNNNNNNNNNNNNNNNNNNNNNNNNNNNNNNNNNNNNNNNNNNNNNNNNNNNNNNNNNNNNNNNNNNNNNNNNNNNNNNNNNNNNNNNNNNNNNNNNNNNNNNNNNNNNNNNNNNNNNNNNNNNNNNNNNNNNNNNNNNNNNNNNNNNNNNNNNNNNNNNNNNNNNNNNNNNNNNNNNNNNNNNNNNNNNNNNNNNNNNNNNNNNNNNNNNNNNNNNNNNNNNNNNNNNNNNNNNNNNNNNNNNNNNNNNNNNNNNNNNNNNNNNNNNNNNNNNNNNNNNNNNNNNNNNNNNNNNNNNNNNNNNNNNNNNNNNNNNNNNNNNNNNNNNNNNNNNNNNNNNNNNNNNNNNNNNNNNNNNNNNNNNNNNNNNNNNNNNNNNNNNNNNNNNNNNNNNNNNNNNNNNNNNNNNNNNNNNNNNNNNNNNNNNNNNNNNNNNNNNNNNNNNNNNNNNNNNNNNNNNNNNNNNNNNNNNNNNNNNNNNNNNNNNNNNNNNNNNNNNNNNNNNNNNNNNNNNNNNNNNNNNNNNNNNNNNNNNNNNNNNNNNNNNNNNNNNNNNNNNNNNNNNNNNNNNNNNNNNNNNNNNNNNNNNNNNNNNNNNNNNNNNNNNNNNNNNNNNNNNNNNNNNNNNNNNNNNNNNNNNNNNNNNNNNNNNNNNNNNNNNNNNNNNNNNNNNNNNNNNNNNNNNNNNNNNNNNNNNNNNNNNNNNNNNNNNNNNNNNNNNNNNNNNNNNNNNNNNNNNNNNNNNNNNNNNNNNNNNNNNNNNNNNNNACGGUACAGUAUUGAUUAUUGUUAGGUGGUUUGGAGGUUCGGGAGGAGGAGGUAAUGGCGAAUGAUAAUUGUAAAGAAUGAAGUGAACGAAUGUAUACCGUUCCAUAAAUGUGUUUGAAUUCAAGAACCCAAUUCAGAUUAAUGAUAAGAUAAUGUACAUGAUCCUAAAAGUGUUUAUGAAGUGUGGUUCACUUCUAUUAUGAUUUAUUCACUUGCGUCUGACUUUCUUGAUCCCCCAUACCGCAUAUAAUUAUUUACAGCUUUAUAUACUCAGACAUAUUUCGUACUGAUGUCCCUCACGGGGGACUUGCAUUUCAUGCUGCAGGCACAGGUGCUUCAGCUCAUUCACAGCAUAGAUAGGAGCCAGGUCAUACAGCUAUUGUUGGUGAGCUCCAGUUUGCUUCGGAACUUUCCGAAUCGGUCCCUUAUGUUUUGUUAUUGUACAGGAGUCAUGUGUGGGCGGGUGUUUGUCCCGACCCUAGUUAUGUCAUGUAUAUCUUAGAGGCUUUGUAGACAUAAGGAAGGGUAAAGUCAUGGAAGUUUAUAUAGUGAUGUUAUAUUUGUAUAUGUGGUGGCCCCGAGACGGCCAAGUAUUAUAUAUAUAUAUAUAUUUGUGCGUGUUGUGCUGAUACAGGUAAUUAGACCCUUCUAUAUGCAACGAAGUGCUGUCCAAAUUUUUGGUGACAUGUAAGUGAAAGUACAGGUAUCUGAACGGGUUCUCCCGGGCCUUCUCGGCUUCAGGUGCCAGUCCGGCCCGAUGGGAUUUUGGGGCGUGACAAUAAGACACAAAGAGGAGCCAAAUAAAAUUUAUAAGGGAAUGUGGGUGAAAGGCUUACCUUUCAAAAUUAAUUUUAAAAUGUGGAAAUUUUAUAUCCCGGUGGAUGACAGAAUCAGGAGGUGGGGUAUGCAAGGUCCCUCAAAGUGCUGGUGUUGUGUUAAUCCUCACCAGGAUAUAAUGACACAUGUUUUCUUAAGAAGUGGUACUUCUAACAGGACUUGGUCCUAUUUUUGUUCCUUUGCAGGUUUCAAUAUUGAAGGUCUCUCACUCAGAGAGGUUGUCAUGUUAUAGUGGAAAGCAGAUGUGUCGAAAGGAAUUAAACCGUACUAUAAAGCUAUGUCAAGUAUUAUAGUAUGGGUAUUAUGAAAAAGAAGGAAUAUAAGGAAGCAUGAAGGAAAGAAUAUUUCUGUGCAGAGAGUUAUUCAUAAUGUGAAUAUAACAAUGCAUAUGUUGCUAAAAAUUAGGAAGCCUGAAAGAAUUUUUAAGGGAGGAUGGCCGGAUAUACUGAAGGAUUUGGAGAGUAUAAAAGCUGGAAUUAAAGUUACAAUGGUUCUGUGGGAGUUUCCAAAUCAAGGAUGGGUUAAGUACAAUACUGAUGGUGCUUCAAGGGGUAAUCCAGGAGUUAGGUUCUUACGCAUUUUGUUUAAGGAACGAGGAAGGUGAUUUAAUAUUUGCUGAGGCAUUUACAAUGGAGGAAACAACAAAUACAGUGGCAGAAGCUACAACAAUGUUGAAAGCUAGUAAACAUUGCAAGCAUUCAAGUUAUGACAAGGCUAAAGCAUAUGGUGUUUCACAAGGCAAUAAAAGAGUGCUACGUAUUGUUACUUACCUAGUGAUGAAUCCUUGCACUACUGAAAGAGCAAAAAGGAGAUACCAAAUGGGAGCUGAGGUGUGCGGAAACAUUGUGCAGGUGUGUGAGAGGGAUUUGGAAAGAAAUGAGUUAGGAAUCCCUAUCUAUUUUUUAUAUGUAAUAAAGGGUGUGAGCUUUUUGGACAAGGCAGAUGGUGCUGCUGGAUAUUCUUUUUGCUUUGUUAUGUUUUGUUGGGCCAUUUGGUCUUGUAAUUAUUUGAGACAUAAAUAAAAUAUCAAAACUUUAACCAAAAAAAAAUACACGCUAAGGAUUGCAAACUUGUUGAAUAGUAUCAAACUUGGAGGCUACACUGCUUGUUAGUCUUCACUGGUCCCAAAAUACUUUUACACCUUCUUCUGCAUGUUUUGAUUUCAAGUGUUGUUUGCUUAGCAAAAUAAGACUAAUAGGGGACAAUUGUUUGUCUCAUACUAGCAACUUAUUGCCACAGUCUAAUAAAUGAGAGAAAACGUUAUUGUCUAAGCACCUCAUAGUCGUAGCAACACUUUAAAUUCGGGUUGAAGAUAGAUACAAAUGAGUAAACUAUCUAAUCCAUAUACUAAGUCAAUUCUAGGAAAAUUCAAUGACGUUAAACAUUAAGCCGGCUAAUUAACUACUACCAUAUAGAUAUUUGCAACUAUUGCUUUAUAAUAUGCUUUUCUAAGGAACUAUUUAGCCUUAUAUAAAGAAUUUCUAAUACUUCUACACAAUAUUGGUGUGAUAUUGUUGAAUUGCUUGAUAACGUGCUACUAGUUGAAUAUAGUAAAGGUCUAUGAAAUGAGAUCUAAAACUUCACCAAUAAAGGUCUGAGAAAUAAGAAUAUCUAACACUACACCAAUAACCUUUACUCUCCUCAAAUCCAGGAAGUUUCAUAUAGCAUAUUUUAUUGUUGACCCUUAUGCAUAUAAUCCAACAAAACUAGAAAAAGGAUUAAAAAAGAUACACAACAAAACCAAAUCUUGGCACAUGCAUCUUAGCAUGCAAGUCUUGGUCAACUGAUGCCUAUAUAAGCAUCUCGGAAAUAAGAGUACUACAUAGUGAAUUAAAAUCAAUUAAUACAUCCUUGAAGAAACAAUGAUCAUCUCUUUCCAUUCCAUUCUUGUUAGUUUCCUUAUUACAAUGAGUUCCUCCUUAUGUUGCUCUAGCGCCUUGGGUGGCAACAGCUCAGUUAUUAACUUUCAAGUGGGUGUGAUUCUUGAUUUGGACACACAGCUCGGGCACAGGGCUCUCGAUUGUUUGAUGAUUGCUCGUUCUGACUUCUACUCACACCAUCCCAACUACACAACAAGAUUAGUUCUUCAUGCCAGGGACUCCAAAGGAAAUGCAAUUGAUGCUGCUGCUUCCGGUAAAUACUCUUCUCCUCCUUUUCCUUUAACAUUCCUAUACACUCUCUGUUAGUAUCCUCUGUCAGAAACAAAGUCUGUGUUAAUGUCCACUGUCCAGUAGAGUAUUACUAAAACGGAAAAAUAGGAAAAGAAGAAAGAAGUACCUUCGAGGAUCAGUGUAGAAUUCAGAAGCAAAACAAUCUUCUUUAAUCUAGAACACCAUGGAGCAGUUGAUUACGCUGUAUCGUCAACCUCAGUACAUCAUGCCUAGAGCAAUGAUAUUGCUUUCCUUUUUUCCUCACUUUUUUGACUUCAUUUAUUGAUGUAGCUACUACUACUACUUUUAGCAGGGGUGGAGCUAGAUGCCAUAUACAAAUUGAGCAGAACCUAGUAGCUUUGGUCAAACAAUAUAUUCGUGCUGAGGAAUUCAUUAAAUCUGUACAUACAUUAAAUUUAAGACACAGGUAUUAGCACUUGAAGUCAUCGUUCUAAAAUCUAAAACCCUUAAAUUUGAAAUCCUGACUUCACCCGACUUUAAGGCAAUUAUGUGAUCCACCACCUUGAACACUGCCAUCAAUUUCAGUAAAUUUACCUACAGACAGUACAAUCAGCUAUAUCAUGAUAUCUGGUCUGCCUGAAUGGACUGUGUGCACGCCAAAACUUGGAAAGUAAAACAUACCUUAUAGGAGAAACUUUUGGGAUAUAAAAUCCAUCUUCCCUUCGUAUAAAAAUUGCAGGUCUUCAAUUGUUGAAAGAUAUAAAAGUCGAUGCAGUAAUCGGGCCUCAAAAAUCCUCACAAGCCCACUUCUUGAUGAAUCUUGGAGAGAGAGCGCAAGUCCCAAUAGUAUCUUUCUCCGCAACCAGCCCUUCUCUUCAACCUAGAACAAAUUUUUUUGUUCAAACAGUCCAGACUGACGACACUGAGGUUGGUGCCAUUGUCAAAGCCUUCCAGUGGAAUCAGGUUGUGAUCAUUUAUGAAGAUUCAGAGUACGGCAAUGGCAUUGUUCCUUACUUGUCUAAUGCCUUGCAAGAGAUCAAUGCCCGUGUUGCCUACAAAAGCCUCAUCCCUGUAUCAGCUCACGAGGAUUUUAUACUCAAAGAGCUGUACAAGAUGACGACCAUGCAGACUAGGGUAUUCAUAGUACAUCUGUCGUAUUCUCUUGGAGCCAGGUUCUUUCUAAAAGCCAAGGCAAUAGGUAUGAUGAGUGAGGGCUAUGUCUGGAUCAUCACCAGUGAUCUUAUGGACUUGCUUUCCUCCAUGAAUUUACAUGUUGUGGAAGCCAUGCAAGGCGUAUUGGGAGUAAAGCCACUAAUUCCCAAGACUAGCAAUCUUGAUCCACAUAGAUUGCGAAAGAAAAUUUUUGACAUUGCCAAUCCUGGUUAUAAACCAGCAGAUAUUGUGAGCAAUUUUGAUGCAUGGGCAUAUGAUACCAUGUGGGCACUAGCUAUGGCUGCUGAGCAAGUUGGAACUCACUAUCCAGAAGCUUCAUAUCAGGACACAACUGCCGACCUCAAUUCUUCAGACCUAUUCAACCUUCCUAUCUCAAAAAGAGGUCCUAAACUUCUCAAAGCAAUUCUGACGACUAGGUUUAAAGGGCUUAGCGGGAUAUUCCAUCUCGUUGAUGCUAUGGCUGCUGAGCAAGUUGGAACUCACUAUCCAGAAGCUUCAUAUCAGGACACAACUGCCGACCUCAAUUCUUCAGACCUAUUCAACCUUCCUAUCUCAAAAAGAGGUCCUAAACUUCUCAAAGCAAUUCUGACGACUAGGUUUAAAGGGCUUAGCGGGAUAUUCCAUCUCGUUGAUGGAAAAUUGUAUCCAUCGUCAUAUAAAAUACUCAAUGUUGUUGGAAAUGGAGAGAAAGAAGUAGCAGUCUGGACACCGUCUCAUGGAUUAAAAAGGGUGAGACGCAACACUGCCGACAAAUUUAAUUCAACUGAGGAUUUCAGUAGUAGCAUCAUGUGGCCAGGGAAAUCUAGAGUGAUACCAAGAGGGUGGGAAGUUCCAGUGAGGGGUAAAAAGCUAAGAGUUGCAGUGGCAGUGAGACCUGGUUUUGAGGAAUACUUGAAUGUGAUGAGGGAUUCGAGGACAGGUGCUGUUCACUUUGGUGGGUACUACAUAGAAGUAUUCAAAUCAGUGAUGGCAGCUUUACCAUAUGCAGUGCCUUACGACUUCAUUCACUUUGAGAAGCCAGAUGGCUCAUGCGCAGGGAGUUACGACGAUCUUAUAUAUCAAGUGUUUCUUCAGGUAACUAUACUAUAAACUAGUCCUGGAAGCAGAAAUGUGAUUAAGCUAUCCAAUUAGUCGUUCCUCUUAUUUCCUCACCAGAUUGUGUUUCUAUUCUUUGACCCUGCAAAAUCAGAAUUAUGAUGCUGCCAUUGGAGAUAUUACAAUCACAGGAAACCGAUCAAACUACGUGGACUUCACUUUGCCAUUCGCAGAAGGAGGAGUGGUCAGAAUUGUUCCAAUUACCUACGAGGAUGAUAAUGGUAUGUGGACAUUCUUGAAGCCCAUGAAGAAAGAACUCUGGCUCACAAGUAUAGCCUUCUUCUUUGCUACGGGUUUAGCUGUUUGGAUUCUUGAACACAGAACAAGCUCAGCUUUUCGGGGUCCUCCUUCAUACCAUCUUGGCAUGAUCUUCUAUUUUCCCUUCUCCACUUUAGUAUUCGCACACAGUGAGUUGAUCUUAUCUAAAAGCAUCUUCUUCAUCUUGCAUAAAUGACUUUACCUGACUAUAUUUAUUAUUUUAUAGGAGAAAGAAUCGUGACCAAUCUGGCUCGUCUGGUUGUAGUAGUAUGGAUGUUCGUAGUACUCAUAUUGAACUCCACUUACACUGCUGGCCUAUCAUCAAGAUUGACAGUGCAGAGGCUACGACCAGCUAUUGCAGAUGUGAAGAAACUCAUCAGGAAAGGACAUUCUGUGGGCUGCUACCAAGGCUCAUUUGUAUGUGAUAAUUUAAGGGGGAUGGGUUUUAAUGACUCAAAGAUCAAGAUGUACAGGCUUCCAGAAGAUUAUAAAGAAGCUCUGUCAUAUGGAAGCAAAAGUGACAGCAUAUCAGCAUUUUUUGAUGUGGUUCCUUACUCCAAACUCUUUCUAUCGAAGUACUGUGACAAGUACACCAUUGUCGGCCCUACCUAUCGCACUGAUGGUUUUGCCUUUGUAAGCAUUAAAGCCUAUAAGCUCUACUUACUCUAGUCUCCUUUUAGUACAUUUGACAAUUAUGGUGUCUCGGCCAACUUGUGCGCACCUCAACUAAUCCACUCGAUGCCUGCUACCUCCUACUAGCACAAGUAUCAAGUAACUUCGUCCACAACGGUUAGGCAUGUGGGAAGAAAUCAUCUAGUGUUUUUUGCCGCCACUAAAAUUUAAACCUAAGACCUCAUGAUACCCCACCCCCUCUCCCACACACUUCGUUGACCCCUAGGCUUUCAUCCAUUUCCCCCUCGUAGUAUUCAGUGCAGACUGGUAAACAAAGCUCCUGCUCUGCGCGGGAUCUGGAAGAGGGCCAGACCACAUGGAUCUAUUCUGUGCAGCCUUACCCUGCAUUUCUACAUGAGGUUGUUUCCACGGCUUGAAGUCCUGACCUCCUAGUUACAUGGCAACAACUUUACCAUUUCCCCGUUGUAGCAUAUAUUUACAAUAGUGUCAUCCCUUUUUCUAGCUGGUGUACUCAUGUCUUUUGAAAAUCAACAGGUUUUCCCAAAGGGAAGUCCUUUGGUGGCUGAUGUCUCUCGAGCAGUUAUCAAGCUAACAGAGAACGGUGAGAUGUUAGACAUCCAACGGGAGUGGUCCAUAAGUGAUCCCACAUGUAAUGGCCCAGACACUACUGAAACUUCAGUCAGUGUCUCACUACAAAGUUUCAAAGGGCUCUUUGCUAUAACUGGCGCCAUCACAUCUUCAUGCUUACUAAUUUUCAUAGCCAACUACGUUUACAAAAACAGAAGUUCUCUUCAGCAAAUUUUGAAUUCCAGAACUACCGCUUGGUCCAAAAUUAAAGAAAUAGUGACACACUUUGACCAAAGAGACCUCUCGUCUCAUCCUUCUAUCAUGGAAAGAGACCCGAAGUUUAAGUAUCCAAAACCAGAAGUAGCAGAAAUUGUUUCGUCAUCAGAGUCUGUUGACUUGUCCAACACUAAUCUAACGGUACACAGUCUGCCCAUGAAUAUUCUUUCCACUCAAUUCAACAACGUUGCAGUGCCAAACAUACCUACAGAUUCAACUUUUUCAAACUCUACUGUUGUGUCACCUGUUUCGGAAGAAGAAUCAAACACCGCCAUUGACGCCUCUGACAGCUGACAACAGCAAUGCAAAAUCAGACUCCUAGCAUCUGCUCAUCAGUCACAAUAGUCGUAUAGAUGUACAGUAUAUUGGCAUGUAAAAUCCCAGGUCAUGAUAUGUAGAUGCAGAAUUUAGAUGUCGCAAAAAUAGGAAGAAUAAAGAUCAGGGUGUUUAGCAUCUUUCAGAACUUGAUAUCAUGUCCCCAGUAGUAACUGUAACCUGCCAUGGAUCUAGGAAACCAGCUUGCACUCAGUACAACAACAACAACAAACCCAGUGUAUUCCCACAUAGUGAGGUCUGGCUUGCACUCAGUACUAAAAGAAAAAAAUAAUGUGCACCGCGUCACCUACCAUGAUUACAAAUGAACCCACACACUGUCACCACAACCCAGUUCCCCAAUAAAAUUGAUCAGAGAAAAGAACAUCACAAAAAAGAGACUAUAUUUACUUACUUUCAGUAGGUUUGUUCUGGAAGGAUUGAAAAGAAAGCAACAGAAAGCAGGUAUUAGAUUCCUUAUCCCUAGAUUUCUCCUGCACCAGCUAUCAAUUACUGCAAAUGAUUAUAGAGUUUUACCAAAGAAAAAGAAAGGGAAAAAUACACAAGAAAGCUUCUUUUAGUGAAGUAAUUAUACAAUUGCAGAUAGCUAGGGAGAUAGCGAUAUGGCACUAACAUAAUAGAUCCUGCUAAGAAUUGCAAAAGAAAUUGCUUUUUGCUGACAAUAUGAUUAACUAAGAUGAACAUCAUUAAGUUAUCUUUAGUUUUCAUCCGUGUACAUGUGAUGGAAAAAAAAGAUUUACAGCUACAAGGGAUACACCUUCUCUUCCUAAACUGCACGAGUAAAUAGAUUUCUAUCUAUCCUCUAGAAAUAAAAAGAUACUGAACCUACAGGCAGCAUUUUGUAACAUGGAUGAGCAAGCUGAAAGUUAGGACUGCACUUAUCAGAAGAAUAUUGUUGUAUCUAGAACACAUCAGAAGUUUACAUGGAAUAGCAUGAUACAGUAGAUACUACAUGCCCAUGAUAGCUAGUAUUUGAUUCUUAUACUCGAACUGGACCUUGUUAAUAGCUUCACCACCUCUUUCAUAGAGGGUCUUCUGCUUACAUCCUUCUCUGUACAUCUAAGAGCUAGUGAAAGCACUUCAAUUACUUGUUCCAUGACACUUGAGUCCAUGAAUUCGUCCAAAAGGCUUGGAUCCACAAUCUCCUCAAUUUCUUCAAUUUCUGUCCAAAUAGACCUAACCCAACUGACAAUAUCUGUAUCCCCAUACAAUGAAGGAUCCAAGGCCUUCUUUCGAGUUAUAAGUUCUAACAGGACAACACCAUAACUAUAAACAUCUGACUCCUUGCUCUUUGAAGCUGCAAAUGCAGUUUCUGUCAACAAAACAGACAAGACACAGACAAUAUUAUUUUUCUGCAGAUGACUUGGUUUCCAAUAAGAGAGCAACUGAAAGGAUGUGUGAGGAAAAAAAAUGAAAACUAGGAAGAUACCUGGAGCCAUGUAUCCAACUGUACCCUGGAGGGUAUUGGAGGUGGAAGUUGCUCCAGACUGAUCAAGAAGCUUGGCAAUGCCAAAAUCAGAUAUGUGAGGCUCCAGAUCUGAGUCCAACAAGAUAUUCAUGGGCUUGAUAUCUCGAUGAACGAUUGCAGGAUCACAGUCAAAGUGGAGAUAUGACAACCCUUGAGCAGUUCCAAUAGCAAUUCGGUACCGAACACUCCAUUCUAAUGCUACAGGUGGAUUAAUCUCAUGGAGAAUAUCAUGAAGGCUCCCGUUCUCCAUGUAGUUAUAAAGAAUCAGUCCAUAAUCCUUUCUCAGCCAGAAGUCUUCUAAUUUGACAAGAUUGCGGUGUCUAACCUUUCCAAUUGUCUGAAUUUCCCUAACCAUACUUGUGCUUCCAUCCUUUAUACCAACAAACACCAGCUUCUUCACGGCAUACACUUUCCCUGGACCCAAGAUGGCCUUAAAUACAAUUCCAUGUGCUCCCCUCCCAAUGACAUACUUAUCAUUUAGGUUCUCUGUAGCUUCCAAUACUUUAUUAAGCAGGGAUGAAGCACCUUCUUGAGCACAGAUUGCAACUCCUUUCCCAGAAUUUUUGCGCCACAGAAGCAUGUAAGCAAUUACUAGGAGUAAGCAAAUGGUAAAUAACAGUACCCCAAGUGCAAUCAUUGUCGUUUCUGCUCCACUUAGGUGUCUUCCAUUUUUUGAUUGGAGAUCACAAGGCCUUAGAGUGCCAUUCUCAGGGCAAUUUGAGCCUUUUUCUGGAUCACAGUGCACGCAAAGGCCAAAGUUUCCCGAGAAAGAGGUAGGUGUUGAGUUUAGGAACUUCAUCAAAUUUGCAGGUACUGGACCAGAAAAGAGGUUGUGUGACACAUUGACGAAGAUCAAUGAACGCAUCCCCUCAAAAAUUCUUAAAGUUCCAGUAAUAUUGUUUCCAGCUACAUCUAACUUCUCCAGGAAAGUAAAUUUCCCUAGCUCUGCAGGAAUUUCACCUGUCAACCCGUUACUACUCAGAUUCAACAACCUCAGUGUUUCUCUUGAUGAAGUCGCAAUUGCUGAAUGAAUUUCACCACCAAGUGCAUUUCCGCCAAGCUGCAGCUCAGACAGCUUCUUGAGUUCAAACAAGGAGGUUGGAAUACCUCCUGAAAGAUUAUUCUCACUCAGACUCAAAAUGGAUAGCUCUCCCAAGCUUCCAAACGUGGAUGGGAUCGAUCCACUCAACAAAUUAUGGCUUGCAUCAAACUGCAACAGUCUCUGCCAGUUUGAAAGUUGAGAUGGCAGUACACCUUCCAAACUAUUGUACGACAAAUCAAGAACCUGGAGGUUGACAAGGUUUGCCAGCUCUGGUGGUAUAAACCCCGAGAGCUUAUUCACUGAUAAGUCAAUUAAUGUAACAUUUCCAAGAUUUGCCAAACUUGGGGGUAUUCUCCCACUGAAGCCAUUUUCACUGAGAUCCAAGAAAAUAGGAUUUAUAUUCUUACCAAAAUCUGGAAUGGCACCUGAGAGUUUAUUCUUUUUGAGAAUUACUCUCGCCAAAGUAGCACACUUACCUAAUUGAGAAGGAAUGCCACCUUCAAAAUGAUUAUAACCUAGCAUAAGUUUCUGUAGUUUCUUGCCAAAACAAAGAUUAGGUGGAACAGGACCUGUGAAGGCGUUGUUCGUGAAAUCCAGCAGCGUUAGACUGCUGUUAAUCCCCAAACCUUGAGGUAUAACUCCAGUGAACCGGUUGUCAAAUAAAGAUAUGUUCUUCAGUUGUUUCAACUCGGUCAUUUCAAGAGGUACCUCCCCGGUCAGGUUGUUCCGAUAGACAAGAAAAUGUUGAAGACUUUGAAUCUUCCAAAUGGCACGGGGAAUCUCGCCGCUCAAUUUGUUGGAAUAUAGAGCGAGAUACUGCAACUGGCUGAGUGACCCUAGUUCACUAGGAAUUUCACCUUCCAGUUGGUUUUCUGGUAAAAGUAAUUCCAGCAAGGACUGGCACUUCCCCAGCUCAGGUGGUAUUUUUCCAGAGAAAUUGUUGUCAGCAAGGUAAAGCUUCUCUAACUUUGUGAGCUGGCCUAGAGAAGCAGGUAUAGGGCCACUUAAACUAGAAGAGAAAGCAGCAAGAACUCGUAGGUUAGUACAAUUGCUCAAACUUGGUGGAAGAUUUCCAUUUAAAUUGUUGGAUGACAAGACCAAAGUGUCAAGAUCUUUGCAGUUCCCACCUAAACUGAAAGGGAUACUUCCUUGUAGUCUAUUACUGCUUAAGUCCAAAUAAACAAGGUGUUCUAGCUUAUCUAAAUUCUCAGGCAAACUACCAACUACAUUGUUUUCAUUCAAAUACAGUUCUUGCAAGUUAGUACAGUUACUAAUGGAAGACGGAAUUGGACCGAACAACUCAUUGUCAUAAAGAAAGAGAGACACAAGCUUAGUCAAGUUGCCAAUGCGAGAUGGGAUGGAACCAUUUAACCUGUUUUGGAAAAGGUAAAUGGAGUCCAAAUGUGGGAUAGAAAACAAGGAAUCAGGAAUAUUACCAGUCAAUGAAUUAGCGUAGAGGCUUAUGUAGGUCAACUUGUGUAAAUUUCCAAUCUUUGAAGGGAUUUCUCCAGUAAAGGUGUUGUAGGACAGGUCCAAGUAAUCAAGAAGAGUGCAAUUUACGAGUUGAGAAGGAAUAGGGCCAAAGAAAGCAUUAUAGCUCAGAUCAAUGGUACGCAAGUGCUCCAAAUAAGCAAUUUCAGGACCCAAUUGGCCAGAGAUUCCAUAGCCAGAGAGGUUCAAAGAAGUGACAAGGUGAGUGGUAUCACAUUCCACACCAACCCAAGAACAGGGAGUGGAAUCUGAAGCAUUCCAAGAAGACUUAACAGAGGAGGGCACAGCAGUCCAGUGCCUGAAAAGGGAAAGUAGAACUGUGCCAUGGGAAUUGAGAGCACAAACCGACACAGAGAAGCAGCAAAGGUAGAAAAAGAUGACAUUUUUGACAUCAAUCUUCAUAAUUUGAACAAGAAUAAGAGUGCUAUUAAGCUAGCUGGAUAUAAACAAGAAAUGUUUGUGGGAAGCAGGAAGAAAUUUGAGGUGUAAUUUAAGGAGGGGAAAAGGAAAUGGGAAUUUUCUUGAACAGCGUGAUGGUCGUCUAAGUGUGAAAGGAAAUGGGAACAUGUUGAGAAAACACCGCUGCGUCAAAGGGAUAAAUAUGAAAAUAGUGUGCUGCUUUAACUACCUUAGAUCAGUAGAGGAGAGGGGGGAGUUAAAAGUAGGAGGAUUUUCUUUUUUAAAGAUAACGAAAUGUUCGAUGAUGGUGGAACGAACUUUAAUAAAGAAAUGUUCCGGCAGAAAUGUGGUCCCCACCAUUCCGUUCAUCUGUGUGCGUAUGGACUCUUUUUGACCACUUCCUUGUCUAAUUCAGUGACUGCCUCUGUCGUCUGUGUUUCUGGGGGAUUAAUUAAUAUUAAUUUUUUGUAUAAUUGCAGUGCUAUGUUCGUAGCUUAAUUAGAUAGAUGACAUUUUGCUUGCCGAUAACUAGUUUUGCAACAACUGCAGUACCAUCAUUUCAAGUGGACAAUCUCAAAACAAAGUGACCGGCCUAAACUUGGUGUACAUUUGUACGUCUUCAAAUUUUGUCAUUUUAAAAUACUAGAAAUAAGGGAAUAAAAUUUAAAAAAAAAAAAAAAAAUUACGGAUGGGCAUUGAACAGGGCAGCAAGGCUGCUUUGGAAUUUUUAAAAAAUGGGGAAAAAGAAAGCAAAAGACGCUUGUUGAGAGCUAAGAGGACAUAGGACCAGUUCUCAAACAAGUGAACCAAUCCAUCUCCUUCGACCAUAAGUGCCUUCAAAUAAUAUAUUUUAAUAUACAACCAAUCCUUUUUUUUUUUUAUUUUUUUUUAUUUUACACAAAUUCGCCCCUAUGUGAACUGGGUCUGGGUAUGUUGUAGCGUGUGAAAAUGUCACAUAUUCAUUGCUUUCAUGUAAACACCAGGAGCGAAUCAUGUGCUGUGCUUACUAGUCACUCGAACAUAACAAGACACUGAUAACUUGCAUAAAUUUUAUGAUAAUUAUGCAGUAAUAAUAAUACAAGUGACCUUACAUAAAGAUCACGUAUUUCAAAGAUAUUUUUGUAAAACUAUUGUACCCAAGAAAAAAGAAAAACAAUACAAAUAUCACCUAAUGCCACCAACCAACCAAACACUGCAUUAGUAAAGAUAUAAAUGAUUUCACAUAGCCAACGAUACGCUGCAUAAUCAUUCGGAGAUCAUCUUUUCAGUCCCUCCAACCAAACAGUCCAUUGAUAAAACUUAGGCAAUGCACCAUUCCGAAGUUUUAACCAAUGAAAUCAAGUUAGAUGGUUAUAACCUCUAAAUUAAAUAAAAGAACAAAUACUGGCUGAUUUAGAAUCUUCCGGAUUUUCUGAUCCUACAAAAUCCUUUAACUAUUGCUCUUCAAAGUCGCUCACUCUAAAUUGUAACACAUCAUAUAUCCAACCAAAGCCAACCAUGAAACUCAAGGAGUCCAAACGUUUGAUUGCAGUUGGACUAUUGAAGUCAGCUGAGAAAAAAGGAAACAAGCAAGACAAGAACUAUCUUUCUCAUAGGGCGCCACAUCAACAUCUAUAUGAUAGUGCACACUCUGCUUGCGGAACAAAAUACCUGGACAAAGCAACUCCAGCAAUUGGCCAUUCCCAAGUAAGAGGAAGUCCCCUCUUUUAGCACAUAUCCUGCAUAACACAAGCACAGUGGAAUUUCCAGGAUCUGAAAACCUGGAUGUUACAGUGUUAUCAUCAGUUUUAAGUUAAAGAGGUUAAUGGAGUGACUGACAACCCUAACCAGAGAGAGUUGAGAUGGAUGAUCACAAUUUAUGAUGCAGAUUCUAUUUCACUACAUACAUAAUACAUUGAUAGAGGUGAUAGCAAGUCAUUUGAGGUUUAAAACAUAUGUUAGUACCAAAUAAAGAAAUUCUCAAAUGUAGAAUACAAUGUGACACCACAGACCAACACGAUGUAAGACCAGAAAUUAAAUGCAUCCUAUGAAAUCACAAAUGUGAACCCAGAAUAAGCCGACAAUGUUGAGAUGACAGUGCUUCAAAUGCAUGUCUAGGAUAAACUAUGAUAUGGUCCAAAAAGAUGUUCAUGUCAAGAUGACAAUGCCCAUGACUUGAUGAUAGCAAGGAUGCAUGCAACAGCUGCAUGAUGCAUUUGUAUUUAGCAGAGCAUAGAGAACAGAAUACAUCCCUGAAGCUACUGGCAGGUCAGAGGUGGAGGACCUCCAUUUGCGUUGGAGGCAACAGCUGGGUGGCCAAAGUCCUUCCGUUUCCCAAAUGGAUUCUUUGACUAUGUAGCUGAAUAUUAAGGAGAAAACAUGGUCAUCCAAAGAAUGUUAGAACAGAUUAGAUUUUUUUUUAAAAUCAGGGACAGGUUAGAAAUUUAUAAAACUCAAACUCCUAAAGGAGUACUUUGCAUGAGCCCUAUCACGCCUUUGUAGCAUAAAUUAUCAUCUCUACUUCUCACAUAGAUCGUGGUUUUAUGUAUUAGGAAAAAGGCUACAGGUAAAGUGUAAGCUUUUAAAGAAGCAUAGACCUUUCUCAAAUGUCACGUGGAGACACAAAGCACUAUCAUCAUUUUCUCUUUCCAUUUUGGAUGUUAGGAAAGAAAAAGAACAAUGGAAAAAAUUUUAAGAGGUUGGCCACAACAUUUGCAAAGGAAGAACAAGCCAACAUCAUGAAUAAAAUGCUAGUCAGGUGUCUCUCGGUUAGCAGCAAUCAUAAUGAUAUUUCAAAAACUGAGAGUUCUCCACUUCCGAAAAGCCCUAUGAAUCACAAAUUCCAAAGGGAGCUUCAGCAUGUAAAUAUUGCCCGUUCAGCGUCCCCGAAGAUAACUUUGUUCAACUAGAUUGUAUCUGUGUAAGCACAGAGCCCAUAAAAUAUUUGCCCAACAUCAAAGUUCACACUUUCAAGUCAACAGUCAGACUCAGAUCGCUAAAACAACAAAGCGGCAGAAACAAAGAGAAAAGGAUGAUUAUGAAAUAUCAAGAUCCAGAAGAUGAGACAGCUAAACAAGAAGAAAGGAUAUUGAAUUCGCAUGCCAACUGAACUAGAGCUCGGUAUGACAGCACCCUGCAAAUUCUGGUGCACAUUGGUGGCGCUAUUCAUGUGCUGCAUAUACGAAGGGCAGAAGUUGAUAAUCGAAAAGGAGCACAGAAUGUGCACACAAACUAAAGAUGAAUCGAGAAGAAUCUUGCACGGGACAAUACGGAACUUACUUCAAAUUCGAUGAAACACACUGUGUCUUUCCUGUCUCAAAACCUUCAUCUGCUUGAAACCAGGUUGUCUGGUAGUUCAUUAAGCAAAUGAAUAGAUUAGACAAUAGAGGGAGACAUAUAAAUAAGAAAUAAUACUUACGCAUAAAAAGAAUAGCAAAAGCCAUACCCGCUGAUAAGUCCCCGCAGCUCUUCCUCAUUUAUAUUCUCUCCAAGAUUGCCAAUGAACAGGGUAUUGCAAGCAGGGUUGUCUUUAGUAUUCUACUAGAAAGGAAAAAAUAGAUCAGUGGAUAAAGCAAAACACAAACUAUACCAUAAAAGGUGCAGAAAUCUUCAGAACAAGCAUAUACUGCACAAAUGCUACAUCCACCAGCUAUAUAGAGCAGAACUCUGUCUCAACAAUAUCAGCAGUAACAGUCUCCAAAUGAUCAGCAAAACACAACACUAUUAAACUGAAGGAAGUCAGAUAAGACAAACUUAACAAUAAAGUUAAUACCCUAACCAUAAACGAAUAUGCCAUAGUAAACCCAGAUCAAAAACAGAAAUAAGACAACCUAAAAAGAAACACUAAGAGAAGGCACGCUGGAAAAUAUGUCAACCCUUAGUUCUCUGUUCUAACACAAAGCACAUUGCAGAGACAUGCAUGCAUCACCUGGACUGGCGCAUAACUGCUUGGUGCUGGCACAGGAGCAGGCGCCGACACUGGCAUGUGAGCAACAGGGUAGCCUCCAUAAGGAUUGUAUGGUGGAGGACCUUGAGUGAUACACCUGAGACACAAACUCCCUUACCUUUUUUUUUUCAUUUGGGGGUGGAUUGGGGAUUGGAAAUAAAGGACAUACAAUCACUAACUACUAAUAAAAUAAAUCAUAAAACCCCUUUCAACUUUCUUUUCUUGUUUCUCCUAGAAACCUGACUAUAUAUAGUUCAGAAAUUAGCUCUAAACUGCAAGAACAAUCAAUUCCUAUCAAUAUCACAUUUUUCGUCAUAAUGUUGUUUUAAGAUGCAAAAGAAAAUUUUGCAUUUAGAAGAACUCUUACCCAUGUAGUGCCCAGACAGGUGCCGGGGGAGGGUGGAAAGGAGAGGGACUUGAAUAACCAGUGUGUGUUUAAUCACCUCCAGUACGCAUACGUUUACUCGGGUCAUGUGCAUUUGAAUCAGCUACAAUUCCUGCAGACAUAUCAAAUAAGAAGAGCUUACUGUAACGUUGUUUGUCAUACAAAUAGUGGAAUCCUGCAUGAACACAGUCGCGACAACCUAAACAAGCAAAUAAAUAAAAGAGGAUUCUCGGCAAUGGAGAUCAACAAAGAUGGGAAGAAAAGUGAAAUUGAAUAAGUAGAAUGUGAAGAAAAUUAUUACGCCACUAGGGUUUCUUUAUGUAUCUUGAUGUAUUAUCUAAAGAUAAAAACUACACCUAUUAAAUGGAGAUUAGGUUAGUGGCGAACCAAGAAGGCUGACACACUUGCUAAAUAACGGUGGGUGAAACCACUAGAGCAGAUUAUCUCCAAGGAUCUAAAAGAUUAACCACAAAUUAUGAAAUUUAAGAAAACUCGCAACCAACAACAACAUCAACAACAAACCCAGUGUGUUCCCAUAAAGUGGGGUCUGGGGAGGGUAAGAUGUACGCAGUCCAUACCGCUACCUUUGCAGAAGUAGAGAGGCCGUUUCUGAUAGACCCCCAGCUCAAGAUAAAGAAUAGUAGACCUAAGGAAUAAUAAAAAGUAAAUCAGAGCAAUACGAAAUACGAGAGAUAAAGCAACACGAAAUAAGAAAAUAGCAACUGAGAAAUCAUGAAUGGGACACCCACGUAUAAGUAACAAAUACUCACAGCCAUAGACACCUAUGAACCCAGUCCUAAAAUUACUAACCCGGCUACACAAGAUCUCUCCUAAUGGCUUGCUACAGCCCACACCCUCCCGCUAGCCUUCUACCCUUAUCCGCGACCUCCACACCUUCCUAUCUAGAGUCAUGUCCUCAGUAAGCUGCAGCUGCUCCAUGUCAUGUCUUAUCACCUCCCUCCAGUAUUUCUUCGGCCUACCUCUGCUCCUCCUGAAGCCAUCCAACGCUAGCCUCUCACACCUACGAACUGAGGCAUCCGCGUCCCUCCUCAUCCCAUGUUCAAACCAUCUCAUCCUUCCUUCCCGCAUCUUGUCCUCCACCGAAAAAACUCGCAACCAUUGAAAUAAAAAACAAUGCAAAUCAGAAAAAGACAAGAGCAGCAAAGUUGAAUUUGACACCUCAAACCAAUACAAAUCAGAAAAAGACACAAAGCUUGUGCUUAUAACUCGAACAGACAUUGGCAUUUCUCUGUUAAAACUUUGCCUAUCUCACUUUCGAUUAGAGUGCUUUGACUUUGGUGCUGCGAAUCACUAUCUCAUGCUACAGCCUACUAACUUGGUUUAAAAUCAAACAGGCUUACCCUAAAGGAUCUCCUUUAGUUGCUGAUGUGUCAAGUGCAGUCAACGAACUAACAGAGAAUGGGAAGAUCCUGGAAAUGGAGCGAAAUUGGUCGAGAAAUGAACCAAUCCGUGCAGGACCUGACAACAGCAUAAACUCAAUCACGAUCUCAUUGCAAAGUUUCAAAGGCCUUUUUGCCAUUACAGGAGGAGUUACAGCAGUUUGCCUCCUCAUUUUCAUAGCCAGCUACCUCUACAAGUACAGAGAUUUCCACCAGAGAAUCUCAAAUUCACAAACCACAAUUUGGUCAAAAGUCGUAGCAAUUAGCAGACACUUUGAUCAGAGACCUCUAUCAUCCUGUCAACCACAAGAUAAACUUCCAGAAUUUGGAAUUACUCAUAAUAAUUCUUCAGAAAAUUCUAUCCAACCAACAGAUUUGCCAAUACAUCAUCAUCCCAACUCCAAUGAUAUUGUAUCCUCUGCACCAGAAGACGUACAGGAUGCUAGUGGAACAAUUCAUUAUUCGAAUUUGGAAGACAUGUCUGCUGCAUAACACUCAGUAGUAGUCCAUCCAUCUGCAUAACUGAACUAAAGAUAGUCAUAGUUUUCAGUGUGCAAUUUCGGUUUCUUUUUUGCCUUUUCUGGGCCAGUAAAGUUGCUCUGUACGUAUUACCAACUAAUUGUGCAGUUCUAUCUUCUUCUUCUUCGUUCAACUAUUAGUUCCAACUAAUGAAACUCAGAAAGUCACUCAACUAAUAGUUAUUAUCAGAAAGUGAGUUUCUUUGUUGAACAAAAUUCAAAACAGGAUAGAUAAUUGUGUAACCUCCUGGAAGAUAUUACUACCAGCAAACAAAAUAACGAACAAAUAUUGUAAAAUAGAGGAUAAAACCAGAAACCAACAGAAUUUUCACAACUUACAUCACUUACCCAUUUAUGAUCCAAUGGAAUGGAUUUUUAGAGGAGAAGUCAAGUUAUUAAAUAGUGAAACACAAGUGAAAAUCCAGAAAAGUGUUGCUGUAGCCCAGAAGAAAACAACACUACCACAGAAUCUUUCAGAACUACGAGGCACCCCAAAGGUAUCUGAAGAGAAUUGCCCAAUAUGCCAAAAUCUGCAUGUAACCCGAGAAUUUCUGUGUGCAGUUUUUGAAUAUGCAUUCUAAUUGCCAACUCCACCCUAGCAUCGUUAUAUCGUCUGUCACUACCAAGAGGAGCAAAAAGAAUAAAUAAUCAUUCAAUUUCUCUUGCUCCAUGCAUGCUUAAUUUUAGUCUUUACAAGAAGAUGUAGGAGCAGAACAAACAAAAAGUUCCCAUUGUCAAAGAGUACAUAACUCAUUCCUAUUAAGUACAUCCAACCAGACAGGAUCAGAUUUCUUCCAGAUACAUGAAAAGAUGAGACUAGAGACAACCACACCAAAUAACCAAAAAGAAGCUUAAACCCGAAUUAACAAUAAUUGAAAUGAGAUCAUGAACUCGAAGCAUUGUUGGGAAACAUCAGAUAUCUUCUGUCAUGAACUUCACAGAACAAAUACGAAAUAGUGACAUCGGAUGAUAUUCUGAUAAUUGUGGAAUCCAGUACAAGAUUAAGAUAGCAAUACAAGGUAAUAAAAUACUUGCUGAAGAAAGAGAAAAUAAAGGGAAGAUAAAGCCAUAGACAGAGAGAAAUAUCUUAACCAACUUUUCCGACCGCUACUCUACCUACUCGUAUUAUUCUAUUUAAACCAGUGCUACCUCGCCCACGCCUUUUGGCAACACCGCAGAUAUAAUUAGCCAGUUUCUGAUUUGGUAAUCGCACCCUUUUGCUUCUUCUUGGAAGAUUGCCAAGUCCACUUGAUGGCUCAUUUUCACAGCUUGCCCAAACAACCUCAUCAGUUAUUAGGCCCAGAUUUGUGAAAAAAUAGUUACUCAACUCCUGUUGCUCCAUACAUGUAAAAUUUUGCAUUUCGACUUGCUUUAACUUUUGCCUCCAACAUUUCCAAGUUAAAGAUGUGCAACAAGGCUUCUUAUCUUCAUCUGACGCAUCUUCAUAAAUAAACUGUAAAGACAAGAAAAUCAGCAUGUAAGGACUAUGUACAACAAGAGCAAAGAUAAAAAGAACUGUCUUCAUGAAGCUUUAAAGGUAUCGGGUUUAGUUUUUGACCGCUUUGACCGCUCGAAAACAAUAUUCUCUUUUUUUAAUCGGAGCAAUAUUUUGUUGAAGGGUUAAGACUCUUGGUUUUAUUCAAUGGGCAACACUUUGCCCUAAUGUUGACAGACUUAUAAGCGCGAACCAACAACAAUUAACCAGAAAAGAGCUAUGUUGCUUGGAUUCUCCAAAUAUAUUGUCGUACCCGUGUCGGAUCCUCCAACAAUACACUACUUUUGGAGGAUCCGACAUGCACAUGUCUACAUUUUUGAAGAGUCCGAGCAACAUAGGUAAAGAGGCCAUAUCACAUUAUGUGGUAAAAAGAUUCAUAUAAACAAAUUUUAAGGGCUAAGAAGAAUUUCACAAACUCAAUUAUCCCUCUAUAGGCUUAAAUUGACCAGUUAGCAGGUAAUUGCAAUGUUAGGUCAAGAAACCAAUUCCAAUGGUGCUAUGCUAGACACUGAAUCAAGAGGCUUGUAAAAACAAGGAAGAAUUUACCUUCAGGGUCUUUAAGUCAGCCUGGUGAAAAGAUAAGGUGUCCAGUUGAGGAGAAAUCCAAAGCAAACUGUCAACAAUAUCCACAACUGAAUGCUUCAAUUUAUUUUGAAAUUUUACAUGCAAACGGUCAGUACCAUAAAGUAGAGGCACCAAGCUUUCCCUCACGUCGUUUGGUAUAAUUAUAACCUGUAUCGGAGAAAAAGGAAAAACUUAUUAGAAAUCCCAGCAGCUAGCUUCUUCAAGCUGUGUAUCUAGAGACUUUGAAAGACAAAUAAUACCUCAUCGUUUUUGCUUGAUAAUUCAACAGCCCUGUAGUGAUUGAAGUUAGCAAGAAAAAUCAAGAGCUUAGAGUACCAAUCACUGUCAGGGUUUUUUGAGUCGAAGGAGAUUUUGGGUUCCAAUGAAGCUGGAGCUUUCAGUUUCAAUGUUGGAAAUGAACUAGAAAGAUAACUAGGAGUAUCUAAUUUAAAGGCGAUCAAACUGCAGUCACGUAGAACCAGAUGUUGGAGACUGACACUGGAGAUGUCGAUGGUGUUCAGCGUCUUGCACUUAAUUAAGUGCAAACGCUGAAGGUCGGGUAAACUGGAAACAUACUCUAGCCAUUUUUCGGUGACGAUCAUAUCAGAGAGUAACAAAGAUGUAAGGGCUUUGCAAGCAGUUAUAUUAAAUAUCUUUAGAUGACUAGUUAGUUGGUACAUCUCAAGGUCUACAAGGUUAGGUGCUCUAAUAUCAACCUCGUCGAAUUCAGGAGGGCAAGCACUAAAUCCCAAUUCUACCUUUUUUAGCUUGGAUAAGGUUUCAUCAAGUUGAAUAGUGGUAAGUCCUUCAAAGCAAUGCAAAGACAAGAGCUGUAAAUUGCAGCAGUUUGUGGAUAGAGCUUGAAUAAAUAGGUGACCCAAAAGUACAAAUUGGAGGUAAAGGGUGUGCAAAGAUGAAAACUUUAUAGGAGGAUUAGAAGGGAGUAAUUCGAUCUCACAGCCUCUCAAAAGUAGAAGAUUGAGUAAAGAUGUUGUGAGGGAGAGUGGGGUAGUGGUAAUCCGGAUUCUUAUGAUAAAUACCUGUGUUCAUUGUGAAAUCCAAAGCUUUGACAUUACAAGCGACGAGGGCUGUAAACAUAUUUUGGAUUUCAGGAUUCCAAAAAGGCAAAUAGGGCAAGCGCAGGUGAAAUGAUUGAAUACAAAUAUUGUGAGUUUGGCGAAUUGCUAGAAGGUGAGUAAUAAAGUUGAUGCACAUUGUCCAAUCAAGUCGGUUCAAGAAAUAGGAAUUCCCAAAGUUUAAUGAGGAGAAUGAGUUCCAGGCACGGUUCCAAGUGCACCAUCUUUGACUUCAAGGAAUGACAGGAUAUGAUGCAAAAUUUCCUCCGGCAACUCCGAAAUUCUGUCCGCCCGCCGCCUCUGCCGCCUUCUCAUCAUCAAUACUAAUUGAAAUUAAAGAAAAAGGCGUCUUUUUUUUUUUUCUUUUUGGAACAGAUAAAGAAUAAAAUAGACCUAAUAAAUUGAUGAGUGCUCAUGUGUAGGCUAGAUCCAAACAAACUACUAUUUCCCAAAUAUAUUAGGACAUGGUUUUCUUACUUUCUGGACCUUCGUUUACCAAACCUACUAUGACAUAAUUAGGCUCCUUUGUUUGCAACAAGGGAAAAGGGUAACAUUAGCUAAAUAUAAUCCUUGUUAUAUUUUGUAAUUAUUUUAUAUUUUGAGAUCAAAUUUAUCUUUCAAGUGUUAAACAUUGAUUAAAUAUAUUCUUAAUCAUAUGUUGAGGCCAAAUUUAUCUUCAAUUUCAUAUUUUGGGGUGAUAUUUACCCUCAUAGUUAAGAAAUUUUUCAUUUGUACCUUCUUUUAACAGAAAAGCCUAAAUUAAUGUUAAAUCUUCAAUUUUUAUAUCAUAAUCUAAUUCGCUCGAUCUAACCCAUAAAAAAUAUAUCCCUCCCUCAAUUCUGUUGGUUAAAUUUUUUCAACUAACAAAAAUACUUCUCUUUCAACGUGCAACAUUAGUAGAUUGUUUACAAAUGAACAAAACAUAAAGUGUAAUAGGAUAAUGGAGAAGCAUGAAACUAGAGAAAACGUCUAUUAUAAACUUUUCUCUUGUUCGAUUAUGUUCAAAUUUCAAAAAAAUUUAUACAAUUAUAUGUGCAUUAAAAUUCUUGAACCAAUGAAUAAAUUUUCUGAGCAAAUGACAUGAUGAAAAAUUUGUAUAGAUUUAAAUUGCAUAUAAAGAUAUAUGAAUGAAGAGAUGUCCGAUGGGCACAUAGGGAUACCUCUUAACUCAAUCAUUCGAAAAAAUAUCUAAUGGGUCUAAUCUGUUGCAUUAGAUCGUCAAGAGUCAUUUUUUAUGAGCUUUGUCUGCCACUGAUACAGAUUCACGAACUGAGAGAAGAAUAUAUUUCUUUAUGUUUACACAAAUGCAAAUUAAUUUUUUAUGAUCUAUGCCUGAUAAAUAUCCAGUGGCUUAAUUUUGUUAGAAAAUUGGCCAACUAAACUGAAUGAGGUAUAUUUAUUUAUGUUUUUUUGUUGCUUGAAUCAGAUCAGACGGGUUAGAUUAAAGUGUAUUUUAUUUUAAAAAAUGAAGUAUUUAACGUUGAUUUGAGCUUUUUUUAUUAAGAAAGGGUACAUAUGGAAAAAAAAUUAACAACGAGAAUAAAUUUGAUCCCAAAGUAUGACAUCAAGGGUAAAUUUAAUCCCAAAGUAUGACGAAAGAUACAUUUAGCCAAUUUUUCAAAAUAGAGGAGUAAAUUUGGCCCCAAAAUAUGACGGUGUGAAUAAAUUUGACUCCAAAAUAUGACGAAUGGUAUAUUUAACCAAUUUUUCAAAAUAGAGGAAUAAAUUUGACCCUUUUUUCAAUAUAAAGAGAUAUAUUAUACAAUUAAUUUUUUCUAUAAGGAUAUAUUUUACGAAAAAGGUACAAUCUACCCUUGCAGUAUGAGAAAUGAUAUAAAUAUAUGCCUCUCACCUUAACGGCGGGACACAUGCAAGCUAUUAUUCGUUGACUUUUAUUUUAAUUUUAUUUAUGUAAAAUAAUUAAAUUCCACGAUCCGACCCGCUGCUCCACCCGUCCCAUGGAAUGUUCAGAAAACCCAAAUCAAAAACCACGCGUUUCUCUCUCUCUUUCUCAGUGAUUGAAAAUUAUGCUCCCAUGGAAUAUUAUGCUCUAACUACUUGAGUUGUUGAGCAAAUAAGGGUCUAAGCAGUAUUGGAAAUCCGACGAUGAAUACCUGAAUCAUAUUUAAAGAAUUAAAAGAAUAGAGAGAGCCCAAACAUGCACCCUGAUGUUACCUCAACAUCUUUGUUGUUUCAAAAAGAAAGUUACAAAUGGCAAAAGAACAAUACUACAGAGUCAUAGAGAAUUCAAUACAGGUAAAGAGAAUAACCAUUUUCAAAGAUGGACAUCCACUGAAUCAAAAAGAGUGAGAAGAAAGAGAGAGAGAGAUGCAUGGUUUUUUGUUGAGUCUCCUAAACAUUUCAUUGGUCGGGUCGGGUUGGGUCGGGGGAUUUAAUUUGGAUUAAUUUAAUUAUUUGAGAUAAAUAAAAUUAAAAUAAAGGUCAACGAAUAAUAUCUUGACACGUGUCCUGCCGUUAAAGGUGAGGACUAUAUACAUUCCAAAUCAUUAACAAUAAGGUUAUAUUUGUACUCAAAAUAUAACGAGGAGUAUAUAUGCAUCAUUUGUCAUAGUUUAGGGUAUAUUUGUACCUUUUUCGUAUAUUUUAUUAUAGUGAUUUUAAUUUUUUUAAAUUAAUUUUUUAUAUUGUAUUACUUCUCUAUAACGAUGUUUUAUCUAUAAUAAUAAUUUCAUUUAUUAUAAAAAUACUCUUUUUAUUAUAUAUAAAUUAAAAUACCAAAAUAUUUAUGAUAAUCAUUAUUAAUAUCAUGCUCACGGUAAAUUUCAAGUAUAAAUAUCUAAUUUAAAAAAAACAAAUUAUAUUUAAAUAAUGUACAACAAUUAUUUCAUAACUUUACAACAAUUAUUUCAUAACUUUACGAUCAAAAGGCUACUAACGUUUUCGGUUUUUUCUUAUAAUCAUGCUCUUUCUAAUUUUAUAUAUUUUUAUUUAUAACAACUAAAUUAAAUCUGAACAAUAAAUGUCAAGUAUACAUACAUAACAAGAUAUUUUUAAAAUGGUAUGAAACUUUCGACAAAUAUUGUCACUAUAGAGAGUUUGACAGUAGUACAAAAGGAAAUUUUUUUAAAUAAAAAUAAAUAAAUAAAUAAGAGUACUUUAAUUAAAUUAUAUCCUAAUUAAUAUUUUUAAGAUGUGUGCAACUUAAAAAAUUAACAAAUAAAUAGAAACGGAGGGAGUAGUUUGUCAAUACUACCCACCCUUCUGAUUCUUCUAAAUUUUUCUUAAAAGUGGAGCUAAUUAUUAUUUGAAUUUUGGAAUUUAAAAGUAGUUAAAUUUUUAUUUCCGUAAAGGUUAAUUCGAGAAAAAAAAUUAACUACUUUUAAAUUCCAAAAUUCAAAUAAUAAUUAGCUCAAAAGUCAUUAUACAUUCUUGAACUUAAAAAGAAUCAUAUUGGAUCAUAGUGUCAUUAAUUCAUUUAUAUUGGACUAGAGGAACAACCACUGGUGAUCCUUCCACCAUGAACCCCAAACUGUGGUUUGGUUAUUGAUGACAACAAGAAGCAACUCACAAAUUAUGCCAAACAAAAAAAUGAAUGCAGAAACAUUUGUAGACAUUAUCUUCACUUAUGUAAUAGGAGUAAUAAGAAUAAGAAAAUUAAAGCUUGUAUUUAGCUUUUAGCUUUGCCCUGCAACUGGAAUUCUAGUAGCUUGACUUGGUAAAGUUUGUAUUCAAUUUGUUUUGAUACCUAAUGAUAGCUUAUAACAUGAACAAAAAUUUUGCCUAUUUGAUGUAAAUCUCCCAAGUAUAACUACAAAAUCAGUCAGUUGAAAUCUGUUCAGUACCCAAUGAUGAGUUAGGUUUCAUUUUUUAGGAAAGUGAAAUAGUUAAACCAAAACCUAAACAGAUGUUGACAAAUAAUCGUCACCAAUUUCUCACACAUAUAAACGAAAACCUAAACAGAUGUUGACAAAUAAUCGUCACCAAUUUCUCACACAUAUAAACGAAUUCAUGAAGCAAACCUACAUUAAAUAAAUAAAAUGCUUAGCUUGUCACCAAUUGUUAUUACUCCUUUCAGAACCCUCUUUGUUCCCCUCAAACUCUCCGAACCGCUUCGAAUUUUAAAAUGGAUAAUCUUCUCCCGAGCCUAUUAACCUAUUUUCCAUCUGGGUCAGCCAUGGACAUUGGCAAAAGAAUAUGCAUCAAAAAUCUUCAAUAAUUCUUCUUCUUUCUAUAUAAUUUUUGUCAAUUACCUGCAAUUGGAGCAAAAAGUACAAAUGAAAGGAAGAUUUGCGUUCUCGAAAAUAUCAUAGCACGUUAUUUUUCUCAUCAUAUGCACUGUUCCAAAAUCUAUAACAUCUACAAACAAUAAAUCAAAAUUCAGUUUCAAGUCAAUUGCAAAUUAUUGUGUCAAACAGAAAAUAAACAAAAUAGAUACUCAUAUACUCUUACUUAAUGCUUCUAAAACAACCCCAUCAAGAGAACAUAACUGUGAGAAGGCACUGAUGAGGUGGCCUCCGCUCGCUUCUGACUCUGAGCUUCCACACAAAAUCCAAAGCCCUCUUCAGAAUCGUCAAUCAGCUCAUCGAUUAAUCGGCAAUUAAACAUUUUCCGAUUCGAAAGUCAAGAUCAUAUAUCAAAAAUCCUAAAUCACAAAAAUUAAAUGAUUUUAAUUUUAAAAAAAAGGUGCGAUCUUUAUUGAUUCAGCUAAAUCGGCAACAAUCAAAAUCGAUUAGAAGUACCAAAUUAGUAUAUGAUAGAAAUCGAAUUCCAAUCAAGUGCUUUGGGUAAUCAACACAAUUGCAGCUUAGCUUUACUUCUUGUUGAACAGAGAAAUACCAUAGGAACGGAGAUAGAGAACAUCGGACUUUGCCACCUGUUUCUAGGAAAUUGUAGUGGGUACACGUAUCACUUGUAGAACAGAAUGAAAAAAAUACCCUUACCAAUUACUUUCAGCUUUGGAAACUUCUGAGUUCAACAAGAACUGACCAAGGGAUCAAAAUAUAUCAAGCUACUGACUAAUAGACAGAAAAGGGAAAUCUAAGGUGAUUAAAUUACUGCCAAUUUCUCUCCAAAGCAGUGAAAUAAAAGGGGUUAAACAUACUUCUAUAUCUAGCUAUUAUCACAUCCCACGGUGUAAGUAAAACUUAUUAUUUUUAUGCAAAAGAAAUACUAACACAUGAACUUUACCCUUAUGUUUUGCAACAUUAGCGUUAUACAGGGAAUGACCACACUUUACCAUUUCAUUUCAUUAGUAUAAAAGGUUUUGAGCAUCAUGCAGUACAAUACUGAAUACACAUGAAAAUAUAUAGUCAAGCUCGUCCAUAGCAGCUUCUCAUAGCCCUAACUAUAAAUCCAGAACUCCAAAUAUUUAGAUUUCAAUUAAGGUCCGCCAAUGUGCCAUUAGGAUAGACUUUACAGAAAUACUUCCAACAAAAUAACCUUAAAUCCACAACAGACAUCAUUUAUUUAAGGAGAGGAAAUUUCCAGCCCACUAACCUCCAAAUUGCCUCAUGUGGGAGAUGUAACCAAGUCGUUGUGCCCAUCUCCUUGUCCAUUGUAACCUUAUAUGGCUCCACUCUAAUAGGGUCACCUGUAGAGCUGUCAAUACGGGUUGGCCCAACCCAUUUGCGUUAGCCCAUAUGGGCUUUGAGUUUGACGGGCCAAGCCAGGUUGGCCCAUUUAAAUGACGGGCCAAAAAACAUCAAGCCCACGCUAUUACCCUGUGGGCUGCGGGCCUCACGGGCCAGCCCACUUUUUAAAAAAUAAUAUUUUAUAAUUUAAUUUUACACUAUUGAUAAACAUAAAUAUUUAUCACACAGUAACACAUAGUAUUAAUGCUUGUUAGUCAAAUCUUCAACACCCCAAAAAUAAUUCUAAUAACGAAAUUAAAUAACUUUUGACAUGAAUAUAAAUAAACCACAAAAAAUGUCAACAUUUCAUUCACUCAAAAAAAAAAAAAAGAGUAACUUACAUAAAUCCUGGAUAGUUUCAACAAAAUUACAUAAAAUUUUGGAUAGUUUGCUAAUUACAUCUUAUCCCAGAAUUUUGAAUUGGUGAUACAUAUGUUAAGCAGUGAUACAUAUGGACUAAUGAUACAUAUGCUAUGUGUAUCACUAGUGUCAUGUGUAUCACUAGUAAAUAUGAAAUCCGGAAUUUUAUGUAAUUUUUAAAAUAUUAAGGGAUAUUGUGCAAUGUGGUGUUUUAAAUAUGGAAUUUGUGUAAUUUUUCCCCAAAAAAAAAAUGAACUCCUCAAGAAAAAUUUUCAUGACACUCAUUAUGUAUCUAAUAUCACAACUUUAUUCUUCAUCAAGCAUCUCUGAAUCAUCUUUUGAUAAAACUGUUUCGUAAUCUUCAUUUUCAUCUACAAUUUAUAUACAUAUUAAUUAAUUAAACAUUAAAAAAUAAUAAAAUUUCGUAACUAAUAAUAUUUACAUGUAUGCAAAAACUAUUAUCAAUUUCGAGUGGUAACCGUGCAAUCAAUUUCGAGUGGUAACAAGUGUUUGGACAUUUUCAUGAUGGAUACAACUUCUAUAUUUGGUGAGAACGCACCCUCCAAUGCUGAAUGGUGAUUCUGAUGCUACAGUAGUAAUAGGCCCACGUGCUGGCCCAACCCAUAUUCCUCAAGCCCUACGGGCCACGAGCUUAUCCGGGUCGGACUAAAAAGCCAUGUUCUUAAAUGGGCUACAGAAAUUAAAGCUCACCCCAUUAAAUUACAGGUUGGGCCGGACCGGCCCAAUGGGCCUUGGCCCAUAUUGACGGCUCUAGUCACCUGGAUUGGUGAAUGAAUCGGGGAUAUUCCUGACAACCUUUUUAUAAAGGCACAGUUCAAGUAAACAUAAUCAAGUUUUCAUAGUUCAAAACUAAUGUAAGAACAAAACAAAUAAAACAAUCAUCAAAUAUACCAGUAGCUGGUAGAAUUAUGUCCACGAGGAAAAAUAGUAUCCAAGUCCGUUAGUUUUCGUCUAUCGUCAUCAUAUUAAGCCAAUUGAUUAUGAUCUUUGUAUACACAAUACAUUCAUGAGAAAUACAAGUAAGGAAAAAAGAGGAUUUUUUUACCAAGUGAUUUUGGAAGCCCGGUGUGUGCUCAUGCUUUUUCCUAAUAUCUGUCACUGCUAUUUUGACAUAGCUAUAACAAAUAUGAACAAACAACAAAGCAAUAUUUUCAUAGAGAACCCAUCAAUAAAGGAAAAAAAUUGGUUAAUCUAUGUAGAAAUUAAAAAACCAAUUGGUUCUUUUUAGAAAUCCAAAGCAAGCAAUCUAAUCAAAUCAACUCUUCUUCUUUAAUUAGAAUCAGAAAAUCCUAAGCAAAACUCCAAAUAUGCUACUUAAAUUGGAUCUUCUUCUUUCGUUAAAAUCAACAGUGAACAGAAAUUUCAAUUGGGUAAUCUAACCAAAUUGAGUCUUCAUCUUCAAAAAAUCUCAAAUAAAACCCUAAAUAAGCAAUUUAAUUUACAUAUGAAAUUAAAUUUCCUAUGAAAGCUACUAACCAAAAACGUACCUCACAAUUACAUAACACAGAGUAAUCUGUAUGCGCGGAAGGACAUAAUCUAUAUUACACACAAUGAAGAACCAACAGAAGGAGAAAGAUUAAAAAGUCAUUUGAAAAAUAAUACGUGUUUGUUUAGAUUAAGCAUAAAAAGUCAUUUGGGAACUGCUACGUGUUUGUUGGGAUUAAGCAUGCAUUACACGUGUUGUAAGCAGACAACAAGCUUGCACAAUAAAAUGUUUAUAAUACCCUUUAUAGAAAUUUCCUUGGACAUUAAGCACGGAUGUCGAAAUCUUUGUUUCGAAAAUUAAAAAAAUAUUAGAGAAACAUAGUCCGUGUCAGCACAAACCAACAUUAAAAUAUUUUGAUUACAUAUAAUAAGUAGAUUGAUGUUAAUUCAAAUUAUAAAAAAUUAAUAACAAAAUAUAUUAAUUAAUUGAUAAUAUUUUUCAAAGAGUCAAAUUAUCUUGUAAGAUAAUUAUGUAUAAUUUAUUCAUAUAAAUUAAAAAAUUGAUACAUUUUAAAGUUUAGAUAUUUAAUCAUAAGAUUGAGAUUUGCUACAUUAAAUAUAAAAUAUGAGAUUAGAAUUAAUACAUAAGACUUGACACUUGUUGUAAUUUAUAGUAUUUUUAAAGUAAUUUUCAAAUAAUAUAUGUUGCUUUUUUUAUUCAAGCUUUUGUGGCAUUUGUUUUAUCCCUUUUCGAACUUUAUUUUGACGAGAAAAUGAUUUUGAUCUUAAAACUAUUUCAAAAGAGUUGAGAAAAUUUCAAAAUAAUUUUAAGAAAAUUUACAGAAUCGCCACUUAAUUUUAAAAAAAAAAUCAAGAAAAAAAAACUUAAAAAUAGUUUCAAAGGUUCAAAAACGGAAAUAAACCUUUAAAAUUAGAGAUUCUAAUUAAGGGUUCAAAUGUUCAAUUAACGCUUUAAGAGGAUUUUUAAGGCACUUAGGAGCGUCCGUUUAAAACGGUUUACCAAAAGAACUAACUUGACUAACUAAACGUGACUAAUUUUUACAAAGAUUUGAUUUUAUAGAAAAUAUUAAAAUUAUUUAUUUAACAUUUAAACAAUGACAUUGAUUUGACUAGGCAAAAAAUUAAUCUUAUUUAACUUGGAGAAUUUUUUAUAAAGAAGGUCGAUCUGAAACAUAUUUCCUUUAUAGAUUAUUCUUUCAAACAAGAGAAUGAUUUUGAAUAGCAUUUUGGAUGAAAAAUAUCGAUUUAAACAAAUUAUGAACCUUGGUUAAUUAGUGAACAUAUUUAUCUUUUUGUAAAGAGAAUUGAGCUUAGGUCGAUGAGAAUUCUUUUAAUUACUUUAACAAAAAAACAAAACGCAAUUUUAUCUUUUUAAAGUUCAUCCUGAGAAACAUAAGGAAUACUGUAUUUUAUUAAUUUUGAAUAUUUCGCUAAAAAUAAAAUAUGCAGAAAAAAAUAAAGAAAUAAACAAAAAAAGUAACGAUUUCAAGGGGAUUUAUAUAGGCUAACCAAAUUAAUUAGUACGAGCACAUAAGAUGGCAUUUACAAGAAAAUGGAUAAGAAAGAGUUAGAAUUUGGGCCUUUCUCAAAUCUGGCAGCCUUUGGCCCAUUCUUCAUGGACUUUUAGUCCAUUGAUACAGAUGUAUACCAUCUGUAUAUCAUCUGCAUACAACAGCUAUUUUUCCUGCAUUUUGUAUGUAUACACUGUAUACCAGUGUAUAAAUUACUGCACAUUCACUCCCAGCCCCACUGUGCGUCAUAUGUUGGCGUGUAUCAGCCCUUUGGACCUGGAAAACCAGUGUAUCUGGUGUAUACCAACAGCUGUUUUUGCACAUUGAGCCAUUUUUUGACUCGAAAGAAUGGGCUUUGCCCGAGGUAUACAAGGAUUGGAGUCUCGCAGACUCGGAUUUAUGUCACAUGCAUCAAACAAAAGAUAAAAGAUUAAAAUCAAAUAGAGGAUUAGCACGUAACUUAAGCUAUACUUGUAGUGGAACAUAUACUUGAUAAAUCAAAGGAACUCUUAUCUUAAUUCUACCAAUUGGCAGGCUAAGCCACAAUUUUAGUACAAGCAACAAAAUUACUUGUUAAGAAGAGAUCACUAGUACUUUUACACAAAAUUGUUUAAGUAAUGCUCUAAAUUAUUACUGUGUGGAACAUGUGAAAUGCCAUUAGCUAGUUCUAUGUUGCAGUUUUUCAGAUCAAGGGAGAGGAAAAGUGUUAAAAAGAAUACACCCACACUCACAGAGAUUAACUCUGUCAAGAAGACAUCUCACAAAAUGUAAUGUCAAACUAGCGAACCAAAUGAAUUGGAUAUUUUAGCCAAUAAUUAGUCAGAUAAAAUGGGAAAACACGAGACAACCGUUCAUUUAAUCACCAAUUCCCCGAAUGGUCGACUCAAGUAAAAGAAAGAGAAGGCGUAAAAUACAUAAAGUUGAAACCUGCGAGUAUUUAUAUUGAUAUGGCAAGCCAAAAAGACACCAAGAGAUCAUCCAACAGAGACAUAUACCCCAUACGCAUCAGUGAAGCAAAGAAAUUAAAUGCAAUCUGGUUUAGUCGGAAUGUUCAUCACCCAUCUUAUUAAAUAUAAAACAAAAACAAAAUCAUUGCGAUGUCCUUUUUUGAUAACCAGUCCCAUUUUGCUAAGGCAAAACUAAAGAAGCAGCAUUUCUUUAGUAACAAAUUUGACCUUGCCCUCCUCUCUUUCGUAAAUCAAUCUUGAUAUUGUAAAUUAGAACCUUGGUUUGAAAUUACAUUCAAUAGAACAUAAUAAAAGAGUAAGCACCACAUGAACACUAGGCAAAAGGGAACAUCAGAGAUCGCAAUAUAUUUUCCAACAAAAUCAACCAUUAAAGAUUAAAGCCUUUCAACCACAAACGUAUAUGAACAUAUUUAUUUCCAACUAUAAUCAAGGACAGCGUGAUAGAGCAGUGAAACAUAUGAAAACAGUGUAGCUAAGGCGGAGUUGUACCUUUAUUAGAGCAGGAACUGGAAUAACGAGCAGACGACUUCAAACUGGAGUUUCUUCGAGAAUUUUGGUUGCCGAAUACUUAAUUUCUUCCCAAAAGCUCCCUCAUCUUUUCUUUUGUUUUCAAUGGAUAUUUAUAGAAAAAUUUGACUGAUUUUUUUGGGGGGAAACCAAUAAGAGAACGACGAUGAAAAAAACUUGAAAUUCAAACAUCCACGAAUCGUGACCAUCCGCCCGCAUUCUUAUGAAAUCCAAUGGUUUUGAGGAAAAUCCGGACGUUCGUUGUUUUACUGUUGUUGUGUUGAAAGUAGGUGUUGUUUUCCUUGAAAUUGUUGUUGAUGAACGGUAAGGGGUUUGUCGGCUUGGUCGCUACUUGCGUUUGGUUGAAAUUGUAUCGUGUUUGUUGUUGUUUAACGUUGGUUUUUAUCGGUGUGUGUAAAAGAAAAGGGGAAAUACAUCAACAAAUUCUCAAACAAUGGAAACAUUGUCACCCUAUGAUUAAUCAUUUAGCGUGCUUUAACAUAAGAUAUUAUCUUUUCCCGAGUCACCAGAGUCAUACCUUUCACACAAAAAAUACUUCUCCAAGAAUAUCAAAACGUAAAAGCUUAGCAUAACAAUCAACCAAAGUGUAACAUGACGCCAACCAACCCAUACCGAUAAUUACAUCAAAAUCAGUCAUUGGCAACACAAAUAGAUCAACUAUGGUGUCCUUACCCUAAACAGAUAUCACACAAUCCCUAUAAACUCUUUCCACGGAUAAGGUCUCCUCCACCGGGGUCAUAACAAUAUAUGACACAACAAGAGUUUCAAUCCUCCUUUCUAAGAAUAAAGCAAAAGAUGGAAACCUAUACGAGUAUGUAGAACCAAGAUCAAUAAGAGAAUAUGCCUCAUGAGAAUUUACUGUGAUAAUACCUGUGACUACUGCAUUAGAUGCCUCUAUGUCCUGCCUAGCCAUAACAAAGAAUCUCAGUGGUCCACCUGCUAUCUGAGAACCCUGAGCACCUUGUCGACCCUGUCCACGAAUACCCUGCGAAGCAAUCCUAGCUGGCUGAGUGUGAGCAUAAUUACCUGCAACAUCUUUUUGCACCUGAGGAGUAGCAUGACUAGACCCAGAAUCUCCCUUAGGACAAAACUUAACAAUGUGCCCUCUCUCACCACAAGUAUAACAAGGACCUCUAACUCCAAAACAACGUCCAACUUGAUUCUUGCCAUAAUUAGAACAUUUCAAACACUGCCCGAACUGAAAGAAACCAUUACCCUUCCUCUGUGUCUUCUGCUAUUGACCCUGUCUAGCUAGAUAACUAUUCCUUGAAGAUUGGCCCACUGACUCUGAUUGCGUAGGCCUAGACUGUCCACGACCAAACCCAUUCUUGCUCCCAGACAGAGCACCACUAAACCCACCUGAGUUAUGUGCCUUCUUAUUUUCUCGAUUAUUUCUUUCCAUCUCAAAUCGAAUUCAGAACGGAGAGCAGUGUCAAAACCUCACAAUAGGACCCAUUACGCAAAUCGCGUAUCACUGGACCAUGAUAACGAGCCUCAAGCCCAUCUACAAAUCGUCUUACCUGAUCCCUCUGAUCUGCAACUAAAGAUGAAACAUACCUGGACAACUCACUAAUUAACUUCGUACUCAGUGGCUGUCAUGAAUCCCUGUUGUAACUCAUUAAAUUGACGUCUCAUGUCAUUUUGUUUUCUCAAAGUAAUAAAUUUGUUCAAGAACAUAGCUGAAAACUCUGACCAAGUGAUCGGUGGUAGCCCUGCCUGUUUGCCCCUCAAAACGGAAGUCCACCAUGCCUUGGGAGAUCCUGAGAACAGAAAAGUAGUAAAUUCUACAUCACGAGUCUCCUUUAAUCCUAAGGUAGUCAGUAUCUUCUCGCAGCGAUCUAAAAAAUUUUGAGGCUCAACAGAAGAUAGUGUAGCAUCAAACUCCGGUGGCUUAAGAUUCAUGGAAUUCUUAAGAUCUUUGAGUUGCCCUACUGCUGCAAUCGAAUGAUCAACUAGUAGAGGUGCCUGAGGGGUUGCAACAUUCAAUUGAACUGGUGCCUGCAUAUGCAAAGUAGCCCGAGGAUCUGGAGUUCGACUCUGAUUGAGUACCAAUGCCUCUAUUACAUUCAACAUUCUAACUACAACGUCGGCAGGCAAUGUAAUAAUAGGUACAUCAACAGGUGCUGCAGCUGGAGUAUCAUGAUUAAUCUAGUCCUGUACAAGCUCAGGAGCCACAACUUGGGGCUGGCCCCCACUCCUAACUCCAAGCUGAGGAUUAGUUUGUACCCUGGUUCGAGGCCUGGUCAGAUGAGACCCAACUCGACCACCACCACGGGUAGGAUCCUGUUCGGUACCACGUCCAACAGAUGCAUUAGAUCGACCAACGAAGGAAGAACCACAUCACUUAACCAUCUGGGAAAUGAUAUUUAAAGGUUAGAAUAAAUUUAACUCAACGCACAAAUACUGAAUAAAAAAAUAGAAACUUCCUAAAUGUUCCAUAGCCUCAAUUUCAUAAGUAUGGGCGCCUACAUACCCUUGAACAAGAAUAUACUAAACACUGUUCCACAACCCGGGACCUAAAGAUUGGCCUUGAUACCAACUUUUUCACGUCCCAAAUUCACCCCUAGGCGUGACUGGCUCCCGCUAACACCACUUUUUGGGUGAACCAAUUCCCCAUACAUUCACAAUGGCUAGAGUAAUUGAGAUAAAAACAUAAGCAACUUCAAACGCAUGAAAUAACCAUUAUCGCAAGAUAAUUAUCCAAUAAGAUAUCGCAUAAUGAUUUACGAAAACAACGGUAGUUUAAAUAACAAAUCUCUAACCCAAACCCCAUGCUAGACCAUGGAGCAUCUAAACAAAGUUAUAUGAGUUCACCUUUCGGGCAUGCAAACCCAACGAAAAGAAAUAUAAUCUAAAAAAUAACUAAAGCUGGAUGACAACCUCUACGAAUAAUGCAAAGGUUCACCUCAGCAACAGAAUCCACAAGUAAAGACCGUCAGCCACAAGUCUCUCUCUCCGCAAUUGUAUCUGCAGAUAUGUAAGUAAGGAGUCAGCUAUAUAUAAAAUAUAACCCAGUAAAAUUCUCGACCCGCUACUUUAAUACCCCUGGAACAAGUGUUAGAUACAAGACACAACCAGAAUACAUAAAUUAUAUGCACACAAUGUCUCUUAUAAGGCAAUGCUCAACAAGAUGCAAACAGAAGUUCAAAAACCACUCUGUAACUCAACAUAAUCAACUCUCACGACUUGUCAUAAACAGCAGUGAAGGUGAUCAAUCUAGCACCCCGACAAGUCUACAAAAGCAUAUAUAAUGCCCCAAAAGUCUACUACGACAACAUGUACAAGCCCCUAACAUAUUACGGCAGCAUAAACAAUGCCCCUAACAUAUUACGGUAGCAAUGUAUGCUCCUAGAGACUAGGGAAUAAUUGGAAAAGAAGAACUUUUGCAAAACUAUUUUGCCAAAUACCCACUAAAUUUCUUUUUGAUUUAUUUUUUAGGUUUAGGGUGUAAAAAGUGAAAAGGGUGGGGCCCACACGUGGGCCAAGGGACCAAUUCAUCAUUUAUACAACUUUACAAAUUUAAUAUAAUACACCUAACCCCCUCCACUUAUUCCUAUAUCCAAAAAAAACCCUCUCUCUCUCCUCUUUAAUUCCCAACUCCUGCUUUCAAACAACUUCUCCCAAAAAUGUCAUUUUCGUACGUUCUUCGUCUGCAGCUGCUAAGGAGGCGUUGUUGCUUCGCAAGGUUAGUUAAAAUUGAGUUUCGAUCAUUUCUAGAUCCAUUUAAAUGGUUUUUCUUUUUGCUAAUCGAUUGGUAGUGAUGUAGGAUUUUUUUUUCGAAUUUGGUGUUUUGAUUUAAUCGUGUUUUUUUUAGCAACGAAGUGUUGAAUGGUGGUAUAAUUGUUGUUUGAAGAGUUAUUUUGGUAUUUUGAUUUGAACAAUAUCCUGNNNNNNNNNNNNNNNNNNNNNNNNNNNNNNNNNNNNNNNNNNNNNNNNNNNNNNNNNNNNNNNNNNNNNNNNNNNNNNNNNNNNNNNNNNNNNNNNNNNNNNNNNNNNNNNNNNNNNNNNNNNNNNNNNNNNNNNNNNNNNNNNNNNNNNNNNNNNNNNNNNNNNNNNNNNNNNNNNNNNNNNNNNNNNNNNNNNNNNNNNNNNNNNNNNNNNNNNNNNNNNNNNNNNNNNNNNNNNNNNNNNNNNNNNNNNNNNAGAAAGACGAUACCGCUGGUAGUAGUAGAAAAAGAAGAGUUGUGGCUGUUGAAAAAGUGUCAAAAAGAAAGAAAAUUGAAGAGUCGGUGUCCGAAUCAGAUUCGGAGUUAAAGGAGAUAAGCGACUACGUCGAUUCUAGUGAAGAUGUUGCCAAACGGAAUGUCAGUGGUGACAGUGAAGAGUGCGAGGGAAGUGGGAGCAAUAAUGAUGAUGGGGAUAAUGAUUCAUUGUCUGUGCCAUAUCUUUCAAGGUGCAUUUCCGUGGAGCGGUAUGACCUUCGAACGAUAAUUGACGAGGUCUGAUAUUUUUCGACAAAGAUAUCGGUUAGAUCAAGAAUGGCUGCUUAUCGAGAAUUUAAGCAAAUUCUUGUCGACCAAGAAUUGAAGAAAAGAUUCAAGCGGUCCUGUUUUGGACACCUGAGAAACCUGCCGGAACAUCUCAAGUUCAAUGGGCAGUUGGUCCAUUAUUUAUUGUUGCGACGCGUUAGGAACGAUAAGAUGCGUCAUGAGAUGUGGUUCUGCGUUAACAACAAGCCUGCCUGUUUUGGAUUGAAAGAGUUUUGUUUGAUCACGGGGUUGAACUGCUCAUCAUACCUUAGUGAAUCAAAAAUGAAGAAGGUGUUAGCAAAGAGGUACAAUAUUUGUUUUAAGGUGACAAAAAACAAAAAAUCACGACGGCCACAAUGUAUGAACUAUGUCAUCCAUCGAUCAAUAUAGUCUAUCGUAGACUUACACGUUUAUUAUCGCAUCGACUGAUAUCAUGAUUAUGCGUAGACCACGAUGAUCUAUGUACAGGAUUAUGGAUCAUCACUUGGAUGUAGUUAAAAAAUGGUUAAAUAAAUUAUAAAUAAAUGUGGUGUGGAUUUCUACACAUAUGAAGGAGUGUAAACAAGACACAUAAUCAUAUUAGAGCUUAGACAAAUUAGGGAGGGUGAAUUAAGAAGUGUGUAGAUGGGUAGUGGUUGAAUGCUCAAUAUCGUAAAAGUAAUGUUUAAACAAAGCAUAAGUAUGUCAUGAACUAUGUCAUCCAUCGUUCAGUAUAGUCUAUUGAGCAUUCAACCACUACCCAUCUACACACUUCUUAAUUCACCCUCCCUAAUUUGUCUAAGCUCUAAUAUGAUUAUGUGACUUGUUUACACUCCUUAACAUGUGUAGAAAUCCACACCANNNNNNNNNNNNNNNNNNNNNNNNNNNNNNNNNNNNNNNNNNNNNNNNNNNNNNNNNNNNNNNNNNNNNNNNNNNNNNNNNNNNNNNNNNNNNNNNNNNNNNNNNNNNNNNNNNNNNNNNNNNNNNNNNNNNNNNNNNNNNNNNNNNNNNNNNNNNNNNNNNNNNNNNNNNNNNNNNNNNNNNNNNNNNNNNNNNNNNNNNNNNNNNNNNNNNNNNNNNNNNNNNNNNNNNNNNNNNNNNNNNNNNNNNNNNNNNNNNNNNNGUGUGAUUAUCUAUUUAAAUCAUUUUUAAUUUAAUUAUUUUCUUCCACCAGCCACAUAACAUGUGAUAAUCUGUUUAAAUCUUUUAAAAUUAAAUUAUUUUUUAAAAAUCUGUUAUUAUUUGUUUUAAUUUACCCGAUGAUCCAUCGAUUCAUGUAGUCUACUAUCGACUAAUAUGUACAGUUGAAGAAAUACUUUGUAUAAAAUUUAAACAUUAGAUUUUACUCUUCAGGAAAUUAGUCAAGCCACAAUACUGUAACUUGAAAAGACAGACAUAUUUGAUUCGAGUUUUCAAACAAGGGAUCAGAACAAACAUGGUAAACACACAAUGUUAAAAGAAACUAAAACAUAGUUGUAUUAAAAUUGUUCAUUGCAUUACAUAAUAAAAUUUACAUCAAAAAGGGGAAAAUGGAAGAAGCUUUCUUCUAACAAUAUCCUACAAAGAAAGCUUAUUCAGUAAUGAACAAAUCAAAAAAACUUGAAAACAUAUACUAAAAGAAAACAUUUAAACUAAAUUAUGGGGAUGGUGCGGGGGUAAUGUAGUCAGGGCCUUCCAUUCCGAGCCUUUCCAGAAUUGUCCUCAAGAAAUGAGCAAUUCGACGGAGCUCCCGCUCCAGGUAGAUGCGGUCUUGACCCAUCCCAUAGAAAAUUCGGUCCAAAUCAUUCCUUAUGAGGAUGAGGUCGUAGUGCCUCAGAGGAACACAUCUGAUGGGGCACAUGGGUGUCCUUCUUGGAGACAUUUUUUUGAUUUGGGUGAAGAAGAAGAAGAAGAGACGAUUUCUGAUAUAUUCGAUUUAGGAAAAACUGAAGGGUUGCGUAGAAAGAGGGCCUGUACUUAUAGACCUGUAGAUUGCGUCCGUUCAUAUAUCCACCAAAUGGUAGGUUGACGUGUCUGACAAGAGAAAACGUUUUGUAUGCAUAUACCAACUGUUUUUCCUCGUGAAGAGACGUUUUGUGCAGCUUUUAAUAAAUGGAAACGGGAAAUAAGGGAAAUAAUGAUUCAUUGCAUCGAUUGGAGAGAUAAGCCGGGAAAAUGACCAACAUAACAUGUUAUAUCAGCAAUAAUAUAAUCAAUACAUAAUAUUUUAUAGAUCAUAUAUUAUAUAUACCGUAGACUAUAAAUAGUCUAUCGUAGACAAAACUUUAGGUCGAUAACAACUAAACGUUAAAAUCUACAGAAAUGCACAUUCAUCCCACAAAACAGUAGCUUUACAACUGAAGCUAAAAAAAGCCUAUUUAUGAUUUGAUGCCCAUUCUACACGUAGUUCUUUUGUGUCUGGAUUUCUUGUAUAUUGAACACCUAUUCCUCCUUUUGGACUUGGUCUCACCGACUCCCUUAGUGCGUUUGACUUUCUUCCUUUUGAGUUUGGGAUCGUAUGGGGUGGAGAAAUUUUGGUGUCUACCAAUUCCUGUGGCACAAUCCAUUCAGCCUCCGGAAGGACCACGUUAAUUGCUUCCGAGUAUGCGAGGAGGUAACUUUCAGCUUUAUAAAUUGGCGAAGAGUAGUCGGAGAUGGUGUUACCAUAAUCUUCGCCAUCACCGUACUUUGCUCGCUGCCAUCGCGUGUUUGCACGAUAUUUUUACCAAGUUAAAUUUCGGACAAGAACAGCUCCUCUCCAAGAGAUUGAUUUUGGCAGUAACGCCGUUGCCGAACACCGUAUACUCAUUGAGAACCCCGUUUGGAUUACCCACAUACAAGGAAUCACUCGCACUCUUAUUAUCCCUUAGGAUCCUUUCCGCAGAAGGCACAAAUAUGUUCUUUUUACCACCGACAAAUGCAUGCCGCUCCCUAAACUUUUCACCAAUUUUUUUAGCAAUUGAAUUGAAUAUGUACGACACGGGGUACUCCCGUUCAUCCAUCAAAAUCGAGUUGAGCGGCUCGGCGAUGUUUGUGGUCAUCACGUUGUACCUAUUGCCCAGAAAGUGUGCUCUACUCCAUUUUUCAAAAUCAAGCACAUUUUCAAGGACAUGAGCUGCCUCGGGGCAUUUACUCUUAAAUUCCACAAAAUUAUUGCUAAACUUGUCAAAGGAAUAAGCCUUUGCCGUGGCGUAGAAUAGAUAAAGAUGUUCUCCUCAGUGUUGAUUUACACGAAGAUUUUCAGCGAGGUGCCUCAUGCAAAGUCCGUGAUGUGCACGACUGUAUACAUGGGAGAAGGCAUUGUCGAUGCUAAUGUGCCUGUCGGAGAUGACACAUAGAUCUGGUUCAUCUUCUAUGAUAGACUUCAGCUUCUGGAAGAAGAAGGUCCAAGAAGCAUCGUUCCCUUUAUCGACAACACAAAAGGCAAUCGAAAAUAUAUGAUUUUCGGUGUCCCGUGCAAUUGCGCUCAGCAGAACGCCCCCGUACUUUCCAUACAAAUGUGUGCCAUCAAUGAAAAUUACCUUUCUCUUGUGGGCAUAUCCUCGUAUGCAAGCUCCAAAUGCUAAGAAGUAGUAAACGAACAAUCCAUUCAUCCGAUUUACCAUGAUAGAGUAAGAAGACCUGGGAUUCAAUAACUCUACCAUGUGGGAAAAAGCCGGCAAGCAAGCAUAUCCGUGCUCCGGUGUCCCGUGAAUGAUGUUCUUCGCAAUUACACUUCCUUUCCAACACAUCCAAUAGCCUGCGUUGCAACGUAACUCCUUAAAUACAAUUCUUUGAAUUUCUCUUAUGCUUGGAACCUUACCAUCCCGAAAAUGAUUUACACAUACUGAAACAAUCAAUUUGGAUGAGACUUUUUUGUGCUUGCGGGUGGCGUUUUCAACGCCGCACAUGCGCAUCCCGACAUACUUGUAUAUGCGAAAUUUAUCCGAGCUGUCGUACUUUUUUUCCCGCAACAGCCAACCACAACCACGAGAUAAACAUUGCGCCUUCAUCAAUUUCGUACAGCUCUUCUCCAUAUAAUAAUCAAAAGACUGCCUCGCCGCUGCUGCGUUUAGUUGCAUUUUCAGCUCUUUUUUAUCGGCGAAUGUUUGACCACAACAGAAAUUGAUUCCGUCGGUGAAGGAGUAUCCUGCUUGUGAUUCCGUUUCAUGGUCUUCUUCAUCAUCUUGCGAGUCCGAUGAAAAAUCUUUCAUAUGCAUAAAAUAACUUCCAUAUUAAUUGUAUCAUCGACAUCGUUCUCGUAAUCAUUCAAAUCAUCAUCAACUCCCGGGCGCCGCGGUGGGGGUGCUGAUGAAUUCAGCGGUCCUUCAAAGGACCUCUCAACCACAUUUAUCCUCAAAAUUAGCCUAAAGCCAUCUGCAUCAGCAUCCAUUAUGUACGUCAGCACACGUACAUCGCUAUUUAUGAUCGUAGGANNNNNNNNNNNNNNNNNNNNNNNNNNNNNNNNNNNNNNNNNNNNNNNNNNNNNNNNNNNNNNNNNNNNNNNNNNNNNNNNNNNNNNNNNNNNNNNNNNNNNNNNNNNNNNNNNNNNNNNNNNNNNNNNNNNNNNNNNNNNNNNNNNNNNNNNNNNNNNNNNNNNNNNNNNNNNNNNNNNNNNNNNNNNNNNNNNNNNNNNNNNNNNNNNNNNNNNNNNNNNNNNNNNNNNNNNNNNNNNNNNNNNNNNNNNNNNNNNNNNNNNNNNNNNNNNNNNNNNNNNNNNNNNNNNNNNNNNNNNNNNNNNNNNNNNNNNNNNNNNNNNNNNNNNNNNNNNNNNNNNNNNNNNNNNNNNNNNNNNNNUUAAAGCUUUUUAACAAUAGUAGAAAGUGUGUUUGAGAAGAUAGAAAACAAAUGGGGUAACAAUGGAUGCAAUGGAUAAGCUUAUGAUGUUUGUGGACUAAUUUACAGCUGAUCGCCGAAAAAUAACGCCAGAAAAGUGGCCGGAAUCAGAGCUUUUUGGUGGGAAAAAUAACCACUUUCUAUUUUUAGCUUUUGAAAUUAUUUUUUUUAAUAUUUUUGGAAACCUAGAUAUUAUUUUUAUAUAUAUAGUGGUGGAUAAUGGAGUGGGUUGAAGUGUAUUAUCAGAGACUUGUGGGUGAAUUUAUUAAGUUGGAAGUAUUGGGUUAAAGUGAAUUAUUAUAAAGGUUGGGGCUGAAAUUGUUAAGUUGGAAAAGUUGGUGGUGAGGUGGAAUUAAGUGGGUAUUUGGCAAAGGAUUUAAAACUUGUGGGUAUCUGAUAAAAUAGUUUGGAUAAAGAAUAUUUUUGGCAUAAAGGCUCUAGAGACUAUAACGACAACAAAAAAAAUAUAUUCAACGUCCCAACAUCACUUCACAUAUCACCACUGAGUAAUUCUCAGGACACCUCACAAAUUAUCUAUCCACAGCCAGUCAAAUACCACCAAUUCUACCAAGUUCAUGCUUGUCCCAACACAUGGACUAGACAAAAUAAUAUAAUUUUUAUAAAUCAAAUUUGAAAAACGAGCAUCAAAGCUUAAAGUCUCACUUACCUCACUAAUGAUAAAUUCCCCCACUUUGCAAUGUGUAGAACACCAACCAACACGACCAAUGAGAUCAAUCUAAGUAAAAUAUUAAAUAACAAUAUCAAUUAUACUAUUCAGAAUCAAGUCUCAAUAUCCUUAACUUUUAAGUUAGGGCCAAGUCCUAAUAUCUCACACCUUAACUCAUGAAUUAUGAGAAAAAAAUAAUCUAGAUCUCGUGCAUGAAUAAAAAUAAUAAUUACUCCAUAAUAAUCUAGUCUCAAUAACCCACGAACUAUCCACAGAAUUUAACUGCAUCCUUUCUAUUCAUUAAUAAAAAGACAAAUUAAUCAUUACUCCAGUGAUAGGAGUUUAUUUGGACCGAUCAUUGAUUAACAACAUAAAGAAUUCACUGCCAAUCAUUAGUUCAAUUCUUAACAACAUGAAGAAUUCACUACAUGCUAUUAUACCGUGCAUGCUACUGUACCCUCAAAAUAGUACUUAAAUCUGCUACUGCAAUAUUAACUGAUGUCAAUACCUGCAAUUUUGAUAGUCACCAACGGUGUUUCAAAAUUUUUAUUUUCAUCUUUUAACUCUUCCAAAUUCCACCCUAAAUUUCUUGUUUUUCUUUCAACAAUAAAGGGAUUAAGAAGUCUAAUAUUCUACUCCCGUGUAACUUAAUGUGAAAACAAUUGAAUAAGAGAGUGGGUGUGGCCACUCCUUUUAAAUCCUCUUAAUUAAUAUUCCUCAGUUUCAAUAUAAGUGAAUUAUUGAGGUAUUUAUUGGUGUUUCAAAAUAAAUGAAUCGUUGAAUUUUUUUUCAAAUUUAACCUCAUGAUAACUUUUUCUUUUUUGGAGUAAAAAUGAAAAAUUAUAUUAAAUUUAUGUCUUUAAUUUUUUUUAAUCUGUGUAUCAAAAUCUAAUAAUUUAUUUAUUAAAAAAUGAAACAAUUCAUUUAUUAUAAAAUGAAGAAAAUAAUAAAUAUAAUAAAAAGCUAAAUUACUCAUUUACCUCUUAGUUUUUUUUAAAAAAAAGCCUUGAUUACAAUUACUAUCUAAAACAAGAAAAGAAUCCAACUUACCAACAUGCGCGGUGGCACAGUGGUUGUGGUUUAAAAAAAAAAAAAAAGAAAAGAAAAGAAUCCAUCGAGAAUCUUCAAUAUGGUCUUCAAAGUUGGAUUGUAGCAUACCCAAGAAGAGGAUUACAAAUUACGCCUAAUGAUUUGUAAUCAUCGUAUUAUUAUUAUUAUCUAAAAUAGAUUCUCCAUCAAUUCACCCUCACAUUACUAUAAUAGAGAUAUAUCUGUGGGUAGAUGUAGAAGUAGAAAUUAAUUCACACGAAAACUCACCUAUGAUGAGGAAAUUUUGUUGGAGAACUUGUUCACUUUACCAAAUCUCAUUCCACUAACAUUUGUACAAAUUGAUUAAAUAGUUUAUAGGUCAUUACAUGCUCAGACCACCACUUCAAGAAGCUGAAAAGUGUGACCACUGCUCCACCGACUUCAGCUCCUCCACUGCUCCGACAACCACUUCAAUUUCCGAGCAAAUUUGGAGUUUUCUUCUUCAAUUUGGUGAUUUUAAAGUUAGUUAAUUUUUCUAAUUUAUGAUUUUAACCUAAUUUGUGAAUUCGGGAUUUUCUUCUAGUUUUUGGUUUUCAGUGUUGAAUUUGUGAAUGGGCAUUUUGGGGAAUUCGGGUUUACAUAUUUGUUCCGCAUUUUGUGUUCUUUGUAGUUUCUAUAAAAUGGAGAUUAUAUCUGUUUACUAAGUGCUAUAUUGGCACAGAUUUACGUUGUUGACUCUUUGGAUCGAGAAAGAAUCGAAAAGGCAAAGCAAUAGUUUCAAGUUCUGGCCUUUGAGUUUUUAUCUCUUUGUCUCAGGUACAAUGGUCACUUACCUACUGCAAUCAGUGGGUAUUUGUUGUUUGUUAUCUAUAUUUCUCUCUUUUAUGUACUGUCGAUCUCAUCGUGGAACCUGUGGCUUUUACUGUCGCUAGAUAGCUCAUUGCAGUUACCCUUCAUCCAUGACAUUUAGUGUUGUAAUUGAGUGCCUCCCGCAGGGUAUUCUUAGUGAGAAAUGGACAUAAAAGCUCUUCUGGAAAAGUACUAAAUUUUAAGUUAAACAUAUUGGAGUGCAGAUCUUCUACUUAUAUUUUGAAAUUUAAAGAGAUUUUUGUGUCCUAUAUACCAUUCUGUAUCUGAAUACACGUAAUAUGCAUCUGAAUGUGUACUUUUUUCAUCCUGUUAGACUAGGCGUUAGGCAUUAAGAAAUCUGGUCUUGAUGCCCAUUUCAUCUCUCAAAAAAUGAAUGUGUACUUUUUUCAUUCUGUAAUUUAAGAAAUCUGAAUGUGUACUUUUUUCAUUCUGUAUCUCUUGAUAUAGAAAUAGUUUCUCUCAAAAAAUUCUGUUUUCUGGUCUAUGCCCAUUUCAUCUCUGCUUAUCGCCGGGCAGAACUUGUUUGAGAGGACUUUUUUGUUAGAUUUUUAAAGUCAACUGACUUGCUCAUGAAAGAACUGUAAAUUGUGAGAAUUGGAAAUUAAAAUGCCAUCCUAGAAUUGAGUCAGAGUAUUAGGCAUUAAGAAAUCUGGUCUUGAUGCCCUUGUAAUUGGAUCUACUGCACAUGCCAUCUACUUGCUUGGUUUGUAUUAGUGAGUUCCCUUUCACUCUGUUGGAUAUUAAAUGUUAUAGUUCCAAGUGAUGUAAGGCAUCUUGUUAAGGCAAGUCACAUCAUAUUUAGUUGGAAGAAUGCCAAGUGCUUUUGGUGAUUUCUGUUUGUGAAAAAAUGUGUAUGUGUACAUUGCUUUACAUGAACCUUAACAAAUUUUAUGCUCUCUUAGUGCCAACUCUCCAUGAUAUCUUUAGUGUGUCAAUAUAGAUAUGUGUUCCAUUUUAGACUCUUGAGUAGAAAUUGAAGUUGGAGGUACAGUGGGCCUUAGUGUGAUCAUUAUCUGAUUUGUAUAGUUAAAAGCAGCAAAAUAGGAGCGCUUCCUGGAGAACAAAAGUUUAUUGUUAGGCUUCCUGGAGAACAAAAGUUUAUUGUUAGGUUGCGUAUUAUCUUUUAUUUCUUUUCCAUGUUUGUACUUCUGGAGUUAUAGGACAUUACUUGUAUAGAUAUUUGAUCAAGAUUGUGAAUGACUGCCCCUACAAUAUUUUUUUAAUUUCCACUUCUCAGUGUUAGCAAAGGCAAACAAGAGGUCAGUUUGAGUGCAUUUGCUUUUUUGUUUUCGGAGCUUGUUCAGUACAAUCAGACUCAAGUGGACAACAUCACUGAAUUAGAGCGAAGGUGAUUUUCAAGAUCUCAGUCUUUUUGUUUAUUUGUCUUUGUAUUGCUGAACUAUGAGGAUUCAUCAUGAAAUGAGCUUAAAUGAAAAAUUGGGUAUUCGUAUAGUAGAACCUUGACUUGUUUAACACUGGGUUGUAGCUGUUGUUGCCCUUGUAUUGCUGAAAUUAGAGCGAAGGGGACUUGUAUGUCUGUGGAACUUAGAGAAUUACUUGUAUUGGAAUGGACCGAAUAUGAUAAACUGGUUAUGCAGGAUUCGUACAGUCGUACACUAACUAUUUUGGAGUGUAGGCAGAGUUGAUUGUUUGAUCAUUCUACGUUAGUGUUGCUCUAAAUAUGGAAUAUAGAAGAGCGAUUAGCACAUCUCCAUUCUCCAUAUUAUUAGCUUCAGAUGAAAAGAAUCUAAAUAUGCCAUUGUUGAUACUUUUACAUCCAUUUUACCUAAUUCUUCCGUUAUCGAAAGGAAUAAAAUUUCUAGUUUUGCUUCACCUAAACUUGUGGAAGGAAUCAUUUGUCUAAUCAUUUUGUGCUGAAAAGAAGGCAUUGAUAAAUGGGAUUGAAUAUUAGUCAAAUUGAAGUGCCAAUGGCUAAGAAGAAUCUUCUGCGAACUUGAGCUUAAAUAUUUCUGUCAUUUAAAGUUUGAUAUAGUUUUGCAGUAAGUUUUGCCAUUGCAUCAAAUUUCAGUGUAUUUGUGAACACAUUCUUGUCGAUGUUAAUGAUUUUUUGGAAAAUAGGUUAGAGGAUGCUGGCUAUGCUGUAGGAGCACGUAUUUUAGAACUCCUCUGCCAUAGGGAAAAGGUAUGAAGCUUCAAUGCAAUUGCCAUCCUAAUGUGCUGCUUUUCACUUAUUCACUUAGAGGAACACCAUAUCCAGAUGCUAGGUAGACCGCAUAAUUCUCGGGGCCAGUUAUUUCCAUUUAAUCUGAAUCCGUUAUAUAGAAAUCUAUACUUCAAGCAUAUUAACACUUCAUUAAGUUGCUUGUAUCCAUCUAGUCUCUAGUUUAUGUUCACCGAUAUCAAGUGUUUAUCUACAUUGUGUAUUUCGACAUUUUAACAAGUUAUUAUAAAUUUUAUUUUUUUUUCCUUAAAAAGGCUAACUGUUGUUGAUAUAGCAAGAAGAUAGUGUCUUGAGUACACCAAAAGUUCCAAAAACAAGAAAAAAUGGAAAUUGCAAUCCGUCUAUGCAUUGUAAUAAAGUUUCCAUGUCAUUUGCAAAAUCCAUUUUGAUCGAACUAGAUCAUAAAAUAUACAACCAAGUUUGAUCUGCAGAGUAUUGUUAGUUUGACCUUCAAAAACUCUUCAGUUCCUUUACUUCCAUAGACACCGCCAAAUGCAUGCUGGAAUUUUAUUCCAUAUAGUUUCACAAAACCUUUACGCACCUUUUCUGUUUCAGCAUUUUAACAAGUCUGAGGUUGAUAUUGGCAUUACCCAGUUGAUGCCCAAAAUGCUGUAGAUCAUCUGCCAUGUCUUUGCUAAUUUGGUACAAUGCAAGAAUAGAUGAUUGAUUGACUAUGUGUUGUUAUUACACAUUUAACUUUGUUACAUAACUGGUAGCCCCUCCUAAGCAGAUUAUCCUGAGUGAGACAUGCUUCUCUAAAGACCAACCAAAGAAAACAGAACCUUGCCGGGAUUCUUUGACUUCUAUUUUUUAUUUUUGAUGACAAGGGAACCAGCUACUGCUUCCUUCGGGUGCGCACAGGGUAAACCCAAUUCAGAAUAAUAGCCUGCAAACCACAUAGGAGAGGUAAACUGCGCUGAGCAAGCCCCGUGCGACGAGCUCACACGAGAAAGCAUGCAAGGGUUUUGAACUUGAGACUCCCCAUUAUAGAGAUCCCUGCUCAACGGCUCAACCAACUUGGCCACCCUUCCAGGUUGGUCCUUUGAAUUCUAUAUAUGUUCCCAAGGAUUCAAAUAGCAUGCAGGGGGUUGUUUUGAACUUGAUAGCCGGAUUUGACAUUAAAGAUUUCUGUGCAUGUAAAGAUAGUUGCUCUUUCUUUGUGGACUUGAUAUUGCGACACCUAAUCCUUUAGUAUUGCAUCGGAAGCAUAAAUGUGCCCAAAAUUGGGAAUCUUCAAGUUUCAAUAUGCUCUUGGGAUGUGGGUGAAACUGAAAUAGAUGAUAUUUUUGCCGACUUUUGCUAAUUGAGACUUGAUCAAUUUUAGUGGCUAUAUGGGAGAAUUUGGGCUAGAUAUCGAGCAUAUGGAUUUUGAUAAAUUAUUUUAUUGCUCCGUAACUUCUUGUCAUAGUCCAACAUGUAUCCAUUUGGUACAUUUCGACUAAUUCAUGGCAGACUUGGUAUUGUAAAGAUGUGUAGCUAACUCAUUUCUACUAUCACACCGGACCGGAAGACACUGGACAAUCAGUUGGAAUUUGUUGAAGGGAUGAAGUUGGAUAGGGGUUACAUAUCACCAUACUUUAUCACAAAUCAGAAGAAUCAGAAAUGUGUAUGGUUUUGGUUUGCUAAUCUUAGUUAAGCUCGCACAUGUGCCGUGCCAACGCUUUUUACAUAUGUUUCAUCAUUCUACUUUUUGUUCAAACUCACUAUACUCCUACUAUGUCUGGAAGGAACUCGAGGACCCACUAAUUCUUAUUCACGAGAAAAAGAUCUCAAGCGUUAAUGCUGUUGUGAGAGCAUUAAAGUUGGCUCUGAGGGUAAUUCUAUUCCUCUUUUGUUUGAUCAGUAAAGGAUAACUAAUCCUCUUUCUGAGGUUAUCAAUUUGAUUUCCAUGAGAUUGACUAUGGAGCUGUCUGUAUACUUUACUUCAUCUAUGCAAAGCCCCUCUUAAUUGUGGCUGAAGAUGUGGACAGUGAAGCACUUGCUACUCUUAUUUUGAACAAGCUUCAUGCUGGAAUCAAGGUAUGUUGCUGAUAUAUUUGCUCUGCUAUUUGUUGUUUAACUUUUCAGUUCGGUGAUUAUAUUUGCUCUGCUAUUUGUUGCUGAUAUAUCCCGCAUAAUAGACGAUCCCAAGGGCUUUAUAGGACAUUUUUGCCCCAAACUUUCCUGUACACCUUCACUUAUUCACGGAAUUACACUUCUGAAAUCAUGUAACAGUAGGAAGUAGGAACCAAUAACUUUUGACUCAACUGUAGAAACUUCCGUAAAAUAAUAUUUGAUAAUGUAUCAGGUUGCCGAAAAAAAAAAGAUAAUCAAGAUCGAAAGUUUAACAUUUAACGACCUUCACGUCAUAUUUUCUUAUAGGUUGGAGUUUGGACUAAUGAGAAAUAACAAGAAGCGUGAAUCUAAAUAUCUAAUGGAAGUAAAUGAUCCUAUACAAUAGUAAAAAGUACAAAUUUCACAUACUGAUGAGUCCUUUUAGAGCAGUAGCUAAUUGAUGGUACAAUUAUUUCCAUAUAGACUACUAGGAUUAUACCAAUCAAUGCUUAUAUCUUUUCUCAAUUAAUUUUGUGGUUUUGGUUGUAGUUACUGGUCCAUAGUUAAUUUAUAAAGCAUUUUAUUUGCAAGCAUUAUGGUCCAUUUCUUGCCCUAAAAAUGUGUUUGACUUUACCAAGUUAUCAUGCUCUGUUGUGAAUCUUUUAUUUUUUACAGAGCGACCCUAUGGCAGUCAUUUAUUCAAAAGGAAGAGAUGGUUCAUUGCAAGAGCUUGGCCGUACUAAAGUAGUUCCAAACUCAUUGAAUCCCCAGUGCAUUAGGUAUACUAUUGCUUAUCAUUUGAGACAGUGCAGAAUUUGCUGCGAGUCUUGACACUUAAGAAUCUGAUGAUUCUAUCAAUUUAGAUACCACUUUUUUGUCUUACGAGAUUCUUUGUAUCUCAGGUUCUGUGUCCUUGAUGUUGGCACUCAAUUCCAUAAUCACGAUAUCAAGGUAUAUGUGUGUGCUCUUCUCUAUUGGCCAAAAUACUUUACAAAAUAAGUAGAUUUUGAAAGUUGGCCAAACUGGCUCUUUUCUAGAGCAUGAGAUUUUCUAGAAAAUAUUUGUAAGAUAACUUCAAGUUCAUAGGGUUACUUUGUUUGGUAUAUCUUAUUCAACCGGUAGACUACUUCUGUAGCAUUCCAGGCACUAUGGUCUGGGAUAUUGACCAAUCUUCAUGUAAACAUAUGGUCGCUCUUCUUGAGGAUUCCGUACUAGUAUUUAUUUUCAAAGUCUUGCAUUGAUCCUUGUAUCCGCUGACAUCUAAAAUUAGCCAUGAACUUCUCCUAAUUCACCUGAACUUGCAGUAGAGCUAUAGUAAGAUAAACAUGUAAAGCUAAGCAUAUCUGUUUCCAUUUUUUUCACUCUGCUACAUUGUCAUCUGUACAGACUGUUGGACAAUAAGUUUCAUAUCUUACCUGAUGAGUACAUGUCAUGUGCCCCUCAGUUCAUUUAUUUGUUCCAUCAUUUACUGUCUAUGGGCAAAUGGAUAAACCAUUUUACUUUUUUUUUUCAAGCAAUAUUAAAGGAUACAAACAUAUAUAAUCAUGGCCUAUGACUAAUAUAUCGAAGUCUGCAUAGCUUAUACAGAUGCUUAAACUGGAGGAGCAGGACUUUCUUGGUGAGGCUAGUUGUACAUUAUCUCAGGUGUUGAUAACUGUCAAUCCAGUAUUUUGCUUUUGAACUUAUAUUUCUAAGAGACGACAAAUUUUGCAUUUUAGGUCUGUAUAGUUUGUGUAACUCGGUUAUGUAUAUUCCACCACUGGUUUUCUUGUGUUUUGGUUGGUCGUUAAAACAUUGUGACUUUGCUUGAGAAUCAUCCUAUUCUGCUUGAUUUUUUCCAGAGGUUAUUAAUCCUACCAGCAAGAUAAUAGCCACAUUUGGUGCGUGCUUUAAAACUGCUUGAUUCGUUUCUCCUGUUUAAGUUCUAGCAUGCAGCCAUUUUUUUUUCCAACCAAUGAUCAGAAUUUAUUGGUUGUACGUUUGAAAACUGUUUCUUACUAAUACAAUAAUUGUUGAAUUUCCUUGUAGAUUGUCACAAAGUCAAACGGGUCCCUGACCUUAGACCUUAUAUGUGGAGAACAAUCUUCUGGUCCAACGCAUGCCCAAAAGUCUGGUAAGCUUAAUGUUUCUGCUGAAGAAAGUGUUGCCUCAAAGACGACUGUAGAGUUGAAAUUGAGAUGUUCCAAAUUAUUGUCCAAGGAUGUGUUCACAAAAAGCGUAACAACUCAUCAGAGUAGUUUUACCAUUUUGAAUUGUGUAAUGAAUAUAAGUUCAAUAUCUUAUUGCUUGUGGCAGGAUCCAUUUUUGGUGAUAUCAAAAUCUACAGAGAGCGGAAUGGUGGUUCCAAUUUGCAAAACAGAAGUUAUAAAAGAUGAUCAUAGUCCAAAUUGGAAAUCAAUUUCCUGGAGUAUCCAGUAUAAAAGAAAUGUUCCUCCAUGUGCUUCCUAAAAGAAUUUCUGAAACCCUCCCAAAAAAUGCAGAAUCAUGGAAGGGAAAAAACCGAAAACCCUGGGAGACAGAUAUUGCUACCAGCAAUAUUUUUCAUGCAUUCAUUAACCAUUUUUUCCGUGGAUUGAUAACUCAAUGAUAGAUAUUUGGAUUUGAAAGUGUAGCUAGUUAAUUUUUCACACAUCGAUUAGUUGAGGGGUGUCCAUACAAUUUGCACUGCCGAUCUUUGGCAGAUCGUAUGCUCUCACUUGGAAGAAUUUUCAUGUAUUUGCUCUUUAAUUUGAAUAAAGGGGAGCCUUGGAGAAACCUAAAGUUGUUGAAUGUUUUGAAUUAUGAGAUUAUUAAUGAAUGAUUUUGUUUUGUGAUGUGUAUAUAUUCUGUUAUAACAUUAAUACGAGUGACUAUUUAUAUAAAUCGUUUCAAUUUAAUAACAUGUGGCAACAAUUGUUGCAAUAGAUCAAUAAACCAUUGCAAUAGGUAGUUACAAUGCGUUGCAACAAAAUAACAAAAGCGUCACAAUAGAUGUUAUUGCAAUUGUUUAAUGUCGUUGCAAUCUAUUGCAACAGUUAGUAAUUGUUGUGGUAGAUGAAAAUAGGUGUCCCAAUAAAUAAUGAAAUAGUUGUAAUUGGUACUCAAAAAGCGUUGCAACAGAAUAACAAAAGUGUUGCAGUAGAUGUUAUUGCAACGACAAUAGAUAAAAAUUGAGGUCUCAAUAAGUCAAAAAAUAACCAUCGUCAUAGGUCAAGAUAUGACGACUGUUAUUUGAAACCUUCACUAUAGCUUGACCUAUGGCGACGGUUCAGACAACCAUCGCAUAAACUGUUGCCAUAGACCUAUCGCAACACCCAUCUAUGGGACGGUUAACCGUUGCGGUAGACCUAUGGCAAUGGUUUUGUUAUCUACUGCAACGGUUUUGCAACCAUCACCAUAGGGGUAAUUUGUAGUAGUGAUCCUUGGGAUAAGCCAUGUUUCUAAGGCAAGAAUGGUAGAUCAUCUCAAAAAUCAAGACAUAACAUGGUAGCGUCAACUCUUGUACGUAGGACAUGACUUGUUAUUUGAAUGUCCUUGGAUAAGUCUUGCCUCUAAGGUAAGAGUUAUUGAACAUCUCAUAGAUCAAAAUAUAAUGUGACAGUGUCAACUCUUGCCCGUGAAACUUAACUUAUUGUUUAAAAGUCUUAAGUUUUGCCUUUAUUUACAGAAUAUAUUGUUAAUUAAGAUACAAUAUGGUAAUGUCAACUCUAACUUGUGGGCAUAACUGAUUGUUUGAAAGUAAUUGAAGAAAAGAAAAGGAAAAAAAAAUAAAGUUGCGGAAAAGAAAAAAAUGAAGAAAGACAUUGAAAAAAAUAAAAAAUAAAAAAAAUAAAAGGAUAUAUAGAAGUUGAGAGGAGAAAAGCAAAAAAAAAAAAAAGAUUGAGAAAAAAGAAGAAAAAAAAAUCAAAAAUAAAAGUUGAGAAAAAAGAAAAAAAUAAAGGCCGAGAAUUUUUUUUUUUUUUUUAAAAGUUAAAGGAAAAUAAAAAGGAGAAAUAGAAUAGAAGUUGAGAGGAGAAAAGUAAAAGAACUAAGAGUUGAAAGUUCUUUCUUAAAAAAAUUAAAGAGAAAAGAAAAAAAAUUAAAGUAAAAUAAAAUAGAAAUUGAGAAAAGGAAAAAGAAAAAAAAAAGGUUGAGAAAGCCUUAAAAACUAAAGUAGAAUAAAAAAAUGUUGAAAAAUAAAUAGGAAAUUUAUUUAUAAAUAUUGGAGAUAUAACGAGGUAAUAGGUCGUAGGUGUAAGAGGAUAACUUUGAAUGAUUUCAAGCGGGGUAAGGGCAAAUCGAAAAAAUAUUGGAGAGAGGUGAUUAGACGUGACGUGGAACAGUUACAACUUACUGAUGAUAUGACCCUAGAUAGAAAGGUUUGGAGGGCGCGAAUUAGGAUAGAAGGCUAGUGCAUAUGGGUGAAUCAUAGUCAGUAGUUAGGAGAGCUUUGGGAUAGCCGGGUUAGGGUUAUGUCCAUAGGUUGGAGCUGCUAGGAGAGUAUGGGGUAGGGGUGCCGCCGGCUCGUUAGUGUAGGAUAUUACUUUGUGGAUAUCUUAUUUUUAUUAUGCCAUCUUGUUUAAUGUUUUACUAUGGAUUUGUUACUAUUCUUUGUUUCUGUUAUGCCACCUUAUUUCAUGUUUUAUUAUGAAUUUAUUUACUAUUCUUUAUUUUGAACCAGGGAUCUAUCGAAAACAACCUUUCUACUUCUCCAGAGGUAGUGAUGUGGACUGCGUACAUCUUACUCUCCCCAAACUCCACUAUGGGGAAUACACUAGGUUGUUUGUUGUUAUUUUGGAGAGGUAAUAGGUAUUUAUGUUGUAUAAAAUAAUAUAUAUGUGUGAAGAAGCAGGCAACACUUCGUCGACAUGCUUGCUUCUUCACCUGUUUAAAUCCAUAAUUUUACUAUAUCAUCCUUAAUUAAUUAUUAUAAGUCAUUGAUAUAUUAAAAAAUUAUUAAUAUUUAAUUAAAAAAUAAAUAGAUAUUUAUAAAAUGUCAGUUAUUUCAACUAUAGUUUUACUAUAUCACCCCAAAUUAAUAAUUAUAAGUCACUAUUAGUACUAUGUAUAAAUGUAAAGAAGCAGACAACACUUCAUCGACAUGCUUGCUAUUUCAGCUGCUUCAAUCCGUAAUUUUACUAUAUCAUUUCUAAUUAAUUAUUAUAAGUCAUUGACAUAUUAAAUAAUUGAUAAUAUUUAAUUAAUUAAUAAAUAAAUAUUUAUGAUAUGUCUACUUCAACUCGUGAUUUUACUAUAUCACUCAUAAUUAAUUAUUAUAACUCAUUUACAUAUUAAAAAAUUACUAAUAUCUAAUUAGAAAAUAAAAUAGAUAUUUAUGAUAUGUCAUCUAUUUCAAUUAUAGUUUACUAUAUCACCCCAAAUUAAUAAUUAUAAGUCAUUUAAGUAUUAAAAAUUAAUAAUAUUUAAUAAAAAAGAAUAAAAUAGACAUAAAAUAAUAAAUUGACUCUUAAUAUUUUAAAUUAACUAGAUGCCUUAUAUAAGACCUACUUAAAAAAAAUUCACAAGUAUUUUUUAUAAUAAUUUUGUUAUAUCGCUUCUAAUUAGUUAUUAUAAUUCAUUUAAAACAUGUUUGUUUCGCUGCUUUAAUCGUGAUUUUAUAAUAUUACCCCUAAUUAAUUAUUAUAACCAUCUAACCAUUGGGUCAUAAAAAAGAUAUUUUAAUUACAAUAAUUAAUUACUUAAAUUAUUUAAAAAAUAUAAUUAGCUGGACAACACGCGAAUUGAACCACUUCUCUAAUUAGGCGCGAAAAACAGUUUAUUUCACAAAAACAUUUGUUUCUUCUUCUACAUUCUUACGUUUUUCUUCCUUCAUUCUACUCUUUUGCGCUGUUACAAAUUCUUCCGUGGAUUAUUCAGACGGUGGCGCCUCAUUGCCCUCCACCGGCACAGAUGCCAAAAAACGUCUAGUAAGAUAUUUUUAUGAACGAGAAAUUGGCAACUACUGUUACGGAAAACAGCACUUUAUGGUACCGAAUAGAAUUCGCAUGGCACACCACCUAAUAGUCCGCUAUAAUAUACACAAACACUUAGAAAUGAAGAUUCCGCCUCGCACCAAACUGAAGGAUUUUGCCUCUUUUCAUUCAGCGGAAUAUGUUGAUUUCCUCUCUUCCGUUUCACCGGAAAACGUUAAUCAUCCUAGCAACAAGUCAAACGUGGAGCGGUUCGAUAUUUCGAAGGAUUUCCCUGUUUUCGAAGGGCUUAUUGAAUUUUGUAAAUCCUCCGUAGGUGGAUCGAUUGGAUCUGCUGUUACACUCAACCAAAACGAUGCCGAUAUCGCAAUCAACUGGGCUGGUGGUUUGCACCAUGCAAAAAAAGAUGCGGCAUCGGGAUUUUGCUAUGUGAAUGAUAUUGUGCUGGGUAUGCUUGAACUCCUCAAAACCCACAAGGUAUAUAUUUAGCUUACAUCUAUUGUGAAGAAAUCCGAAAAACCUGCAUGUUAUUAUUUUUGUGAUGUUGAAUUGGCGAAGGCAGUUUUCAAAUUGAAUGAGCUGAGGAAGAAAUUUGAAUCUGUCAGACUUAAUAUUUUGACGUUGCGUGAUAUUUAGCUUGUUGAGUUUGCGUUUUUGAAGCAUAUUGAAUGAGCUGAAAUUUUGCUUAUCGACUCAAUUGUUUUGAUAUUCUGUGAUGUUGAAGAUUUUGAAUUGGCGAAGCUGUGUUCAAAUUGAAAGAGCUGGAUUGUUUUUUGCUUUUUGAUGUUCUGUGAUGUUUUGCUUGUUGCGUUCGCGUUUCUCGAAACAUAUUCAAUGAGCUGAAAUUUUGCUUCUCGACUCAAUUGUUUUGAUGUUUAGGUUGUCGAGUUGUGUGUUUUUGAAGUAUAUUGUUUGAGCUUUUGUGAUGUUGAAAAUGUUGAAUUGGUGAAGGCAGUUUUCAAAUUGAAUGAGCUGAGGAAGAGAUUUAAAUUUGUCGACUUAAUAUUUUGAUGUUCUGUGAUGUCUUGGAAGCAUGUUUUGAUGUUCUAUGCUGUUGAGUGUUCAAAUUGAAUGAGCUCUUUUGAUAUUUGCGUUUUUCGAAGCACGUUCAAUGAGCUGAAAUUUUGCUUCUCGACUCAAUUGUUUUCAUAUUCUGUGAUGUUGAAGAUGUCGAAUUGGUGAAGCUGUGUUCAAAUUGAAUGAGCUGGAUUUUUUUGAUGUUCUGUGAUGUUUUGAUUGUUACGUUUGCAUUUUUCGAAGCAUAUUCAAUGAGCUGAAAUUUUGCUUCUCGACUCAAUAUUUUGAUGUUAAGGUUAUAGAGUUGUCUUUUUGAAGCAUAUUUUUGAGAUUUUUGUGAUGUUGAAUUGACGAAGGCAGUGUUCAAAUUGAAUGAGGUGAGGAAGAAAUUUGAAUCUGUCGACUUAAUAUUUUGAUGCUGUGAGAUGUUUUGGUUGUAGAGUUGUGUUUUAGAAGCAUGUUUUGAUGUUCUGUUAUGUUAGAGUGUUAAAAUUGAAUGAGAGCUAUUUUGAUAUUUUGCUUGUUGAGUUUGCGUUUCGAAGCAUAUCCUUGUUUGUGAUGUUGAAGAUUUUGAAUUGGUGAAGCUGUGUUCAAAUUGAUGCGCUGGAUUUUUUUUGAUGUUCUGUGAUGUUUUGCCUGUUGAGUUUACGUUUUUCGAAGAAUAUUGAUGAGCUGAUUUUUUGUUUUUGGAUGUUCAGGUGAUAUUUUAUUUGUUGAGUUUGUGUUUUUGAAGCAUAUUUAAUGAGCAGAAAUUUUGCUUCUCGACUCAAUUUUUUGAUGUUUUGUGAUGUUUUGCUUGUUGAGUUUUGAGUUUUUGAAGCGUAUAUUGAUUUUCUGUAUGUUGAAAGGGCGGAGCAGUGUUCAAAUUGAAUGAGCUAUUUUGAUAUUUUGCUUGUUGAGUUUGCGUUUUCAAAGCAUAUUCGAUGAACUGAAAUUUUGUUUCUCUACUCAAUAUUUUGAUGUUUAGGUUAUAGAGUUGUGUUUUUGAAGCAAUUUUUUGAGCUUUUGUGAUGUUGAAUUGGCAAAAGCAGUUUUCAAAUUGAAUGAGCUGAGGAAGGAAUUUAAAUUUGUCGACUCAAUAUUUUGAUGUUGCGUGAGAGUUUGGUUUUUGAAGCACAUUGAAUGAUCUGAAAUUUGGUUUCUUGACUCAAUAUUUUGAUGUUCUGAGAUGUUGAAGAUUUUGAAUUGGCGAAACUGUGCUCAAAUUGAAUGAGCUGGAUGUUUUUAUUUUUUUUCAAACUAACUUUUUUAUGUUCUGUGACGUUUUGCUUGUUCAGUUUGCAUUUUUCGAAGCAUAUUGAAUGAGCUGAAAUUAUUAUUUUUUGGAUGUUCUGUGAUAUUUUGAGCUUUUGUGAUAUUGAAGAUGUUGAAUUGGCUAAGGCAGUUUUCAAAAACUUUUCGUAGCAUAUUUUUGAGCUUCAGUGAUGUUGAAUUGGUGAAGCAGUGUUCAAAUUGAAUGAGCAGGAUUUUUUGAUGUUCUGUGAUGUUUUGCUUGUUGAGUUUGCGUCUUGAGCCGGAGAACUAUCGGAAACACCCUUUCUACUUCUCCGGAGGUAGUGGUAUGGACUGCGUACAUUUUACCCUCCCCAGACCCCACUGUGAUGUUGAAAUGGCAUCUUUUCAUUUUACUGAAUCUUUUGCCUGAUCAGAGCUUGUUCUGAUACAAUUGUAGUUAAGAUACAGGUUUGCAGCAUCUUUUCCUUUUAUUGACAUUGACUCUCUUGCUUGAUUAGAGCUUGUUCUGAGUACCUGUCCUAUGAAAUGUUUUUCUCUGCAGCGCGUAUUGUAUAUAGACAUUGAUGUCCACCACGGAGAUGGUGUUGAGGAGGCUUUUUUCACUACAGAUAGGGUCAUGACAGUGUUUCCAUAAGUUUGGUGAAGACUUUUUCCCUGGUACAGGGAAAGUCAGUGAUGUUGGAGAAAACAAAGGGAAAUACUAUGCUCUAAAUGUCCCAUUGAAUGAUGGGAUGGACAACGAAAGUUUCAGAGGUUUAUUUCAUCCUAUAGUACAAAAAAUUAUGGACGUGUACCAACCCAAUGUCGUUGUUCUUCAAUCUGGAGCCGAUUCACUUGCUGGAGAUAAGUUGGGACGCUUCAACUUGUCUGUCAAGGGUCAUGCGGACUGCCUUCGAUUUCUGAGAUCCUUUAACGUCCCACUGAUGGUAUUGGGUGGUGGAGGUUAUACAAUUACAAAUGUUGCUCGGUGUUGGUGUUAUGAGGUGUCGUCGUUGUUUUAAUAAUGUUAUUGCGUUCCACAUUUUCUAGCUAUUGCUAUUGUUUCAAAAUCUGUGGUAAGUGUCAAUUGCUUUUCUUUGUUACAGACAGCAGUUGCAGUUGAGUAGAACCUGAUAAUGAACUGCCUAUUCAUGAAUAUUACGAGCAUUUCAGUCCACAAUAUGUUCUUCAUGUUGAACCAAAACCCAUGAUGAAUAAGAAUUCACGCAAGGGUCUCGAGUAAUAUUGAACAUAUUAUUUUCCUAGUGUAUUUUAGGCAAUCUUUUGUUGAUGACAGUUCUCCAUUUGUUUUGACAUAAUAUGCCGAUAAAUACAUUCUUUAUCCAUAAGAAUUCCUUACAUUCUUCUUCAAGCAAAUUGACAAUGAUAUAGACAUUACUUGACAUAAAUACUUGGUUGCAGGAACAUGCUACUUGAGCAUAUCUCGUGAUUAACUCAUGCACCUAGUGUGCCGUUCCAAAACACUCCUCCCAUAUCAAAAGUUCGAGAGGAGGUUAGUGGUGCCUUGAUUAUUACAUUUCUAUAUGUAAAACAUCUUUAUUCUAGAAUCAUGAAUUGCAGGAAGAGGAUGAUAUUGAGAGGAGGACAAGACCAAUCUGGAAAGGUGUGGAUUCAGAGGAAGAUUAAGAUCAGAAACAAGACAAUACAUUCAUAUAGUCUCAAGCUGCAUUAAGCACCAAGCUUCUCUCUUGAAUGUCGACUGAAUGUUAACUAGUUUGCAUGCUUUCUUUUAUGAAAUGUGGGAAUUCAAUCAAGUGCACCAUAAGCAUCACACACACAAAGCUUUACUAAAAACAGAGAUGAAUUCCUGUUCCACCUUCAGUGGUUCUGUAAGCUUUUAGUCCCACUUCAGUAUAAAUGGUGUUGAUGGUACUAUGUGAUGUUCUGAUUUUCCAUUGCGCAUGAAAGUACCUUGUAUUAGAGUCACCACAUUAAAUCCAUGUAGCUCUUGAUUUUUGCCUCAACACCUGCUCCUCAAUACUACUCCACUUCUCGAUCUCCAAGAUAAUUUUUCUUUCCUCUAUAUAUAGCUCAGCAUUCAAAACUUGCCCCCGGAUCUGUGUUUGUAUAACAUCAAGUCUUUCUCUUGCCAAGCAUAAUUUUUGAAUGUAGGAGGCCAAAUAACUAUUGAUGUCCUUCAGCGGUACUUUGCUUGUUCCAUACAUUAGCACCAGCCUGUGUAUGUGUAUCUUGGUUCCAAACCCUCCGCAAUAUCCCAGCAAAUUCAGGGUGCUUAGACUCUUCUAUCAUCAGCUUGUUUAUUACACCAAGUGAAAUGCCAACCCUUCUAAUAAUUGUGAGUUGCAUCAUAUCUAUUUACCCUUGAAAACCGUGAACUUCACUUUGGGUCACUAGACCCUAUUCUAUCUUCAGAGCUGAGCACACUAUUGAAAUCUCCACACAAAAUCCAGGGUUUGUUCAAUGAUAAAUUCACUUGAGUUAAUUCAGUCCAUAUAAUUUCUUUAUUAGCAUACUAGAGUUUUCAAUUAGCAUAUAAACACACAACUUCUGCAAUAUAAGCAAAUAACCAAUGUAGCAACUCAGCAAACUAAGGAAACGGCCAACUAAAAGAAGUUGAACCUGGUGCCCAAGUGCGCAACUGAAGAACUAUCGGUUUCCGUAGAAGCAUCUUCCAAGCUAGUUUUCACAGGGGCAGCGGCCAGUGAUCCGGAAAACGACACACCAGUAAAGCUACCAAAACUUAGGUGUCAACAGUCAGCUGCUUGAACUUGAAGAUGGUCCGGGAACACAAGGGAUGGACUACUCCCCCAUCAGAUGGCAAACCCCGAUAAUCCUUUACAUUUAGUUGCUGCAAGUUCGCAGCAACUGAUGAAACUGAAGCAUUAACAGCUUCAUCUGCCACAAGAUAAACGAACAUUUUCUUACAUAAACGAGAGGAUAGUACUUUAAAACAUUUGAAAAACAAAACUAAAGUUGUACCAAGGAAUAAUAUUUACUUUAGGGAUCGUUUGGUAGAAGGGAUACGAAAAAUAAUUCCACGAUAAAGUUUGGGAUUAACGUUAUCCCAUGUUUGGUACAAGGUAUUACUUAAUCCCGGGAUUAUUUUAUUCCACCAUUUGUACUAAGAUGGUGGGAUUACUAUCCCAUGGGGAGGGCGGGAUAAAAUAGUCCCAUGGGAUAUCCUUAGUUAUCCCAUGGAGUGUACCAAACGACCCCUUAAGAGUGCAAGGUACAACAGCUUACUAGAGAUCGCUACUUCUAUUUAUAAAUAAAGCUAAGUAUACACUGGUACUCUCAAGUCCAAAUAUUCAUCCUUCAGAUCCUGCGCCUUUUUCUCUAAGAACUAACGACAAAAGAAGCAGGAUGAAAUGCCUCCUAAGCAGCUCACCAAUGCAUGCCAACCCCCGCCAAAAAAGAUACCAACACACACACACACACACACCAAGAAAGUUAUAGGUAUGCUGGGAUUUAUAGGAUGGAAGAGGAACUUAUUUAAAAAGAGAAAAAAGGAAGCACUAAAUAGAGGGAGGCGAGAGACUGUAAACGUGUGUUUAGAGGGGCCACAUCUGCUCAGGAAGAUCCUCAUAAAAGCAAUUUGACUGAAACAUUGUUGGAACAAACAAAGGUUGCCAGAAGUUUAGAGUGAAGCAAAACCAAUUAUCCGAAACAUUUAGGUUUCUGAUAUGCUAAAUAUCCAUUGGAAGUAGACAGACAUACAGAUUGACACAACGUAAGGAUGAGAUGAAGAUGCUAGUACACUAGGAUAAGCAGACAGUUAAGAUUAACAUUUCAUCGCUUUCUAGUUAUUACAUCUUCCCAUAUCUGCAAACUUAAAGGUCGACAUCUAAUGAUAAGAUUAGAUAGAGGGAGAAACGGCAUAUAAAAUAGAUCUGAUGAUCGUAGGAUGUCAUGACUGCAUUCCUAUAACAAAAUUGUCAAGAUCUACUUCUAAUGUGCCAUAUUAAAUAAUCAUAAAAAUAAGGCAGAGGGAAAUACAAAGGAGAAAAAUGAGUUAAAAGGAACUAAUGACCUGCCAAAUCGAUUCCAGAGCCUCAAUGCCAAACGCCAACCAAUACACCUUGGUUAAACUAAAACAAUGAGAUUAAUAUAUCCAGCGAUAUGCAUAUCUCAUGCCAAAUCAAAACUUCUACACAUGUUCAUCUUGUGGAUGGUCAAAAGUGUGAUUCUGGUGCUGAUAUCUGUAGGGGUCAUAGUCAUACAGAGAAGCACUAUCACCAUUAUCCUCCGGCAACUUUCUACCGGAAAGACAACUACCAAGAUCUUCAUUAGCACGGUCAUCUGCCUCUUCAGACUCAUCCGUCUGAGUUUGAUUAUCAAUUCUGUCAAAAGACGCGUUAGACGGAUCAGGAUGCAGCAUGGAAUUAGUGGGAGGCUCCGAGACAGAAGGCUGGCUAGCAGCUGAUGGCUGCUCAAUUGAAGGCCACUCAGCAUUCGCUGAAAGAUUCUGAGAUGAAUAAUCCCUUGGUUUGUGAUGUACCUCAGGAACCUUCAAAUGAUCAUCAGAAAACUGCAUAUUAUGAUGUGAUGCACCAUAAGGAGGAGGUGCCUGAUCAUGGUUUUGGUUGAUGCCAACAGUACGGUGAGAUGUAUUGGGUAUACUAGACACUUUACUCUGUGGCCUACCCAUCUUCACAAUAUCUGCCAUUGAUACUUGGCCUGGCACCCCACCCCAAGUAGGUUGAUAUCCAGAAGAAGGCUUUGAAGCAGCUGAAUGACCAUCAACUGCUGCUUUUGCCAAUCUUUUACCGUCAUUUCCAGCAGCAUCACUGCAACGCCAUUCAACGCAUAAAAAGAAGAUUAAAAAAAAAUAAGUCAAGAAUCUCCAAUAACAUGCUCAUUCUGCACAUAUGAACGCAUGUAAUCCAGGAAUAGACGCAAUCCCUGAAUAAUUUAACAUGCAUGGUUCAAAAAAAUAAAUGACGAGAAUAUUCAAAGAUUAGGUCUGCGGACCCACUAUCCUCCCCACUGCUAAAUAAAUUUGGUUUUUCAUAACAGCUUGAGUAUGGUAAGAACUUCUCAAGAUAUUGACAAAUUUAAUGAACCAUCCAACAGGGUUCGACGGAUUAUUAUACUGUUGCCACCAACGGAAUCUAAAAGCAACUGAUUGUCUAGUGAAAGAACCAAAACCUUCUAAUGAGACAGCAGUACUAACCUGACGGCAGUUGGUCUCCUAUCUGUGUUACUUCUUGCAAUUAGAGGAGUGGAAGAGAAAUUGUUUGGUUGCGAUCCACUUCCCUUCCUCUAUGCAGGAGCGGGCUUGGUAGACUCUGUCGGAGUUUUUUCAGAAAGCAAAACAAUCCAGUAUCAGAUGACUUACACAACACAAACCUAAUCUCUCUUUCAGAAAUUGUGCAUUAAUGUUUAUACCUGAUCCGCCACGCCCGACAUAUCGUUCCUCACUAGCCCUACUGCCACGACUUGGAGUGCUACUCGUGAUCCAAGACCUAGAUUCAGUUGUAUCCUUAGUCUGAACCAAACAUGAACAGAAGUAAAGUUAUAAAUAUGAAAAACAAUUUGAGAAAGCAACAUAAAAAUCUAAUUAAAGCACCUUUUCAAGGUCGGUGACUCAAUUAUAAGGAAGCUAAUCUUCGACGACACACAGUUACAUAUCAAUUGGAAUGUGCAAUGCAGGGCCCUAAGGUUUUUUUUGUUAAAGUUGGGGGGUAGGGGAGCGGAGAACGGAGAGGGAAUGACAAUGUGGGAAAUCGAACUCUGACCAACGAAAAUUUAAGUAGCCAACCAGCUGAGCUACUAAGAUUCCCAAGGGCCCGCAAUAUAUCAACAACAACAACAACAACAUACCUAGUGUAUUCCCCCAUAGUGGGGUCUUGGGAGGGUAGAGUGUACGCAAACCAUACCACUACCUCAAGUGAAGUAGAGAGGUUGUUUCUGAUAGACCCCCGGACCGCAAUAUAUCAAAUAAAAUAAAACUUGGACCAUCAAGAAUAUAGAAAGCAUGAAUCUACGGAUAUAUAAAGUUCAAAAUAGUCUAGAAAUAAAUUGGUUCUAGAAUUUAUGCUUUAGCGGUGAUUACGAACCUCUUUUCUCUUUUCUCGUUUGCUCUUCACCUCAUGAAAAGGAUCUAGUCAAUUACAAAACUUCAAAUUAGAAGGUGAUAAGAAAUAUCAACUUAUUCAAGAAGGGAACAACAACAACAACAACAAACCCAGUGUAUUCCCACAUAGUGAGGUCUGGGGAGGGUAAGAUGUACGCAGUCCAUACCUCUACCUCUAAAGAAGUAGAAAGGCUGUUUCCAAUAGACCCCCGGCUAGAGACACGGAAUACUAAACAAAUUCAUAGUAAAGCAUGGAACAAGAUGGCAUAACAUAAAUACGACACCCACAAGUAAUAUUCAAGCAGGGAAGAUUGACAAAAUAUAAAUAGGUUUUUAGCACGAUAAGACAAAGAUGUCAUUUCAAGUAACUAGUACAGAAUGAAACAGCAAAAGCACAGGGAGAGCAUGAUUAGCAACAGAAAUUCAAAUUUAACGCAGCUUAGGCAGUGUAAUAGUGCUAAAAUCACCAGCAUCAAUCUGACGCUUUUUCAGAACCCAACAUUUGAUUCCUCCUUAAACCUUGCUUCCAAAGGCAGCCUAUGUCAUCCUCAAGGUAAAUUCUAAAUAAUGUUCCAACUAUGGCAUUUACGAAUAGUAUCAAAACACCACCUCCCAUGUGACUGGUGAAUACAUAGUGGCAACGGCUCACAAAUAGCUACAUUAAGUUCCUAUGUGUUUUUGAGGUAGAUGUUUUCAUUCCCCACGGCAUCAAAGUAGAUGUGCCUGGUUUGACCGGUAAAAAGGUAUGGUGAACACUUGGUUUUAAGGACAUGAUUAAGGAGUUCUGAUGCCACCAAAACAUCUUCUAUUCCUUUUAAAACAUUUAGAUCCUAUGUUGGUUAACAUUGAGAUUGGCAACACACAAUUCCUCAGGAAAAAUGGAAAAUACAAGUGAUAAGAUAGCCAUCUCAAACUGAAAUACCACAGGGUCCAUUAAACAUAAAGAUGACACAAGGAUCAGGCCAAACACAAUACGCCAAAAGCUAGCUCACGAGGGAGGAUUGUCCAACACCAUAUAAGGAGACCAACUACCCAACCCUUUUCCGAUGUGGGAUACUUAACACUCCCCCACACGCUAGCUCAUGAGGGAGGAUUGCCCAAGACCAUAUAAGGAGACCAACUACCCAACCCUUUUCCGAUGUGGGAUAUUUAACACUCCCCCGCACGCCCAGGCCUUGUUAAUUGGAGCGUGGAUGAUAUAAUAUGGGGGCCAGCAUCGGUGAACAAAGAUUUGGGAUGGGCCUGGCUCUGAUACCUUGUAAAAAAUGAAUCUUGGGCCUAACUCAACCUCAAAAGCUAGCUCAUGAGGGGAGGAUUGCCCAAGUCCAUAUAAGGGAACCAACUACCCAUCCCUUUUCCGAUGUGGGAUACUUAACAAGUACAUAGUGGUAACGGCUCACAAAUAGCUACAUUAACUUCCUAUGUAUUUUUGAGGUAGAUGUUUUCAUUCCCAUGGCAUCAAAGUAGAUGUUCCUGGUUUGACCGGUAAAAAAGUUUUGGUGAACACUCGGUUUUAGGGACAUGAUUAAGGAGUUGUGAUACCUCCAAAACAUCUUCUAUUCCUUUCAAAACAUUUAGAUCCUACGUUAGUAAACAUUGAGAUUGGCAAUACACAAUUACUCAGGAAAAUACAAGUGAAAAGAUAGCCAUAUCAAACUGAAAUACCACAGGGUCCAUUAAACAUAAAGAUGACUCAAGGAUUAGGCCAAACACGAUAUGCCAAAAAAUCUUCUAUAAUUUUCAAUAUAAUAGCAAAAAAGUAGAAACUUGUACUGAUCAAAUAAGUAUUUCCCCAUAAUGGAAGUUACGCAGCAUUCCAAAUAUGAAAACUUCACAUAUACACAACCCAUUAGAUUGAUCUUUCUUGCUUAGAUAAAUCUUGAAUUAAACCCACACACAAAACACCACAGGUGUUUGAAACAAAGAUAGCAAAUUAUAUAACGUGGCAGGGGAUAAUCCAUUCUUCUCUCCGUGUGAGUAUUCGUUUCAUAUAUUUUAAACAUAAUCAUUACUAUUCUCUUAUCCGGAACAACCACAAGAUAAGUAAAAGAGGCUACUUCACUAUAUAUAUGAAAACUGAAAAAUUACAUGCGCAGAAAACUAAAGUAUCAAUAGAUUCCCAGUACCCAGAAAUUAAUUACAAAAAGAAACAAAAAAAGAGUUCAACUUUAAAGGUUCAUAGCUUAUAGGGACCUUCGAGCAUAUGUUCGGCUUCAUUAGGAUACUAUAUAAGCUGAAAACUAAAAAAUUGCACAACACUGAACAUGUUGCUUGAGCAUCUCUCGUGAAUACCUCAUGCACCCAGUGUGCCGUUCCAAAACACUCCUCCCAUAUCAAAAAUUCGAGAGGAGGUUAGUGCUGCCUUGAUCGUUAAAUUUCUACUAUGGGUACAGCCCCAUCUUAUUCUAGAAUCAUGAAUUGUAGAAGGAGGCUAACAAGGAUCAAAGGGCAAUACCAUGGCAAGGUGUGGAUUAUGAGGAUGAUUCUGAGGAGGAAGAUUAGAAACAAGACAAUGCAUUCAUAUUCAGUCUCAAGUUGCAUUAAGUACCAAGCUGAUAUUGGGAUUAAAGUUUACUGGUUUUUCUGCUUUUAGGAAAUGAGUGAUUACUCUCUUGUAUGCUGACUGAAUGUUAACUGGUUUGCGUGCUUUUAUGAAACUAGCAUCAGGAGGAAAUGAGUGAUUACUCUCUUGUACGCUGACUGAAUGUUAACUGGUUUGCAUGCUUUUAUGAAACUAGUAUCAGGAGAUGAGUCGUCACUUUGUGUCCAUUCGCAUUGCAGUGCUCUAUUAUAUGGCGGGUUCCAUACGCAAUGCCCUGUACUGUGGCCAGGUAGAGAAGUGCCAGCUGCUUUUCACUAGUGUCUCCCAAUAUGAUUAAGUCAAGUCAAAUCCUCAGCCGCUUUUAUAGGAAGAUGAGCGGAAAGGGCACUCAACGCCAGGUCCGUCUGCCCAUCAUCAAGCUUAGGUAGGCUCAAGCCACUUACACUUUACCUAAAGUGUGAAGACAAUUCUUUCAAAUAGGCUGAGGCUUCAGUUGACCAUUAGCCAGGAGUGAUCUCUUUUCGAACAUAGGGGCGCGUUAAACCUGAAAUCACACCUUUUGACUUUGGGUCUGCAAUAGGUGACCCGACGGAAAUUUUGCAUGUAAUUUAUAACAGAUAGGCCAUCAAGGUAAAAAAAACGUGUUAACCAUUCUAAACCACUAUAUCUGUUACCAUGAAAAUCUGGGAGAAUAUGAAUAUCAUUAGUCAACGCAGCUAUAAAUGGUGACCCCUCAUCUUGCUUCAUUGUUUCCAAUAUCUCAUUCAACAAGUCAAAGAUUGAGAUUCCUAGCAGAAGAUUAAAUUUUAACUUUUAAGCAGGAGACCACCGAAAAAAAGAAGAGUAAAAAGCAACUUUGACAAGGAGCACCAGACAUAUUUCCAUAAAUGCUACAUUAAGGUCAUCUUACUUCGAGAUGCAGCACGAUUUGCAAGAUGAGGAGAUGCAACGUGAUUCUCAAUUAUAUGGUCUAGCAAUGCACCGGUAGCACUCUAUCCUCCUUCAGUAAGCCAGUACUCCGGCACCAUCGCUGAAAAUAUUGCGAAGAACAAAGUGAUGGAACAUCAUUUGAUUGUAACAAAAGUAAUAGCAUAGAUAAAAUAUGGGAACCCUCCAAGAAUGUUUCAACUAAAAACAGAACCAAAUAUCAAACAUAAGCAUUUCUUUUACAGCUUUUCAGCGUUACAGUGUCAAUUCAACCACCCAUAUCCUGAGGGACCCUUAAAUCUUUAGAUUUAUCAUUGACAUCAUUUGAACAAAAAUAGUUUGAAAGAAAAACCAUACAUUGCAAGUGGAGGCGUACCUGACCAGAAAGGUCCCCAGACUCCAUGAAUAACUUUGUCCUGGAUACAGCCAUGUGGCAUGUGGAUUGUGGAAGUACCACAUACGAGCACCAUACGCCUACUUAUAGCAUCCUCAUCAACUUUCAAACAUGCAGUAAAAAUUCUUCAAUAAGCAAAAUCUAGUCGACAAUAUAAGCGAAGAUAUUUUGAUCGAUCAACAUAAUCCAGAAGAUUACUCAAUAAUAACAACCUAUAGAUUCAGAAUCUGAUGCGGGCAAGCUUUCCAUUACACCAACACCGCCAGCAUGAGCAUCUAUCAGUGUUGUACCUACUGGUGUCCCUGCCAUCAAUCCCAAUUCCCGAAACAUAAAGCAGCACCUUAGUAAGGUAACUCAAAAGCCUGAAGAGAGGAAGGAGACUUAUAACCAUCAAAACCGCAAAUGCUUGCAUCAUUGGGAAUGAUUUUGUGCUUCUUUUCCCUUUUGCUAAUAGUCAAGAUACAAUGUGAUUCUUAUAAAUUCUCACCUUUGCAGCAUUCAGUGUUAAACCCAAACCCAAUACGUGACCAGGGAAUGCUACACUUCGCCCUGCGCAUUUUUAUUAUAAAAUCAUGAAUAAGAACAACUAAGCAGAUCUUAAGACUAAAAAUAAUCUACUGUACGAACACGGAACAACAUAAAUAAAUAUUGACCCUUUGAGACAAUGUGCCUAAACAGUUCAAAAGAUAAUCUUUUUUAUAGGCGGCAGAUUUAUAAAAAUGCAAGUAAGGCUGUGUGCUAUACACCCUUGUGGUGGGGCGCUUCCCCGGACACCGCGCAUAGCGUUAGCUUUAGUGCACCGGGCUGCCCUUUUUAAGUGGCAGAUUUAUAAAUCUCAAUCCAUAAAUAAUUAGAAAACAAGACAAAAAUUCAACAAAAAGAAACCCAAAAAAAAAAAAAAAAAAAAAAAAAAAGGAUUCUUAGCAGAACUACCUCUUUUUGCCAAGGCACAGAUCAGUAAAUGCUGAUCGCAACCUAACAUGAAAUGAAACACAAAUUUGUGGUUUUCUUCUUCUUUUUUGGUGAGAGAAGGCCAAUACCCUCAACUAAUCCCUAAUAUAUGAGAGGUGACUAUAUCUAUUUCUGAGACUCAUUGCUCAAUUUUCAAAAACUCUUUCAACAGCCGCACAUUGUAGCAUGACUUCAAAUAAGAUGAUGAAUAGAGAUUGACAAGUUAAUGACAGAGUUAGUUUGGUGAAUUUUUUUCAAGUCAUACAUUUUGGUAAUUUAGGUGAAGCUUCAAAAAUACCUAUCUUAGCAUGAUGCCCAUCAAUGAGAUCACCUAAACCAAUCUCCUCCCAGAAUCCAUCAUCCAUCCACAAGCUUCAAUAUCACGGGAAUCUUUCUCAUUUAUCUGCUGCAUGUGUGCAUGGCCUAGAUAUGUCCAUUUGCAUACAGUGGUGCAUAGACUCCUCGUGUCAUCUCCUGUUGCUCUAAUAAGUUAACAGAAUAGAUGGCAUCACCUCUUCCUGUUAAAAAUUCAAGAGUUAUAGUUUAUAAGCUAUUCUUACUUGUAUGUUAACCAAUCACUUAGAUCCAUCCACCUAAAUACCAUCGACCAGGAUUCCUGGAGGUUUUCCUUCACCUACAAGAGCUGUAAAAACAAUUUUGUAUUAUCAAACAGUAGUUAAAGCAUAUCACAAUAUGAUGAUCAAGGAAGAAACUAAGUAGAAACUUCAAACUUUUCCUUUUUGACUUCCUACGGUAGAAAGCAAGAAGCAUAAAGAUGCCAAGAGCAAGCAUACAAACAACACAUACUUAUUUGAUCAGAUUUGGAAGGAAAGUGCGGGUGCUAUUGCUGAUAUUUAUUCAUUACUAGGUAAAGAAGGUAUGCAUGCCAUCAUAAACUCUUUCUACAGGGUUACAAAAUUAUCCUUCAGAACCACACAAAAGACAAGUGCAUGUUAAGGAUUCAUUGCAGGACGGAACUUUAUUCAUUGCUUUCUUACUCCUAUACUCUUGCGCCCUUUUUCUUGGGUAGUUUCAACUUUCAGGAAAGAAGGUCACUGUGAACAAUCAACUACCAAGCACUACCCAGAUCUCCUUAUGCGAAGCAACUACCAAGAUAAAGGGGUCAUCCGUACUGAAAACUGCUACAAAUUCACCCGAUUAUCAAGAAUGGAAACAUUUAACUACUCUUUCAACGUAUCUUACACUAUUUAUACACUUUUCACAGGAUUCUAGCUGAAAUUAGUAUAUGUUGGCAUUACAUUGUGUUAUAGAAGUCACCUUUGUGGCAAGACAGCCCGGACUUUUUUUUGAACUAGACAUUUUAUUUUAUUUUUUGAACUUGAAGACAGCAGAGACUAACAAGCAUUUAUUUCUACAUUGUGAAGUAACUAACAAAUAUGGAACUUCUGUGUAUGAGAGGUACCAGAUGGGCAAUGCCAAAAAGUUCCUUAGAAUUGUUGAAAUUCUGGAACCAGGGGGAGGAAGUCUUCCCAAACAGAAAGACGGAUGGAAGAUGAUACCAGGUUGCAUAUGGUGGAAUGUUUGGAGGGAAAGAAAUCUGAGAUGCUUCAAAGGAAAGGGAAUAUUUUAAAAUUUUGGACUGAUUUAAGACUAUAUUUUAACUUCUUGCCUGAUACUCAAGGUGGUAAAACUUAUGUUUGAUAAUUUUGAACACCACUGGGCUAAUGAACAAUCACCAAACUAGCUGGGGAGAAUUGCCAAUGGAGAAAAUACCCUGCAAAAUGGAGCAGUCACUAAAAAACUCACAAUCCCACCGGAACGGGUCAGCAAGAGACUAGAAUAUAAAACUAAGAAAUAGAAUGAAAAUUCUAGCCGGGCGAACGGCGUGAAUUAGAGGCUCUGAUAUUAUGUGAAAACAAGAGGAGAUUCUUGGGAUAAAUAGAUGACUCCAUGAAGUAAUAUGAGAGGAGUGAAAUGCCAAUUUACUUGGUAUAUCUGUUCAGUGUCGGACUACUUAAUAUUAGACUAAAUUAUCACUAAGACACUUAACAUUCCAGUACAAGUACUGCCAUAAGGAGUCAGCUAAACGAACCAAAACAUAUAUUUAAUAAAAAAUCACGAAUCUCAUUCAGGAGAAAGAUCCAAGGCAUAAACAGCAGUCUUUCCAACUAGUAUUUGUACCUUUGGUGGCCCCAUCUCAGGGGAUACGCCUCCUCCAAAAUACUGUAAUACAGGUGAAUUAGAAGCAUUGAUCCUCUCAGCUUGUUUUACAGCUCUAUGGUCCAUCCACACUAUGAUGUUUCUUCUAGUAUCACCACUCCAUGAAACCGUGACAGGCUCACCCAGAAUCAACAGCAACUGCAUAGACGAAGCAAUUCAUCCCAUGUUAUUUACUACUGUAAUUCUGCAUAUAUACCUCAAUCAACACACUGGAAAGAUUCACAAAGAUGAACUGCAGAAGUCAGUGACUACAUACCAAGAGAACAAGUAGCAACAAAGCCCAACCCCUAAACUUAUUCCUUGGAAACAUUUCCGAGGGCACAUGCCGCUUUUACAGCAGUGCAGAUAGCUAACCAAAUAUCACUUGAUGAUUGCUGGAUUCGACAAAUCACAUAAAUGAAAUCAGAAGCACAAAGAACUAAAAGGAAGAAAUCAAGCACAGCUUACUUCAGCAAAAGAGAGUACAGAUUUCUCAUUUCUAUUGAAAGGUCCUUGUAAGUUGAAUGUGCCAAAGCCUUUGGUUCUUGAUCCUUAUGCUUAUUGGAAACCAGAUGGGAGGUCAAAACCGGAGCGAUGGAACUUCAAGAAGCAAUUACAAAAGUUUCAAGCAUCAUAGAUUUCUCAGUGUUUCAUCCAUUGUGGCAUACUCUGCUGCAGCUGUGAUCGCGGUUGGAGUACUGAUAAUAACUUUACUAAAUGCUUCUGUUCGAAGGAGGAUCGCAUUCGUUGAGAAUGCGUUGGAAAGUAUGUGUUCAAGUUCUUCUAAAUCAGGGAGCCUAGCCACUGGAAAGCUUGUGUUAUUGGACACAAAAUCGUCGCCGGAUUGGACUAAUAGCAGUCUUGAAUCAGUCCUAAACAAGGCAGCUGAAAUCGGUGAAGGUGCCUUCGGAACUGUUUACAAGGCUCCAUUGGGAGGGGAAGGAAGGAUAGUAGCAAUCAAGAAGCUUGUGACAUCAAAGAUCCUCCAAUAUCCUGACGACUUUGAUAGAGAAGUAAGAGUUUUAGCAAAAGCAAGGCAUCCAAAUCUGAUAUCCUUAAAAGGGUAUUACUGGACUCCUCAACUGCAGCUUCUAGUAUCAGAAUAUGCACCAGAAGGAAGUUUACAAGCCAUACUACACGAAAGGCCUUCGUCUUCAUCUUCCCCUCCCCUCCCCUGUCUUGGUCCAGUCGAUUCAAUAUUAUGCUCGGAAAAGCCAAGGGACUAGCACAUUUGCACCACACGUUUAGGCCAGCAAUCAUACACUAGAACAUAAAGCCUAGCAACAUCCUCCUCGAUGAAAAUCUCAACCCGAAAAUAUCAGAUUUCGGUCUGGCAAGGAUCGUGACAAAGCUGGAUAAGCACAUGAUAAGCAACAGGUUCCAGAGUGCACUAGGCUAUGCAGCACGUAAAUUGGCAUGCCAGAGCUUUAGGGGUGAAUGAGAAAUACGAUGUUUAUUGAUUCGGGAUGUUGAUUCUUGAAAUUGUCACAGGGAGAAGGCCAGUGGAGUAUGGAGAGGACGUGUUGAUACUCAAUGAUCAUGUGAGAGUCUUGCUUGAGCAAGAUAAUGUGUUGGAAUGUGUUGAUCCAAGCAUGGAUACUUAUCCUGAAGAGGAAGUUUUACCUGUUUUGAAGUUGGCAUUGGUGUGCACUUCUCAAAUACCAUCAAGUAGGCCUUCAAUUGCUCAAGUGAUUCAAAUCUUGCAGGUCUUCAAAACAACUGUUCCUCAAAGAAUGGAAGCAUACUAAAACAUGUUACAAACUUCAUGAAUUUCCCUUUUCUUUAACUUUCUAUCAUCAUUUUGUUUCCUAUAAAUCCUAUUGUUAUCAUGUUAAACCUCCUAAGUUGAUGUUUUUGGACUAGAUAGUGACAGAGUGAGAUGAAAAUUAUGGGAGGUUCAAUGACUUCAAUCUUGUUUAUUGUUCUUUUAUCUAUAUUUUUUUUAAUUUUUCAAAGUAAAUUUUAGUGGGUAUACUCAUGAAAAAUGAGUGAAAGUGGAUACAAGAUUUCAAGUAGAUAACUAAUUCUAUGAGUGUUUGUUGUGACGGAGCCAGAACUUUCACACAGACGACUCAAAAUAUAUAGAAGUAAAUACAGAGAAAAAAUUAGAGUUUCAAUGUUUACUAUGUAUACAUACAAGUUAAUUUUAACCUUAUAGAUUGAAUAUAAGAUUCCCCAACGUGUUGACAGAAUCACUUAAUAUUAUUUAUAUUAUUUUUUUUGGCUGUUAGCAGUAAGGGGUGUGCAUCGAUCGGAUCGAUUCAAUUUUAUGUAUUAUCGAUUUGAUUUAUCGGUUAAUAAUUUUUAAAUAUGUUAAACGACUAAUCAAACUAAUAUCGAUUUUCGAGUUAUCGGUUUUUAGUCUUUAACGGUUCGAUUUUCGAUUAAUCGAUAAGAAAAUAUACAUAAAAUAGAAAUAGCAGCAACUAACAAGAAAAGAAACGAAAUCUUAUUUGCAGCAAAAAUCCUACAUGAUGUGUUUUAUUUUACAAGAAUCUUCACACUUGAAUAGGUAUAUAGAAAUAAAGAGAACUAUACAUAUAUAUAUAUAUAUACACACACACAUAUAUAUAUAAGUAGGGGUAAAGUGUAAUUCGAAAUAUUUUUAUUGGAUUAUCGAUUUACCCAAUAACUCAAUAAGAAAAAAUAGAACCGAACCAAUAAUCCAAUAAAAAAAAUUAUAGUACCAUUAAAAAAUCGUUAAUCAAAUAACCUAAUAUUAAUAAAUCAAUAAUAUUUUUAUCGGUCCGAUUUUUUUCACACCCUUAUUAGCAGCAUAAAACAUUGAGAUUUUGGUGUCAUAAUCAUCCUUUGACAUGUAUAAUAUAUGCAAGUUCUACUGUCUUUUCUAUGUGAUAUAACUUAGUGCCAAGACAUCACAAUUUUGAACACUUGUUAUCUUUUGGCCACCUACCACAUAGUCGAAAAGGAAGAAGGUAGUGGAAUCAAUAGUAUACGACACACAAACAAACAAAUAGAACAAGUCUUUUUUCCUCAAAAAUAUGAUAAGACUAAUAUAAAAUCUUUAUGAUUUUUGAAUCUCAAAAUUGGACUAACCAUUGAUCAACUGUCGAUCCACCUGCUUUCACUUUAGUGAUUGUGAGAUGAGAUCAUACUAAAAGCAUUAAUAGUAUUAAAAAAGCAUACUUUUAGAGAACUAAAGAGUGUCGAGAAGCCAAAAAGAGCUUGAUCAAUGUUGCUCCAACACAUUAAGGUAAGUAUUUUUCAAUUUUUUCAAAUUGAUUUGUCAAACACAAAUAACUAUUCUUCAAAAACACCUACAAAAUAAACAAAAUUUAAGAACGUCACAGGGAAAAAUUGGGUGUAAAAGUUUUUAAAAGUGUGCAUAAACAGUCAAUCCUACGAGAUGACGCGAAUCAUUUUCACUCACUACAUCAAUGGGGUAUCGAUAGAUUUUCAAUCUCUACUUUCAUAAGAUGAAAAUAAUACGAUUCCAGAUGAAUAAACAUUCUCUUGAAAAAAUACAGAUAAGAUUGUGUAUAAUAAAUCCGUAUGAGUCAACCCUUCCCAAGCCUCCACACAUAGCAAUAGCUUUUUUGCACCGAGUUGUCCUUUAGAGUAGAGGUGCAAGGUCGAUCUUGGAACCAAGUACCUUUUCCCUCCAACAAUUUAAGGAAACAUUAGAUCAAGUGUUUGAAUACGAUCCUAAAAGACACACGACAACUUAAUUUUCCCUUAAAUUUUAGUCAUAUAGCAAUUGACUCGUUAAUUUCGAAACAUCUUGAUAAAUAAUUAGUAAAAAUUGAGGGCAAAAAAAUGCAAACACCUAAUAAUUUAAGUAGGAAACUCGUAAGAACUUCAAGCGUGCUUUUUGACCAUUAUCUUUUACCAACAACAAACUUAGUGUAUUCCCACCUGGUGGGGUCUGGGGGUUAAGAUGUACGCAGUCCAUACCUCUACCCCUAAAGAAGUAGAAAGGAUGUUUCCGAUAGACCCCCGGUUCAAGUCACGAGAUACCACACAAACUCAUAGUAAAGCACAGAACUAGAUUGAUCAUUAUCUUUUAUUAAAAAAAAAAUUCCAACUAAUUCCUUUAAUUAUCGCGUGAAGUGCCAUUAGGCACAAUUAUUAAACCCCAAAAAAGAGACUACACCAUGCACCAUCAAAUACUGGCCGAGGCGUGUUAUCAUAAAAGCAUAGUAAUAAACGUGUCCUUUAAGUUGACCUCAAUUAAUAAUUGUGCCCUCCAACUUUGAAUGUGCCAAGUACGCAUUUAAACUUGAAUAAACACACACAUUCUAUGUAGCAUAAUACAUGUAGAACAUGAACCGCCACAUAAAAACACUAUGUGUCCACUAAUUCAACUUUAUACAAUUCAGUGUCGUGUCUACUCGAGCACACCCAUAAUUAAAAAGCACGGAUGCAGGCGCAUUUAGAUAUUAUACUUUUAACAAAUAAGUGAUAGUUCAUGGUUGUUUUGGACAAUUAUCUCUUCAACAUAUCAACUGAUAUUUGCUAUCCAAUUUUCUGGUUUAAUAGUAUGCUACUUUAGUUACAGUGAUCAAACUAAAAACUAAAAUAACUUGGAGCAAACAUAUUGCAUCCACUAGACAACACAUUUCAACACACCACUAUUCUUUUCUUACAAUCUUCUCGAGUUGAUUCGAAUUAUCUUUUUGAAUAUGAAAUUGAUUUUACAUAAACAAACAUGAUUCACUGAUAUUCUGAAUGUGAGAAAUAAGAUACACGUGGUUAUGUUUCCCAAUGUGGGAUACUAAUACACACUAAUCCUAUAUUACAUCAAUGUGUAAUCAAUCUACUUACAGUAUCAACACUCUCAAAUUGAUGGAUAUUGGAGUGUAUGAUAUCCUGCUGGAACAUAUGAUUGAUAUUGUCUCCAUGAGCAAAUUAUUCAUCUUAAUUUCCUCUCGAUGUUCUUCGAGCUGCAAUGCAAACUGAAGAGGUUAACAUUGUCAAAUACAAGGUUUGCUUGGAGUUGGACAAAUAAACCAUGCACUGAGGUCCAAAAGCUGAAACAAAAUGCAUUUGACGGAAUGGGGAUUUAGAUCUUCAAUUUCAAAGACAGUACAAUUAAAGCGAUAUAUGGAAUCUUCAAGCUAUGAUGUUAGAGAACAAUGUUGUUGUCGCACUAAGCUAGUGCGAUAAGACAUACAUACAGGUCGUGCAGAUCCUCUAUUGUGUCUAAAUUUACAUGAUCAUCAUACUGUGCAAUAACUAGGCUGCACCCAAAAGCUAGCAAAACAGAAAAUACAUCUUUGUUUAAGGCUAUGAAUAUUUCUCCUAUUGCCUUCAGAGACUCCGCUAUUUCCUUUCAAGCCAAACAGUCCACCAAAUGGCUCGAGGAAUUGCAUACCUCCUCGCUUAAGAAAGUAAUUUGCUAGUUCAGCUUAUUAAAAAUUCCAAGAGAAAAAGCGAGACUUUGAUAAACAAGUAAGAAAGACUCUUUCUAUCUUAUUAAUCAAUCGCUAACGAGCAAGAAACGGAUGCUCUAAGAAGCAACGGCUUUUCUGCAGUUAUUGCGCCCUUGAUUCUCGCCUUAUCUUACUUACUAAUAAACAGGUGAGAAGGAGAAGCUGACAACAAAAGGUCAGUGCAGGAUAUAAGCUCACUCCCUGAGUACUUACAUAGCACCGAAAAGAUAAUUAGUAGUGGAGAAAGUCUCAACCAAGAAAACAGCAACAAGUCAACAACAGCAUACUAUCCCACAAAGUGGGGCCUGCGAUGGGUAGAGGUAGAGUAUAUGCAUGUCUUACUCCUACCGCAGAGGUAGAGAGGUUGUUUCCAUAGACUCGGCGCAAGCAAAAACAGUCCACAAAAAGAAUAAACAGAAGCGCAAAUCUAUAUAGAAGUUCUCACACAUGAACGCAAAAGAAUCUAUAUGCCAUACAUACCGUUUCAUAUUUUCACUUAUUCUAGCAAUUUAGCAAUCAACAUACAACUGACAAACAAGCAUGACGGAUGUAGGGCACUAGCUUGUAUAUAUUUUUCAGGGAACCAGAUACUAUGAUAUAUCAUUAACUUGAGGUUGUUGCAAGAAACCUUACACUUCAAAUCUUGGAUCUGAAUUUGUUAAAGUGUUCUUGGCAAAAUCAAAAAUCUUAGGACACGUGCACAUUUGAAUAAACUGCCACCCCAUCUGACGAUGGUAUUCCUCCCUAGCUCUUCUUUCCUGUUCCACAACUUCUGUCGUUUUGUCCUGAAAUAAUCCUCCGGUAUGCCCAGUCCUCUUCUCAUGAAAAUGACUCUCCUUCACACAAUCAAAAUUCAAAAGUUUUCAUAAGCCGCAAGUAGAAGCUAUACCAACAUCUGAUGAAGGCUCUACGCGAGAACUGAGCAAGUAGAUUUUGUGCGCCGUUAUUGUCACCAUACUGAGUUGAGGGGGAAGAGAGAUCACCUCUUAACUUGUACUUUCUGUAGUUUUUGCUUUUAUAUUCUUCUGUGAUUGGAUUUGGCAAUCAGGUGUAGCCUACAAGCCGACGAAAUGAAAUUAAAUGCCAAUUAUCUUACCUUCUUCAGAUUCUAGCCAGACUUCUAAAUGUGAAGAUUUACAACCACUCUAUAAAGGAGGAAUAUAUAUAUCUGUAUCGAUGAACCUAUCUUUUUUUAAUCAAUCGUCUGAAAGUAGAGAUUAAAAAUCUACCGAUACCCUCAUUGUUGCAGUGAGCGAAAAUGAUUAGCGUCAUCUCUUCGCAGGAUUAACUGUUUAUGCACACUUUUGAAAAGACGUGUGCACAAUAAUUGCAUAGUUUGGCUGUUUUAGUGUUCCGCGUAGUUUGUGAUGAGAAAUCAUAUUAUGCCACACUUUUCGCUUUUCAAAAGUCAAAUAGUUUAAAUUUGACCGUGAAUUCAAACAUAAGAUCUUCAACUUUUGUGAAAUAAAGCUUGUAUAAUUGAAAAAUGAGUAAAGUAAUAUAAGAAGCAACAAUUGACAUUCAAUAUAUUUAAAAGAUACAUGAAAAAAAAUAACGAUCAAAAAUAAAUUUGUUUAAAUCUGAAAAUUUGAAAGAUAGCACCUAAAUUGAGACAGAGGAAAUAUUAGAAAUAAGGGAAUAAUUAAAAAAAAAAUACGGAUGGGCAUUGAUCAGGGCAGCAAGGCUGCUUUGGAAUUUUUAAAAAAUGGGGAAAAAGAAGACGAAUGUGCAAGCAAAAGACUUUGUUCCUGUGACCUUUGAGAGCUAAGAGUCAUAAUAAUAGAAGUAACGUUACAUAAAGAUCACGUAUUUCAAAGAUAUUUUUCUAAAUUUUUCUCUACCGCACAUUCCUUUCCACACAAGUAGAACUAUAUUGUACCCAAUUUUACAAUUAAAAAAUAAAAAAUAAAAAAAAAAACAAUACAAAUAUCACCUAAUGUCAUCAACCAAACACUGCAUUAGUAAAGUAAAAAUUAUCUCACAUAGCCAACGAUACACUGCAUAAUCAUGCGGAGAUCAUCUUUCCAAACCCUCCAAUCAAACAGCCCAUUGAUAAAACUUAAGGUUGAGAGAUUCAGUGCAGGCAAUGCACCAUCCCGAAAUUUUAACCGAUGAAAUCUAAGUUAUAUGGUUAUCACCUUUAAAUUAAAUAAAAGAAAAAACACUGGCUGAUUUAGAAUCUAACGGAUUAGAACCUACAAAAUCCUUUAACUAUUGCUCUUCAUAGUCGCUCACUCUAAAUUGUUACACAUCAUAUAUCCAACCAAAGCCAACCAUGAAACUCAAGGAGUCCAACGUUUGAUUGCAGUUGGACUAUUGGAGUUAGCUGAGCAAAAAGGAAACAAGCAAGAACGCUCAAACCUAGCCCACAAGCCUGAAACAACCACGAACCAUCUUCUCAUUGGACGCCACAUCAACAUCUAUAUGAUCAUGCACACUCUGCUUGCGGGACAAAAUACCUGGACAAAGCAACUCCAGCAAUUGGUCAUUCCCAAGUAAGAGGAAGUCCCCUCUUUUUGCACAUAUCCUGCAUAAUACAAGCACAGUGGACUUUCCAGGACAAUCCAGUCUUCCAGGAUAUGAAAACCUGGAUGUUACAGUGUUAUCAUCAGUUUUAAGUUAAGGGAUUAAUGGAGCGACUGACAACCCUGACCAGUGAGAAUUGAGAUGGAUGACAACCGCAUUAUGAUCUCAAUUUAUGAUGCAGAUUACAUAAUAUGUUGAUAGAGAAAUUCUCAAAUGUAGAAUACAAUGUGACACCACAGACCAACAAGAUUUAAGACGAGAAAUUAAAUGCACCCUAUGACGUAUCACAAAUGUGAACGCUGAAUAAGCCGACAAUGUUGAGAUGACAGUGCUUCAAAUGCAUGUCUUGGAU